AGAACUUCACGAAUAAGCAUCCGAUGUGGAAUGAAACCGCCAGAAGGAGCGGCUUCAGGGGAUGCAGGUAAUCCCAGGAAUAGUUUGUUAACUCCUGGAUGUGAAGCCCAAUGAGAGCUCCAACUGUUGAUGAGGUUGUUGGCAUUGCCCAUGCUAUACUGACAAGGCGGAUUGUUGAAAAAUUGCACCCACACAUAAUCAAAGAGGCCAGUUCUGAUAGCAGCGUCGAGAUAAUAGUCAGGAUAGGAACAUUGUGGUGCUGCAGAUAAGUGCACCCUUCUCUCCGUUGUUCUAUAUUCUGAGAGCGCCUUGGCGAGAUCAUCCAAGAAAUCCCUCCUUCCACCUUGGAUAUGAAAGUCUAUACCGUCUAAGACAGCAUCGCCUAAUGGACGAUUUUCUGAUUCACCGCCAAGGAAAUUAUUAUAGAGAUAGGACGCGACUUCCUUAGCAUCAUCGCGUGAAGAAAGGUUUGGAGCUCCGCCGAGAGAAAGAAGCACUUGGAUGCCUCGUUUCUGGCAAGCUUUUAUCUCAGAACUAAGCGAGGAGCAAGCGCUUCGCUCACAAUGCCCAGCUAAGUUCAAUUCUGGUGUCUGGCCAUUGCCAUAAUUUAUCAGAAAGGCAAGAUUCACGUAGUCAUAGGUACCCCUCCGGCAUGCGUCUUCCAGGCUUCCUUCGUCAGUGUUUUGGCCCCAGUAGGUGGCAAUUCCAGCAGCAUCGGAAGACCUGAUCGCUGAAGAUAUCAUCAACAGCAAUGUUAUUGCUAUGACUAGUGCUCUAAAACAGGGAGCCAUUUUUUCUUCUCUCGGUUGUUUUUGCAGGCUUGCUUUCGUGUGUAUUUUUUGGUUUGGUGUGUAUUUGGUUGCCCACAGAUCGACCCCUUUUAUAGAUGAGUUCAGCUACCUGUGUGGCGAAUUGAAGACGUGCCAAAUACUGGCCAUCCCCCUGGAGGUACGUGUAAUAUGUGCGUUAUCAAUGAUAGUUGAUAGUUUACCCAAAGAAAAGUAUUAUUCGUUGCUCAAGUGUCCCGUCGAUACAUCAUUGACAGCAUCAGUAAAUUUCUUCACUCAUCAUUUCAACUAUAGCACAAAUAUCUUUCUUUUUCUUGGUUCUUGGAGAACUUACAAGUGCCAUAAUCUUAUAAAUGGGUAUUGAAAAUGUUUAAAUAAAAACUAAUAGUAUAAAACUCAGUUUUGACUGUUCGAGCGAGCUGAUUGAACUGUUGAUCGAGUAGCUUUCUGAACUAAACCAAGUGUCAAACUAAGAUGGAUCAAAAAAUCGGUCUAGAUAGUAAAAACCAACUAGAUCGUUUGGUCGGACCAACGAACCGUCGACAUGUUUUUACUAAACGGUUUUGAGUCUUGCUUUUCUUUAAAAAAAAAAAAAUGCGGCCCCACAUUAGCAUAUAAUAAUUAUCGGAAACGAUUAACGCACUAUACUUUUUGACAUUUUACUAUUUAGCCCUCAUACUUACUUUUAGAUUUCAAUGUUACCUCAUAUUUAAGUUUCUAUCAUUUCACCUUUAAAAAAUUAUAAUUUAGCUCUAAAUUGUUUACAAAAUCCAAAAUUUCUUACUAUUCGUAUUCCUAUCCACUUAACAAUUGUUAGAAUUAAACAAUGGUUACAUCCCAUUUGUAGUUAAAUAAAUUAUUCGAUCCAUAUUCAUUUUUACUCUAAAAAGUAUGAUUUAAUCCAAACCAUAUUCAUUUUUUUAAAACAAAAAUGGAAUUUGACCCCAUCCAUAUUAAUUUUUAUCACUAAAAAAGUGGUAUUUGACAUUUUUUUUUACAUAAAAAAUGAUUGCAUAUAGGUCACAUGGCGAUCUUUGGCUAAAAAGUAGUCAAAAAUUUAGAUUGCGACCAAAUUUUGCUAACUUGAAUUUGUAAGAGAUGUAAAAUUAAUAUUUUAAAAGUGAAGGAACAAAAAAAUCAUUUAGUGAAAUGUAAGGGACGUAUUGAACGAUUUUUCACAUUAAUUAUUUAUGAUAUAUAUGGUGUCAGAGAUUAAAAAUGACUUGGUAACAUUUAGUCUAACGAUUGAACCAAUAACCUAUGACCCAGUAAGAUUUCCAGCUUUAAAACCUUCUUAAAAACUUGAUUUUCGGAACCACUCAUGGACGAUGGGGUGCAUACUCAAGAGCCCCAUAUAUCAUCAUAAUAAUGUAAUAUUACUUACAUCAUCAUGUGUCACUAAAUGAUAGUGUGCCAAGUUGAGAUAUAGUUUGUGUCAAUUCUCCUUUCAUUUUAGUAUAUUUUGUGUUUUAGUGAUGUCAUAAGAAUUUGGGAUGACAGAGGACUAAAAAGAGUUGCUGAAAAGUCUAUUUGCUAUAAAGUAUGGCGCGUCUUAAAGAGCCUAGGAAAUUGAGAAGUUGUGGGACCUGAGAUUAAUUUCAACAAUUAAAGAGAAUAAUUGAUUGAUUUCUCUGCAGCCUUGAAAACUUUAUUUUUGGAUGGCAACUAGUUAGUAAGGAUAUUAUUAUAUCAUUAUCCACGAAAAUAGAUUAUUCCAGUAUGGAAGAUAAUUCCUUUUAUUGGAAUAAUUUUUAGCAGAUAAUCAUAUAGAUUGUUAGGGUGAGAAUAUCGAUAUUUAAUUCCCAACUCUCUCUACACUUUGUCAUCGUAGUUAGGUGGUUUUUCCUUUUUCUUCUCUCAAGACAAAAACCUAGUUUUCUCCGCUGCAUUUUCUCCAUAAGAAGUGGCUAAAUUUUCUUUCUAGUUAGAGGAUAAUCCAAGACUUGGUUCUACAAACAAUUAUGAUAUCUAAUUGAAGUUUAGUGUUUCAUCUAUUCGUGGGUAUUUUUAUACUUCCUGUAUUACAUGUAUGAUGAUUAUUGUGUGUAAUUAAAUAAGUGGCCAAUAUUUAAUUAUUUACAAUAGUCUGCUACCAAUUGAAGCAAUUAAAUUCGUAAUUGUUUGUCUGUUUUAAUAUUUGUGUAGACUGACAUAAUUGGAUCUAUAUCAGGAAAAAUAUAUGAUAUAAUUUAAAUGAUCUCUCGCAACAUGUUUGUUGAUUAGAAUUAGGCUUUUUUAAUUCUUGAUGCUGUUAAAAAAUUUAAUUCUAUGGUUGUACCUAGAAUUAUCUUUUAGUUAGAGAAGUAGUUAGUGGCCAUACUCUGAUUAUCGAUAAAGUAAGGAAAUAUUGAUUGCCAAAGUUUAAUGAUAAUUAUAACCUAUUUGUUCACUAAUAUUUGAAUUCAUCUUUGCUUUAGUGAUCAAUUGUAGGAACCAAUCCUAAGAUUAUUCCUUUGGCUAGAACUCUAUUAUUAUUGGUUUAUUCUUAGUUAAUUUUCUUUGCAUGUUUAUUUGUGUUUAAAUUAAUUAGUUAGUAUAAUUCUCCAAAAUCCCCCUUUUUAUUCAUUGCUUUGGAAGAAAAUAAAUCAACUCUAUCUUGUGGAGACAAUCCUACUCAUUGCUGCAUACAAAUUCGUAUUUUCUAGAGCAGUUAUUUAUUUUUAAUUAGUUGACACCCUGUCACUGAAUCAACAUGGCUUUUAAGGAAGAAAGAGAAGGAUUUAUCUAUUAGAGGAUGAAUGGCACUUUGUCCGAACCAUGGGGUUCAUCCCAUUUUACCUCUUGAACCAAAACAAUACACACUUCAUUUUCUUUGUGCUAAAUUUUUUUUUAUCUUAUUAAAUCAAUUACAACCAGUGUUACAAUUUCAUACUUAGCUCAUAGGUAUAUGGUUUAGAAUAUUGAUGAUUAAGGAGCAAAUUGAACUUUUUAUAUAUAGUGUUUGUAAAGAGAAAGCCAUUCUUUAUUUAUUGAGUUAUACACUUUACUUUGCAUCUUUGCUUGUGCAUAUGUUGGCUGGCCGAGGAUUGACCAUUUUAUUUUAUAGAUAGAUGAAUUCUGUCUAAAGUAGAGGAUAUAUUGUACCCAAUAGUACGGCAAAGGUUCCUCUUUCAUAACAUCUCUUGUUGCAUUAUCUAUCUGAUUAAUACAUGUUUUCUGUAGUAAUAAAUAAAAAUUCAAGUUUUAAAAUAGGAAUAAUUUCAGAAACUCCUCCUGAGAUUUCUAACUAUUUCACUUAGUUUUCUUGAAGUUUUUAAAAUAACAUUUACCUCCCUUGAUUUGACACUUUGGUAACCAAAUCUUAAAAUAAGCUAAAAAAUUUAAUGAAUACCCUGAAAUGCCCUUAUCUUAUAUAGUUCAAUUCAUUCUUCUAAACAAUUGUAAAGUAAUUUGACAUAAUUAUAUAUAUUAAAAAAGAGUCUCAAAUUUUUCAUGUCAAUAUUUGUUAUUUAAUAAUCAACUGUAACAAUAAAUCUUUACUGUGCUAAGUUAUUUUUUAUAGUGUUUUAUUGGGAAUAUAGAUUCUUUUUAAGAUAGAGAAGAAAGUGUUACCUUGUGUUUUAUAAAUUUAUGGACUAUUGUUUUAGCAAAAGUUUAUGGACUAGUUUAGCGAUGGAACUACCAUAGUUUGGUAGUGAUUUUGGGCCAUUUGUUUUUAAUUAUUGUUGAUUUAUUCUUGAUUUUGAUACAAAAAAAAAAGAGUAACAAAAUAAUUGGAUGAUAUUAAAAGUCAUCAACAAAAUUACUAGUUUAACGUUUGAUCUAGAUAGAUAUUAGCGACAAUAUUGAUAGGUCUUCUAUACUUCUAAUGAAAUAUAAGAGAAAUGAAUAAGAAGGAAAAAGGAAAAAAAUUAUAAAAUCCAUUCUUUGUAUAAACAUGGAAGCAAGAGAGUUUUAUUAAAAUAUUAAAGUUAGUAUUGUCAUUUUAAAUGGGCAAGGGAGUUAGAUAUAAUUUUUGAAACUUUAAGGGAGCCACAUAAAAUUAUCAAAAACCUCAGGGAGGUUUAUGAAAUUAUCCCUUUAAAAUAUUUUUCUUAAUACAACAGUUGCCCUUUAACAAGUUGUAUAAUAUAAAAUAAAAUAGAAAUAGGGUUAAUUGUAAGUUGCACCCCUCAACAAUUUGGCAAUUGGAACUUGCAUUCCAAACUUUAAAUUUAGCAGUCUAUUACCUUCAACUUCUAAUUUUUUGCACAAUUUACAAAUUAAGUUAAAUCUGAUAAAAAAAGAGAGGGUGAUUAUACUUGUUUACCCUCAAAUUUUUACCAAACCUCCAAAAAUACCCUUCCUUUAUUUUCAUCUUCUGAAUAAACUCAAAUUCCUAAACCCUACAAAUAUUCCUCAAAACAAAAUCCCUUUGAAAAAGCAUAAAUUAAUAUCUAAAAAUUCAUCAAACAGAAAUAGAAAUCAAGUCAUAAUCCAUACCCAAAUCUCACAUUAUCAACACCAACCUCUUGAUCAUCCCAUCACCACUAUCAUUAUCCCCCACUAUCACCAUAACUUCUUAAAACUCAUUAAAAAAAAAGUAAUAACAAACAAAGAAAUGAAGGAGAAUAAGAUCUUUGGGAGGCAAGAAAACAAACAAAAAAAAUUCCCAAAUCCAAAUCUCGCCAGAAUAACCUCUUAACUUCUAACGUCUAAGACCCACAAAUUGAUCAGUGUGACUCACAAAUUGAUUACGAGCUCGAGCUCUACAGAUAAACCUAUUUUAUGCAGUGCAUGAUAAGCUGUUAUUUAAUUUCUAAGGUCCUUCUACGCUGACAGUUAGCAAGGUUGGAUUGAUUACGUAAAUUGCCCAAGAAAUCUGACAAAUGGUUGUGUAGAUAAUUAAACCAAGCCUAAUUAUUAAAUUAAAUUACUUAUGUGGCAAGUUUUUUUAUUUGUUGGUUUAGUGAGUGGAAGAAUUUCAAAGUUGAUACAGAAAAGAAAUAUUUCCUAAGGUCCCCGUUAUUAAAGUUCAGCAAGAUAUUUACAUUUAUCAUGUUGGGAGAGAGAUACUCCUAGUCGGUUCAGAAUUGAAAAUUUUUCUGCCAACUGUUAGUUUCCUAUUCCUUUGAGACCCCUGUUUGGCACUUAAGUUUUUUGCCAAGUUUAUCUGCUACAAGUUUUUAAAAAUUUUAACUACAGUAAUCUCAAAAAUUUCUCAAAAUUUUUAAAUUAUACACUUCAAAAUAUUAAAAAAACACACUUCAAAAAUUUUUUUAAAAACUUUUAUAAUAAACUACAGCAAAGUUUUAGACAAAUACCCAAAAAACUCACUUGCCAAACGGGGUCCUAGUCGGUUGGAUACUCUAUACCGUUUCAUUAUUUUCUUGAAGAGAGAGGUAAGUUGUGGAUAUUGAGAGAAAACUUCUAAACUUGUUAUUUGUGAGCAUUAUUGUUGAGUUUAGUUAAUAAAAUUAUUAAGUUAUAUUGUGUAUUUAUUCUCUUUCUCUUUCACAUAUAUUCAUAUAUUUUAAAAUAAUUUUUGCUGAGCAUGAUUUUUUUUUGUGGCAAUAGAUUGGAAUAUGUAAUCAAAUUUGAGGAUGAAUAGGGCCUCAAUCAACCUUCACCCUUCAUUCAUGUUUAUCUUAUACUUGAACAUCCUAGGUUGAACUUUUCUCUAGGCCACAAAAUUGUUUAUGCAAAUUUGAUGAGUAAAAGUUUACAUGUACUUCCUUGGGGGAGCACAAUUUUCGAGUAAAGAUAUUGAAUACGGAUUUGAUGUAUGGAUUUAUCAACAAUCUUUUCUUCUUUUAAUAGUGACGUUGAUUGACACUAACAUUAUUAUUGGACACCCCAAAGGUGACAUUCUUGCCUUGUUUCCAUAGAAUUUUCCAGGCCACCCUAAAUCAUUGUCCUGCCACAGAAUUCUGGGACCAGUCCUUCCUGUGCAUGAAUUGAAGUGGACGCACUAAAAUCACUUAAAAUGGACGGACUAAAACGAAAGUCACUUUAAAGACGCACUACAAUGAAAAGUUACAGUUUGAAUUGUAAGUUUACAGAGUUUGGUUAAAAAAUAUAUUAUGAUAAAGUGAUGCAUGUGAGAUAAAAAAUUGAUUGGUAAAUGUAUCAAAAAAAUAUUUCAAAAUAUCUAAGUGAAAACUGGCAAUCCAAAUAAUGCCAAUCUUGUCGGCUAUAGUAGUAUUUUGUGUGACCAACUUCUCUCUGCAGUUUUCCUGGUUUCAAAUAACACUACUGAGAGCCCAUUGUCAGGUUUGAACAUUUCCAAAUAGAAGCUCUAAAUAAAUCACUCAAAAGGAGUACAAUAGGAAAGCAAAGGAUAGGCUGUGUCCAAAAGACUGAACUUCUUUGGAUUGCAUUUUUCUGAAUUUUUUGUAGAAAAAUUACUAUAGCGAUUUGAUAUAUAUGAGGUAAAAAGAUAAAUGGAAAAUGUGUUUACGGAAAACGUAACAAUUUUGCUUUGGAAAAUUGCUGUCCAAACAAGGCUUAUUUCUUUUUUUUUUGGGUAGGUUAAAUCUGUUCCAAAGCCACAAAAUAUAAGUUACAAUCACUACAAUAAAUCUGAAGUGAAAAUUUUCUUGUAAGGACCCAAAUAAAUUAACUGGUUGUACAUGUUUCGCGAGAUCAAGAAGUUUCACUACAUAGGAUAAGAUUAGGCAUCACAAUCCAGCUGCAGUCUUAUAUGUCUUUUACAUCUUUAAUUUUGACAAUCCACUUGCGAUGGUUACUGAUUUCGCAAUCACUAUCUCAAGAUACCAUCCUAUGAAGCACUUCCUGUUUAUUUCUAUUUGUAACUGAAGAUAAUUCCCAUGGAACUCGCCAGUAAUAAUCCGUCACCAACAGAUGUUUGUGUAAGUGGAAGGGGCUUGCAUCCCUUAAUCAUGAGAUCUCGGGUUCGAAACCAUGGGGAUGGAAUAAAAAACGUUGGGAGAGCUUCCCCCUGCAAAGGAUCCGACGCGGCUCAAACGAGAUUAGUCGCAGACCGUAAAACGGAUGCGAACACCUGUGGGUUAAUACCAAAAAAAAAAAAAAUAAUCCAUCAUGAUCAACUGAAAGAAAACAAAAACACCUACAGAUCAAUUGCAAGUGCAAACACUCCAAUUCAAUCCUAAAUUUUCCUUCCCCUUUCUUCAACCUUUCAAUAUCCAGUUACACCAAAGAAAACAAAACAGUGAACAACACUCCAUGGGGAUGUAUUUAGUUUAGGCAUUUUUCCAUCAUGCUUACAUGCUAUGAUCGUAGGGCAGUUUCCUUUUUCCUUUAAUCAAAUUUGAUGUUGAAUCAAUACAAAAUUCACCACAAUUCAGACUUCCUCAGGUAAACAGAAUAUGUGAUUAAAAAAUUGCAUACGAAUGAUCUAAGGGACAACAAAUUCAAGGAGACUAAUAAUAUGAAAGAUCCAAACAUCCAUAGGUUGCGCAUGUUAAUUCACACAAAUUUCAAGGUAUUAAAAAAAAAAGAAAAUUUGCAAAAGAGGGCUUACUUCGGUGGUGGCACAGUGAACUGCAAGAUUGGGCUACAUGAUGAAAUCUAAUGAAAAAAAUUUGUUCCAAAGACAGUAAAUUUGAUGAUCGAAUGGUUGACGAUGGCUGCUGUAAAGAUGACGAUGGUGAUUUUGCGGGAUUCCUAGUGAGACUUUUUGUAGUUUUUCUAUUUCUUGUGUUAGAUUUUUUUUUGUUUUUUCAAAUUUGAUUUCCAGAUUUGAAAAUUUUUAAAUUUGUCACGUCAGAUUUCACCUUACCAUCCAGGUUUAAAUCAAUUCAUUAGCAUAUUUGGAAAGAAAUAAACCGUACAACUGGAAGCACGCAUAGAUAAUCUUGAUAAUAAAUGUUUUAUCAUUUGAUUUUUGUGAGUUCCACUGCAUAAUAUUCUAUUAAUUUUUCAGAUCUAUAUAUAUUUGUUUGGACAGAAUAUUAUUUGAAAUAAUUAUUGUAGUACUUUUUAUGAUGUGAUGUAUAUGAGAUAAAAAGGUGAUUGGGAAUAUAAAAAGGUGGGUUGGAAAAUGUGUUUAUAAUGCAAGCGAAAUAUUAUUUGAGAUAUUUCUACUGUCCAAACACUAGCCUAAGUAGAUCUGUUUGUAUCCGUAUAUUAUUUAUAUAGUUUCUGCCACUAGUAUAGAUUUAAUAAAAUAAUAACAUUUUUAUCAAAAAAAACAAAAGAAGAAUACAGGAUUAAGCCCGUGCAAAUGUGCCGAAGUUGAGUGCUUGUGUAUUCAUUAGUUAGUGGGCAAGCAAACUGAGCAAAAGGUCAUGGACAAGGUGCUCAAGAAAAAAGUUUGUUCAUUAAAGUAUGAGACUAUCAAUGAACAGGUAUGCUGAAAUGAAAGAGACUUUGAAAACUCAUCUUCACCACAAUUUCAAUGUCAUCCAGCCUGCGAUCCAGCUUAGAUGCUUCGCGUUGAAUGUUUAUUGCAUGUUUAAAAUCCCCAUUUCACCGAAAUCCAAUCUGAUAAUUUCACACUCUCAUUUCUUAAUGAGUUUGAAAUUUGCAUUAAUUAAAGAUUGUUUGUUCGUGUGUCAAUCACUAGUCUUUGUUUUUUUUGCCUUUGGGCCAUGAAGUAAAUUGACAGCGCUAAGUUAAAAAGAAUAUUAAGAAAAGAAUUGUAGAGACAGAAAAAAAAUACAACCUAUUGUUGGCCAAAGUUGAGUUCAUGUAAGUUUCCAUUUUGACAAGUUUUCUAUUAAUAUGAUUUUUCAACAUUUUUAUUCCUUAAACAACUUAAAAUAUUGCCUCUUAUAUUAGUUUUCUUUUUUGAAAUUUAUAGCUGCAAACCAACAUGGCUUUUAAUUGGGAGAAGGAUUUAUCUAUGUGUAAAUCUUAUAUACACUGACAGUAUAUACACUAUCAUCAUUGGAUUCAUCAUAUGUGCAUAAAAAUUAAAUUUUAAAUUCAAAUUUACAUAAUUAUCAUUCAUCCAAUACUAACAGUAUGUAUACUGUCAGUUUUGACAAGUUAAAAAAAAAUAUUAAGAAAAGAAUUGUAGAAACAAAAAAAAAUAUUGCCAUUUUGACAAGUUUUCUAUUAACAUGCUUUUUCAACAUUUUUAUUCCUUAAAUAACUUAAAAUAUUGCCUCUUAAAUUAGUUUUCUUUUUUCAAAUUGAUAGUUGCAAACCAAUGUGGCUUUUAACUGAGAGAAGGAUUUAUCUAAGAGGCGACGAAUGGCACUUUGCCUCUCUGAGCCAUGGAGUUGAUCCCACCAUACCCGCUUCGGACUAUGGGUCGAAUAGUACGGCAAAGAUUCCCUUUUUUUUUAACAAUUUUUGCUGUUAAAAUCUUAUCAUGCUAUCUAUUCGAUUGAUAGGUAUUCCAGUGGCAGAGCCACAUAGGAUUGUGGAGUAGACAAUUGCCUUCCCUCCCCAGCCCCCUCAAUUUUGAUAAAAUUGUACAAUGGCCUUCAAAUUUUUCAAGAUUUUUAAGUUUAUACCAUGUUUGCACCCCUGAAUUUUAUAAAAUUCUCUCUUUCAGUUGUGUUGCCCCAGUCAAAUUUAAGAAAAUUCCCUUCUUUAUAUAUAGGUUAUCUUUUAAAGUUUUAUAUAUUCCUCACUUAUUCUACAUUUACUCCACACACACAAAAAAAAAAAAAAACUUUCUAUUGAUUGCCUCUAACAAAAAUUUAGGAUUUAUUUCAAAUUAAACAAUAAUGGGAAAAAAGAUUUCACUUUUUAAAUCAAAAGCACACUGUAUAUUUAGGAUUAAUCUUUUCUAUACUGACAGUGUAUACAUUAUCAGCGAUGGAUGAAUGGCAAACAUAUAAAUUUUGAAUUUAAAAUUCAACUUUUACACAUAUGUCAUAGAUCCAAUGGUGAUAGUGUAUACACUGUCAAUGUAUAUAAGAUUUACUCGUAUAUUUAUUAUAUAAAUCUAAGAGUAUGAUUUAUACUGAAAUUGCCCAUUGCACCCCUUGUCAUAAGGUUCUGGCUCCACCACUGACAUAUCCGAUGCAAUAAUGACUAAAAAUCCAAAUUUCAGAAUGUAUCCCUUUUUUGUUUUUUUUUUCGGACAGGAUAGAAUGUCUCUCUCGAUGAGUCAUAAAAUUCGGGUAACAUAUAGAAACGCGAAACACAACACCUCAAGGCGCGAAUGGUCCUGACGCUCACUCUUCACACAAACUAUGCAGUUCUAAUAAUAAUAGCUAUCGUUUGGCAUGUAACGCAGUAAAAAGAAUAUUCCUUUCAGAUAAAUGCCCAGCAACUUAAAUGCAAACAGCCGAGUAGGGCUGCAAACGAAUCGAGCCGCUCGCGAGCAGCUCGAGUCAAGCUCGAGUCGAGCUCGAGCCAGCUCGAGUCAAACUCGAGCUCGAACUCGAGCUCAGAAUAUUAAGCUCGUUAGCUCGCGAGCCGGCUCGCGAGCUUGAGUAAAUAUAUAUUUUUUUAUUUUUAUUUUUAUUUAAUAAUAAAAUUACGUAUAUUAUAUAUAUAUAUAUAUUUUAUUUUUUUAUUUUCAUAAUGAAAUUACGUAUAUAUCCUUAAUAUUUUAUUAUUUAUUCAUAAAAAAUAUUAUUUUAUUUAUUUUUUAAAAAAAUAAAAUAAUUUUUUUUUAUUUUUUUUGAGCUCGAGCUCGGCUCGACUUGAUUCGAGUCGAGCUCGAGCUCGAAAAUUGCCAGCUCGUCGAGCUCGAGCUCGAGUUUGGUAAAAUUUAGUCGAGACUCGGCUCGAUUAGCUCAAAACUCGACUCGACUCGGCUCGUUUGCAGCCCUACAGCCGAGUACGAUAAUGAGAAAUGGGUCCCUUUUAAUGCGCAAUAAUGGAUGGGGCAAUUAUUGUACUGACCUAACCUGUCCUUAGGUAUGAAAGUCACUAAUUUCUAAACUCGCGGCUCCAAGUCUCCACGUCGAUACAGAAUGGACAAUUAAAAACAGUACAUCUUUUCUACUCAUCCUCCCAACCAUGCGCCUGUUAUCUUCCCAUAUUUCGUUCUUGGCGUAUCUUUACCUAAUCUGAAUGGGUUUGAAAGAUAUUUUUGGACUCUAUAGCCACCUCAAUUUUUUUUUAUAACCUAAUGCUAAUAAUAUACUUCUUCUGUCUCAUUAAAAUCGCUGUAAUUUUUAUUUUAGAAUGUUCCAAAAUAAUUGUCAUGUAAAAAAAGUCAAAACACCUUUUAAUUUCUCUUUUGAAUAUAGCCUUUCUUUUUAAUUAUAUUCAUGUUACCAUUCAAAUUUAAAAUUUUGAAUUUGUGAGGAUAAUAUUUAAAAAAAAGUACAAAUAUCACAAUCAAAUCACUAUUUUUAAAAGUUAGAUUUGUUAAACAUGACUAAAUAAAUGUGACGAAAAAGUAAACAUACAUCACUUAAUCAAUGCGACUCAACAAUUCAUUACAAGGUCUACAGAUUAAACUUCUGUAUUUUGUAGUGCAUAUGAUAAGCUGUUAAUUAAUUUCCAAGCGCUGUCCUUCAAGGCUGACAAUUAGCAAGGUUGGAUUGAUUAUGUAAUUGCCCAAGAAAGAUGACCAAUGGUUGUGUAGAUAAUUAACCCAAGACUAAUUAUUAAAUUAAAUUAGCUAUGUGGCAACCUUUUUUUUUUUCGUUGGUCUCUAGUGAGUUGAAAAUUUUAGAAGUUGAUGCGGCAAAGAAAUAUUUCCUAAUGUCUGGUUAUUAAAGUUUAGCAAGUUUGCAUUUAUCAUGUUGGGAGAGGGGUACUCCUCGUCGGUUCAGAAUUGCAAUAUAUAUAUAUAUAUAUAUAUAUAACUGUCCAUUGCCGUAUUCCUUUGUGACUAGAGUCCGUUGGAUGCUCUAUAAAUUGAGUAGUACCAUUUCAUUGUUUUCUUGAAGAGAGAGUUAAGUUGUGGAUAACGAGAGAAAGCUUCUAAACUUGUUAUUUGUGAGUAUUAUUGUUGAGUUUAGUUUAUAAAAUUAUUUCAGUUAUAUUGUAUAUUUAUUCUCUUUCUCUUUUCACAUAUUUUUAUAUAUUUUAAAAUAAUAUUCCCUGUCCUUGAUUUUUUUGUGGCAACAGAUUAGAAAAUGUAAAUCAAAAUUGAUAUGAAUAGGUUUAAAUUAGAGGUGUCAAAAUGGGUGAUUUGGACGAGCUUGAAUUGGAUAAAAUGGGUAAUGUGUAUAAGUGAGUCAACCUAUUUAUGUCCAUUUAAUUAGAUGGGUAUAAAUGGAUAAGUCAAAAAAUAAAUUGGGUUACCCAAUUACCCAUUUAUAACCCAUCUAUUUUAACAUUUUGUAAAUUCAUUUGAAUUCAUUUUUGCAAACUAAGUUAUCAAUUUAUACCAUUCUUUGCACCCAUCAUUAGUUUUAAAUAUUUACUUAUAAUGUUUAAUAAGCCUAAUUAUCAAUUUUUUUUCAUCCGUACUCUAUGUCGCAAAAUUACAUAUUAUUUCAUAACUAAACAAUAAGAAUAUAAAAAUUUGAACUAAGUACCAUAAAAAUUAACAUAAAAAUUUAAUCCAAAAAUUUUGAACCCCUAGCAUUUUUUUGUGGGUAAAUUUAAAAUUUUAUUUUGGAAAAAUAAGAAAAGAAGCUAAAACUUGUCAUAAAUUGGUAAUGUUGAAAAAUGAGCAAGUUAAUAAAUUAAAAGAAAAUAAAAUGAUAAGAUAAAACUAAUAAAUAAUAAUAAUAAUGAAACAAAAGUAGUUAACAUCAUGAUAAAAUAAAAAAAAUUUUAAAAAAAAGGGUGGGGGACGAGAGGAGGUUUGGGGGAAAACAAUUUUAAAUGGGUUAAUUGAGUUUGAUGAUUUUAAAUGGUUAAAUGGGUAUUAUUAGAUAACUCAUUUAUACCCAUAUAUAAAAAUUUAAGAUACUCAUAUCUAUUUAUGAACGAAUGUGAAUAAAUUUAAUUAAAUAAAUUUGUUUUACAGUUUUAGUUUAAAUCAACCUUCUCCCUUCACUCAAGUUUAUCUUGUACUUGAACAUCUUAGCCUGAACUUUUCUGUCGGCCACAUCAUAUUUUAUUUGAUGGAUAAGAGUUUACUUGUACUUUCUUGGGGGAGCACAACUUUCGAGUAAAGAUAGUGAAUACGGAUUUGAUGUAUGGAUUUAUCAACAAUAUCUUUUUCUUCUUUUAAUAGUGACGUUGAUUGCCACCAACAUUAUCGCACUUCCGAAUGCGACAUUCUUGUCUUGUUUCCAUUGAAUUUUCCAGUCCUUCCUAAAUUAUUGUCCUUCUACAGAAUUCUGGGACCAGUCCUUCACGUGCAUGAAUUGAAGUGGACGCACUAAAAUCACUUAGAAGGGACGCACUAAAAUGAAAGCUAUUUGGAUUGUAAGUUAUUUGGGAUGGUAAGUUAUUUGGGAUAUUUUUAUUGUAAUAUUUUUUGUGACAUGAUGUAUGUGAGAUAAAAAGUAAUUGAGAAGAUAAAAAAGUGUAUUGAAAAUUGUAAUAAUAAUGUAAGUAAAUAAAAUUGAGGAAAUAAUGCUCAAUCCAAACAAAUCAGUUUGAAUUGUAAGUUCACAGAGUUUUGUUGAAAAAUAUACUAUAGCAAUAUGACAUAUAUAAAGAUAAUAGGAUGUAUAUAAUAAUAAAUAUGACAUAUAUAAGAUAAAAAGGUGAUUAAAAAUAUAUCAAGAAAAUAUUUUAAAGUUUUUCAGUGAAAACUUGCGAUCCAAUUAAGGCUAGUGUCAUCCGCUUAUGACCAGCUUAUCUUUGCAAUUUUCAUGUUUUCAAAUAACGUUGAGAUCCCAUUGUUAGGAACAUUUCCAAACAGGAGCUCCCAAUAAAUCACUGAAAGGGAGUACAAUAGGAAAUCAAAGGAUAAGUAGUAUUCAAAAGACUGAACUUCAAAAGGGAAAAUCUUUCACAAUGUCCCCUAUAUUUUGUCAAAUGAAUUUUUUGUUCUUCAUUUUGAAAAUGUUAGUUUUACGUUCUUUACAAAUUCAAGUUAACAAAAUUUUGUUCGAAUCUAAGUUCUUUUUUACCACCUUUUAGCUUGAAAUCACCAUGUGGCUCACAUGAAAUCAUUUUUUAUAUACAAAAAAGUCAAAUUUCACCUUUUUAGGAUAAAAAUGAACAUGAAUUAAAUCAGAUCCCACUUUUCAAAAGAAAAAUAAAUAUGAUUUAGAUCAGAUCCUACUCUUUGUGUCAAAAUAAUUAUGGAUCCAAUCAUUUGUUUAACUACAAAUGAGAUUUAACCUUUUUGUCCCAAAAAAAUGACCAUAUUUGGGUUAUGUGAUGAAUUCAGGGUAAAAAGUAAUCAAAAACUUAAGUUGAACUAAAUUUUACUAACUUGAUUAUGUAAGAAACGUAAAGUUAUUAUUUUAAAAGUGAAGGAUAAAAAAAUUUUCAUUUAGUGAAAUGUGAGGGACUUUUCAAAUGAUUUUCCCACUUCAAAAUUACUCGAAGGCUUUGCAGCCGAAAUUUACUUUUUUCUUUUUUGGUAGGUUAAAUCUAUCCCGAAGCCACAAAAGGUACGUUACCAUAACUACAAUAAAUCUGAAUUGAAAAUUUACUUGCAAGGACCCAAAUAAAUUAACUGGUUGUACAUAUGAUUGUACGUGGUUCACGUGAUCAAGAUCUAUGAAGUUUCACUAAAUGGAGCACAUAGGAAAAGAUUAGCCAUCACAAACAAACCGGCUGCAGUAUUAUAUAUCUGUACAUAUUUAAUUAUAACAAUCCACUUGCGAUGAUUAUUGAUUUCAUAAUCAUUAUCUUAGGGUACCAUUCUAUGAAAUAUUUCCGGUUAUUUCUAUUUGUAAUUGAAGAUAGUUCCCAUGGAACUCGUCAGUAAUAAUCCGUCAUCAACUGUAAGAAACCAAGAACACCUACAAAUUAAUUGCAAGUGCAAAGACUCAAAUUCAAUCUUAAAUUUUCCUUCCCCUUUCUUCAACCCUUUCAAUAUCUAGCUACACCAAAACAAAAAAAAAAAAUAAAAAAGAAGAAGAAAGAAACAAUGAACAACCAUGAAUUUAGUUUAGGUAUUUUUCCAACAUGCUUACAUGCUAUGGCCAAAUUUGAUAUUGAGUCAAUACAAAUCAUCCAAAAUCAGUCUUCCUCGGGUAAAAAGAAUAUAUGAUUACAAAAUUGCAUACAAAUGACUAAAUAAAUUAAGAAGGGGACAAAUUCAAGAAGCUAAUAAUCUAAAAAAAUCCAAACAUUCAUAGGUUGCACAUAUCAAUCUCACAAAUUUUUAUGAAAAAGAAAUUUUACAAAAGACGGCUUAAUUCAGUGGUGGCAAGGUUAAAAUUUUGCAAGAUUGGGCUCCUUUUUAUGUUUUGGUUUAUACUUUUUAGGAUUGUUAAAAAUUAAAUUUGAUGAAAUAAGGUUGAUGAUAUGAUGAAAUCUGAUGAAACGAAGUUGUUCGAAGGGCAGUAAAAUUGAAGAUCGAAUGGUCGACGAUGGCUGUAGUAAAGAUGAUGUUGGUGAUUUUGUGGGAUUCCUAGUGAGUGUUUUUGUAGUUUUUCUAUUUCUUGUGUGAGAUCUAUUUUUUUUUUUUUAUAUAGAUUUUGUUGUUAGAUUUGAGAUUUCUUAAAUCUAUCUUAUCAGAUCUCAUCUUAGCAUUUAGGCUUGAAUCAGUUCAUUAGCAUAUUUAGGAGAAAGUAAAUGGUAUCGGUGGAAGUAUGCGCCGAUAUCAUUUGAUGUUUUUUGAGUUCCACAAUGUAAUAUGCUUUUGAUUAUUCAGAUCUACAACAUCUAGCAUUUGUUCUUCAAAUCUAUAUCUGUAUAUCAUUGAUGUAAUUCCUCCCACUACUACUACAGAUUCAACAAAAUGAUGAUGUUUUUAUCAAAAAAAAAAAAAAAAAAAAAGACUAGAGAAUUAAGCCCGUCCAAUUGUGCGGGAGUGGGGUGCUUGUGUAUUCAUUAGGUAGCGAGUAAAUUGAGUAAAAGGUUAUGGACAAAAUUGUAGAAAACACAUUGUUAGUUAGGUCACAACACGGCAAAGUUUUUCAUCAAGUGCUCAGGAAAAAGUUGUUCACAGGUUGUGGACAAAUUUGAAGAAGACAAAUUAUUAGAUCAUAACAUGACAAAGUUUUUCAUGAAGUGCUCAAAAAAAAAAAAAAAGUAAUUCAUAAAGUAUGAGACUAUCAAUGGACAGGUAUGCUGAAAUGAAAGAUGCUUUAAAUUGAGUUGACAGCACUAAAGUUAAAAAAAAUAUAAAAGAAGGAAAAAAAGUUGUCACAGGAAAAAAAAUGUAUAGGCCACAGUUGCGUUCAUGUAAGUUUUCAUUUUUGCAAGUUUUCUAUUAGUAUACUUUUCAACAUUUUUAUUCCUUAAACAACUUAAAAUAUUGCCUCUUGAAUGUGUUUUCUCGUUUCAGAUUGAUAGUUUCAAACCCGUCCUGAUUCUUGAUUUUUCAGAAUCACGAGAUUCGUGAACUUUUGCACCAAGUUACCGAAAAUUCAUCUUUGAUACCUAUCUCCACCAGUGACAAUUUCUUCAAAUUCUUUUGAGGUUCAUGCUCUUGCAGAAACUGACAUCUUUUCAAACAUAGCACUGUUAAUGAUGAGUCAGUUGCACCAAGGAUUUUAGGGUCUGGGGUUUAUGCGGUUUGCUAAAUUCUACGAUGGAAAUCCUGAUUACGUUGACAUGUUUUUCUAUUACAGCUUUCUUGAGACACCUGUUUAGAAUCUUCUCAUCCAGUUUGGUCUCAAUCAUCAUCGAUAGAUGCGGCGCCUACCACUUCUGCAGUGCGCUGUUGGCACGUUUCAUGAAGCCCUUUUUGUAAUAUGAUUCAUAUUGAACAAAUGCCAGUCGCUGAAUUUUUUUCUUUCUUUCUUUUUUUUUUGUUUUGUUUGGUAACAAAAUGGACUAUAAAGUUAUAGGUACAAAGUGACAAAUUCCCUUAAUAUCUGCAUCUACUAAAUUUUUUAAAUUAGGAGGGACACUUUCAUAACAUACACAAAUCGUGUCUUGCUGAGCACAUAAUUUCGUCAAUCUAUCUUUAUACUGAUUAAUUUUUCAAUAAGUAUAACUUUCGACAGAACAGAAAUCAGGAACCUACAAUUAGAAAUAAUUGAAACAUACUCAUGAGUUGAGGUAUCAACAGAUUUAAGCAAAUCUAGAGCAAUUUUAGCAUUAACUUCUAAUUCAAUAUUUUGCAAGUUGAGAGAGGAAGCUAAGGAUACCCCAUCCCUUGUUCCCACAACUCAGCAACGAUAUUGGUAAUGGGUCCUAAUUUUUUGCUAAAGGCAGCUACCCAGUGUCCUAGGUGAUUCUAAUCAAGUCACCUAAUCCAGCUGGACCCGAGUUCCCCAUGGAUCGAGGACCCAUCGGUAUUGAUUUUGAAAUAAGAAGGGAAUCUGGUUAGCGAGCACUUCUGUUCUAAGGCGUACUUAGUUCUGAAUAGGUCGUGAAAAGGAGCAUUCGUGGCUGAAUUUUCUUUCCUCGAAGAAGCCGUACGCCUUGAAAUUCUAAUCUAGGGCUGGUUGGAUAAAAUACUCUAGCUUCGACAUAGGGAUGGCAACGGGGCGGGGUUGGGGCGGGGGACCCCUCCCCCAUCCCCCGCCCCGUUGCCUAUUAGUUCCCCCGUCCCCCGCCCCGUCCCCCGCCUCCCGCUCCCCCCGCCCCCGCCCCGCUUCCCCCGCGGGGGCACCUGCGGGGUUAAUAAAAUUUUAUUAUAUAAUUUUAUUAUAAUUAAAAUUUAAUAAAUAAUCAAGUACUAAAAUAUCAACACAUCACCAAAUUAUUAUUCAUUGUAAUUUUACAAUUGAAACUCAUAAAAACAAUCAAACAGAAGUUAUUUGAAUACAAUCCAAUAUGAUGAAAUAAAUAUAACUAAAAUAGUCAAAUUUUCACUUUUAGUACAAAUGCAAUCACUAAUUCAUCAUUGUGUUUGUGCUUUUUUUUGAGAAAAAAGUUUUAUUCUAUUAAGUGUAAUUAGAAAUUUAGUAUAAAUGUAUUAGUAAAUUUAGUAUAACUAAUUAAUAAAUUCUAUUAGUAGACAUGUAUAAUUAUUCAUAUAAUUGAUAAUAUCAAUUAUAUUACAUAAAUUAAUAUACAUUAUAUAAUACAUCUAACUAAUAAUAUCAUUAUCAUAAGUUUAUAACUAAUUAACUUACAUAUAAUAUAUAGUCAUUUAUAUAUUAUUAUUAUUUUGCGGGUGGCGGGGCGGGGGAUGGGGCGGGGGAGUAUACCCCCGCCCCCCGCCCCGUUUCUAAGCGGGGGGAAAAAAUUCCCCCCCGCCCCCGCCCCAACCCCCGUCCCGUGAGCCCCCCGUGGGCAUCCGCCCCAUUGCCAUCCCUACUUCGACAUGGUGUUUCGCAAUCAGGAAAGAAAGUAUGCCAGCUGCCGCCCAAAUCUCGGUUUAUCUCGUUUUUCCGUGCUGAUUUGCACUAGCCUCGUUGAUUGUUUUUGGAACCCUUCCCAAAAAAACCCUAGUUUGACUACGACCUCAUAGUUACCUGUCCGAUAUCCUCACCAGUUGAAAUGAAUCUUUGCAACACAAAUCCCGCUAUUAAAUGGAGGUCUUGGGGACAAAAAAUUUCAUGGUUCAAUUUAAUAAGUUCAACACAAAUUUAUUAAUAGACUAUUUUUCUAGAGUUAAGGAGAUAUUUGAUAACCCCAUUAAGUACGCAAAGUUAUUGCAUUAAGUACUUCUUUCCUGCUACAUUUGUUUGAUAAAAAAUUUGCUUAUAUUUAUGACACAUUUGAUUUAUAUACAAAAUUUUACACGAACGUUAUAUCACUUAAUUUGUUGAACUAGUAUAUGUAUUAAUCAUAUUCACUCAAAAGAAUCAUUGCGCUCACCAAUACACUUUCACACAGUAUACACACACUCUCUCUCGAUCACAUUUUCACACAUCCACACACGUUCUCUCUCGCUAGAAUAUAUAUAUAUAUAUAUAUAUAUAUAUAUAUAUACUAUAUAAUACAUCUAAAUACAAUCUCCCCUUCAAACAUGUAGAAUCUAUAUGCUUUUCUUCUUUCAAACAAACAUUUUACACAAAAAGCACAUGCUCCACGAGUCACACACAUACACAAAAACACACCUUUCAUAUUAGCAUAGAGCUUAUUAGUAUCAAAAAAAUAAUAUUUAAAAAUUAAUCUAACAUAAAACACACCUUUCAUAUUUAGGAUUAAACUACAAAAUACAUAUGGAAUAAAUAUUUCAAUUCAAUGCUUGCAUUAAAUUGACUAUCAAAUAGAUGUGACUUCAUGGAUAUAAGCAAAUUAAGAACUCAGGAAUUAGUUUUCAAUCUUUAUAUUUCAGAAAUCAAUUUUCAGUUUUAUCAAAUGCCGUCUAGGCCAUUGAAUUCUAUAAUAUUUUAUGGUUUCUUUUGACUGAUUCCCAGAAUAAUUCUUUUGAUUAAUUCUACUAAGUCUCUAUCGUGUUCACAAUUCCACCUCAUCUUCUUUUUUUGGGUACAAUCAAAACACAGGAUUCUAAAUUUUAUGAGAUUUUAUGUUGCACUCCUUCAUUUCCUUUUAAUGGUGAAAGAAGAAAUAUUGAACAAAUUGUUGAUCUCUUCCUCAUGGCCAAAAAUUAGGAGCAACACUCCAUUUCUUUUACUUCCCAAACUAGUCCAACUUUCCAAGCUGGAAUGUGCAAGAUACUAAACAAAUUAAGAAGAUUAGGAAAGAUACUACGAAUCACAGAUUCCACAAUGUAGAGUUGUGCAACGUAGGAACUUGACUAAAAAUCAAAGAGUUUGCUCCAAAUUAAAAAUUUUUGAAAGGAGAAAGCAAGAUCUAUAAUAAUGGAUGAUCAUAUAUGAUAUAUCAAAGUUACUGGAAGAGUGAAAUUAAGGAGAGGAUCAAUUACUAAAAUAUGGCCUACUUUAGAGCUAAAUUUAGAUUUUCAUUUGUUACCAAUAAUUUUUACUAUAACUUUAAGCUUUUUUUUUUGGAGCAAAAGAAAAGAAAAAUGUGUUGGUGAUUGUAGUGGUUAAGGUUUAGGCCAUUGAUCUAAGUUGUAACUCAAUCUAAUUAACCAAUAGGAGCAGUUUGUGCCCCUAGUAGAAACUAUUUCUAUUUCCACCUCUCUGUUCUGGAGCUUUCUUUAGAUUACAGAUAUCCCUAGGCUGGAUGGAGGAGCUGCAUCUGUUGUUAUCCUUAGGCUGGAUGGACUAGAUGGAGGAGCUGCCUCCGUUGUGUCAUCAUAGCCCAUCAAAACUCUAGUCCUAUUUAGCGAGUUUUUUGCUAAGUUUUUCAUUUGUAAGUUUUUUUAACAGUUUUAACUACAAUAACAUGAAAAAAAAACUGUUCAAGAACUUUUCAACAUACACAUUUUAAAAUACCUAAAAACACACACAAAAUUUUUUUCCUUCUUUCUUUUCUUCUUCUUCUUCCUCCUUCCCACAUCUCAACCCACCAUCACCAACACUGCUAGCUGGCACUUUGGCGGCGCCUUUGGCAACCUCCUCCCUUUUUUCCCCUCUUCUCUCCUCUUCCCCUUUUUUGCUUCCUCCUUCCUUCCUUUCCUCAUCUCCUCUACCCCUUUUCUUCUUCCUCCUCCCUCCUUAUCCCACUCGCCCCUUCCGGUCCUCCAUCUCCCAAAGGGAGGGAGUAGGAAGGAGGAAAGAAGGAGAAGAGAGGAGGAAAGGGAGGGAGGAGAAGGGGAGAAAGAGAGUAAGAAAAAAAAAUAUGUCUACCAGCAUCGUUGUCGAUUGCCGACAAAGGUACCAGCAAUGGUGGCUAGUAGUGGGAAGAAGGGGGAGUGAGGAGGAAGAGCAAUGGUAGGGUGGGAGAAAAACAAGAGGAGAGGAAAAAGAAAAGAUAAAAAAAAAAGGAAAAAAGUUUUACCAUCCAAACAAGUUUUUUUUUUUUUACAAAUUUUACGAUAACUUAUAGUAAAAUUUUGGACAAACACCCAAAAAAUUCAAUUGCCAAAUAGGACCUCUAUUUGAUACAACGUGAGAAGGAUUAAUGCUCUAUGGUCUCAAUCUCGAAUAUUAACUAAGUAUUCCAGUAGGACAAGUACGGUUGGUAUUAGGUGUGGUUGGCACGAUUAUUGUACUUUUUUGUAAUUUGAUAUACACUCAUAUAACUUUAUUAUUUAUCGUGAAAUAUAAUAAAAAUUAUGUUAGUAUACACCAAAUCAUAAAAUACAGCGAAAUUAUGUGAAUAUAAAUCAAAUCAUGAAAAGGGUAUAACAACUGUAUCAAUUGCACCUGUAGCUGUAGUUGAUCGUACCUGUCCCAUUCCUGUAUUUUAGAGUCUCUAAACUUUGCUGUAAAUAUUUCUUCUUAUUCUCAUAUUGUGAAACUAGGGGUGAACCCAAGCAAGGUGCGGGAGUGAGUACUUGUCGUGAAAUCUUGUAAAAAGUAAAAUUGUAGUUGUGUUGUUCUCAACUUUUUUUUAGAGAAAUUGGAAAUGUAUAAUAUGGUAACUUGUUGUAAUUUAUCAUUGUAUACAUAUUCUACAGCUUUAUCUUUAUUAAUAGAAUUUCUCAAUAAUCUCUCUUGUUUUUUCCUUUUCUUUGAGAGAUUACAAUCCAUAAUUGCUUGGUAAUAAAGACAUUAAAAUUUUACCAAAAAAUAAUUAAAUUGUACUACAAUAAAGCCAACACAAAUUAUAAUCUCUUCCUUGAUUUCUCUACCAGCUGAAUCUUCUUCAUCUUGAAAAAGAAAAACAAGUGGAGAAUGACACUAUUAGGAAAAUCUAAAAACUAAUAAGGCCAAAGAGCUAGAUAAUAAGUACUAUUCUUACCAAUGCUUUUGCAAAUCAAACACUAACAUCUUCAUUUUUAGCAUCAUCAUCAUUAAAUUCCAAGGCUUUCCCUUAUUCUACUUCUACAGCUUUGUCCAAAUAAACUUGUCAAAGCAUUUGAAAUAUCAAAAUCAUUUGAAAUUGAAAAACUAUUUCCAUAUAAUAAACAAUAAAUUCAAGUAUAUCAAAAGUGCACUUAGUUCUUCAAUUUUAGACUUUUAUUUCUAGCCACCCUCUUUGGCAAUUUGAAUAAUUGGAUCAUCAAGUUAUCAUGUCAUAAAAAAGCAAAUAAAAAAAUGUGCUUUUCAAGCUUAAAACACAAUAAUAAGUACCUGGGGGUGUUCAUACCAUCCAUAAACACUUAUGAAGAGGAUUUGCCUCCAUGAAUGAUUUUCUGAAACCCUUCCUAUGUAUACCAUUGCUUUUCGCGCCACGUUUUUGGUCUGUUUUCUAUUUAAGAGUAAUAUAAGAGUAAAAUUUAGUAAUUUUUAUUCAAAAUAAAGUUCAAAUAACAUAAUUAACUACCAACUUAUACAUAUAAAUACACUAUAAUUUAUGCCCUAUCAACAACUCCAGUAGGCCGAAGGGAAAGAUCAUUUUGAAAACACUCAGAUUCUGCAUAUCCUACUUGUUCACAAUAUGGACAAAUAGAAUGCCAAUUUUCGUACUCAACAUGUUGCCAAAAGCCAUAAUCAUCGUCUCCCAUCCAUAUUUGUUUUAUUGGCAUGUUAGAAACAUCCAACUCAAACACACUCGGGCGGCUGAAGGCCGUUUCAAUUCUGAUGUUGCUGAAGAAUUUGGGCCAACUUGUGUUACUAGUCACUUGAAAAAAGAAACAACAAAAAAAGCUAGACACGUAAGGAAAGAAGCUCGCAAAAAAGAAUUUGUAAAGUUGGUUUCUUUUUGAAAUGUUAUUAUUAACGCAAUUUGUGUAACUCUACUUUUCUCCUUCCCUCUUUUUCUUUAAGAACCUGUAGAGAAACAAAGCCAUGCAUGAAACCAAUUCAAAUUAUAAAGUUUCGUUUUGGCCACUUUGUCCUUAUAAUUUUUAAUGUGAAACUAUGAACUGAAUUUUACACCAAUCUUAAGUUUUGACCAUCAUUGUUUUCAUUAUUAAUAAAAAAAAAAGCAUUAUUCAUAACUUUCCAGGGUAAUUGUGCUGCUCAGUCAAUUCACAUUAAAGUCCGCAAGUGAUGGAAGUUUAGUUUUACAUAUAAUAUAAACAUUGAGUGGAAGCAAACAGAACCAUAAAUAUUCUCAACAGUAGAGAUGUGCCGAAACAUAAAAGGUUCUUGUAUGAAUACAUUGAUUUUGGAGAACAUAUAUCUCUAAUGAUAUUGACUUUGAUCUGGUACUUUUUGCAUGUUCUUUUCUUCUUUAAUACCUUUUUUUCCUGAAGAAUAAGAGGAAACUAGAACUAAUGAUAUCGUUCGUGCUAAAUUAUAAUCAAGAACAAACACGAAUUGACAAUCAAACUCUGGGGAUUGAUAACCCAUGUUAUAUUUAUUCACGUUAUCUCUGGCUUAGACAGCCAUGAUUACAUUUAUUUCAUCUCUCAUAUGACAACGAGAGGAACUUAUUUAGUCACAUAAGACUUUAUCUUUAUGUCGCAAUUGCUUGGGGACUUUAGCAUGGACUUGCGAUCGCAAGCCAGCGUUUCAGGGUUAACAUAAGGCCUGAUUGCCUGACUGUAAUUCUCGUCAUAGAAUGCGUUCCAAAGCAUGACGCCUCCAUAGUUGGGAUAGCCCCGGACAUAGGGAAGAAUUUCGCGAAUAAGCACCUGAGGUGGAAUGUAACCGCCACUAGGAGCGGCUUCAGGGGAUGCAGGUAAUCCCAGGAAUAGUUUAUUAACUCCUGGGUAUGAAGCCCAAUGAGAACUCCAACUGUAGAAGAGGUUGUUGGCAUUGCCCAUACUAUACUGACAAGGCGGAUUGUUGUAAAAUUGCACCCACACAUAAUCAAAGAGGCCAGUUCUGAUAGCAGCGUCGAGAUAAUAGUCAGGAUAGAAACAUUGUGGUGCUGCAGAUAAGUGCACCCUCCUCUCUGAUGUGCUAUAUUCUGAGAGCGCCUUGGCGAGAUCAUCCAAGAAAUCCCUCUUUCCACCUUGGAUAUGAAAGUCUAUACCGUCUAAGACAGCAUCGCCUAAUGGACGAUUUUCUGAUUCACCGCCAAGGAAAUUAUUAUAGAGAUAGGACGCGACUUCCUUGGCAUCAUCGGCGGAAGAGAGGUUUGGAGCUCCACCGAGAGAAAGAAGCACUUGGGUGCCUCGGCUCUGGCAAGCUUUUAUCUCAGAACUAAGGGAGGAGCAAUCGCUUGGCUCACAAUGCCCAGCUAAGUUCAAUUCUGGUGUCUGGCCACCGCCAAAAUUUAUCAGAAAGGCAAGAUUCACGUAGUCGUAGGUAUUUCUCCGGCAUGCGUCUUCCAGGCUUCCUUCGUCGGUGUGUUGGCCCCAGUAGGUGGCAAUUCCAGCAGCAUCGGAAGACCUGAUCAGUGAAGAUAACAUCCACAGGGAUGUUAUUGCUAUGAGUAGUGAUCUAAAACAGCGAGCCAUGCUUUCUUCUCUCGGUUGUUUUUGCAGGUUGCUUUGGGUAUAUUUAGUUGCCCACAGAUCGAUCCCUUUUAUAGAUGAGUCCAGCUACCUGUGUGGCGAAUUGAAGACGUGCCAAAUGGUACCCAUCCCUUUACAGAUAUGUGUAAUGUGUGCUUUAUCUAUAAUAGUUGAUAGUUUUACCCAAAGAAAAGUAUUAUUCGUUCCUAGAGUAUUCGCAUCGAUCAAUUAUUGACAACAUCAGUAAAUUUCUUUACUCGUCAUUUCAACUAUAGCACAGCUAUCUUUUUAUUUUUGGCUCUUGGGAAGCUUAAAAGUGCCAUAAUCUUAUAAACCGGGUAUUGAAGACAGGACCUUUAGAAGUUGAAAUAUAACCUUAUAUUUCAACCACAGGCCAAAAGUCUACUGGAAAAUAUAUUUCAGAUGUCAUAUUUUUUAAAAUAUAAAAUUAAUUAAGAAAAAUAAAAAAUACAAGAGAUGGUUGGUAAAAUUAACAAGUAUUCAAUAGAUAUCCGUUAACAAACUCUUUAAAUAAAACUAAUAUUUUAAAAUUCAGUCUAGACUAUUCGAUCGAGCUAAUUGAACCGUUGAUUGGGUAGUUUUCUGAGUUGAGUUAAGCCUCAAACUAAGAGAGAUAAAAAAAAACCGAUCUAAAUAGUAAAAACCAAUUAGAUCUUGGCCAGACCAAUGAACCGUCGCCGAAACGGUGUUUACUAAACCGUAAUCUUGCUUUUCUUUGAAAAAAUUGCGGUCCACAUUAUCGGAUGUCCCCUGAGGGACGGCGGUCCCACGUUAUCAUACCAUCUUCAGACAAGAUCGACAUACUUUGUGACAUUUUCCUAUUUAUUCCUCAUGCUUGCUUUAUUUUAAGUUGUCUUCAUCGAUCAUGAACCAAAGUACUUUAAUACUACUCAUUGAUCAACUAAGUAUGGAUUUACAAGAUUCAUGUUAGUGGUCUACAUGAUAACAGUAAAAUAAAAAAAAACAAAAAAAUGAUAACAGUAAAAUAUAUUUCAGGUAUUAAAUUUUUAAAAAUAUAAAAUUAAUUUAAAAAAGCGUAUAAAUGCAAGGGAAUUAAUUAUGAAAAGUAUAUAAAUGCAAUGGAAGUUAGUAAUUGUUAGUGUGUGUAUAUACAUGAUAGGUUAGGUGUAAUAUAGAUUUGUUAAUGAGUGCCCCUUGGUCACCUGUUAAAAAAUCCUAUAUGAUAAUAAAGAUAACAUUUUAAUUAGGAAAGAUUGUUCAAAAUGUAUCUCACAAUUUAUCAAAUGAAUAUUUUUCAUUGUUUACUUUUAAAAUGGUAACUUUAUAUCCUUUAUAAAAUCAAGACAAUAAAAUUUAGUUCCAACUUAGAUUUUCAAUCAUUUUUAACCAAAAUCCAUCAUGUGACCACAUAUGGUCAUUUUUUAGAGACAAAAAGGUUAGAUUUCAUUUGUAGUUAAACAAAUGAUUGGAUCUAUAUUCAUUUUUACCCUAAAAAAGUAGGAUCGCAUUUAAAUUAUAUGCAUUUUUUCCCUAAAAAAGUGAAAUUUGACACAAUCUAUAUUUAUUUUUGUCACUAAAAAAGUGGGAUAUGACAUUUUUUAUGCAUAGAAAAUGAAAAAAUUGUAAAUUUAGUACCAAAUGUUUGGGAUAUCAGCAGUUUUAUUCCUUAAAGUUUGGACAAAAGUAAAUCUAGUCCCAAAUAUUUCAAUUUUUAAGCACAUUUAGUCCAAUUGAUUGAUUUUUGACAAAUUGUUAUCGGAAUUCAGUCACAUCAACAACAUAUGUCAGUAGCUUAAAUUUUAAAAAUAAAUAGAAAAAAGAAAAGAUGUUGGUGGCCAUAAUCUUUAUUUAAGGGCAUAAUUAGUCACACACAGAGUAGUCAUGUAGUUAAAGAGCAAAGACUAAUUACUAUGCAUAUGACUAAUUAGUGCCCUUUAAUUACAAAAAAUGGCCACCAAUAUCUUUUCUUUUUUCUAUUCUUUUUCAAAAGUUAGUUGUCGAAACGUGCUAUUGGCGUGACCAAAUUCAAGCAAUAAUUUGCCAAAAUCAGUCCUUUGGACUAAAUAUGGUUGAAAAUUAAAACAUUUAGGAUUCGAUUUGUUUUUGUCCAACCUUUAAAUACUAAAACCAUUGAUGGUACUAAAAUUGUAACUUUCUCUAAAAAAAAAAAAAAGACUGAAUUUGGGUCACAUGGUGAUUUUAGGCAAAAAAGUGAUCAAAAAUUUAGGUUGAAACCAAAUUUUACUAACUUGAAUUUAUAAAAGAUGUAAAGUUAAUAUUUUAAAAGUAAAAAACAAAAAAAUUAUUUAACAAAAUAUGAUAGAUGUAUUAAACAAUUUUUCCUAUUAAUUAUUUAUGAUACAUCUCUGAUGUCAUAAAUUAACAAUGAUUUGAUAACAUUUGGCCCAAUGAUUUUUAACCUAGUAAGAUUUUUAGUUUAAUAAAUGGCUUGGAUUUUAAAACCUUCUUAAAAACCUUAAUUUUCAGAACCACUCAUGGAUGAUGUGGUGCAUAUUCAAGAGCCACAUAUAUCAUCAUAAUAAUGUAAUAUUACUUGCAUCAUCAUGUUUCACUAAGGGUCCGUUUGUUUCGGGUGAAAAUGUUUUCCAGGAAAAUAUUUUCCUAAUUUCCCGUGUUUGGUUGCACAAAAGUUACUGAAAACAUUUUCCUAUGUAAAAUAUUUUCACUCAUCUUGUGGAAAACAACUUCCCUUCCAAACUUACUGAAGUUGUUUUCCGAAAUGCAUGCAUCCCGCCUGUAGUAUGUUCCAAACUUACUGAAAACAUCUUGUAAUAUGUUCUUUUUUUUUUUUAGUGCAAACAGGAGGACUCGAACCCAAGACCUCUUCCUUACACUCCCUCCCCUGUACCACCCAACCCAACCCAAACCUCCCCCUAGUAUAUUCAAAAUAAAAAAAAAACCUCAUUCUGCUCAUCCUAUGCUAGUAAUUAAUUGUGUAUAAUAGGGACAUUCUUUUCUAAAGAAACUUUCAGCAGUGAGAGUGCAAGAUAUAUGUCAUAAUAAGCAUUGCAUGUGAUUGAUAUUUGACACUAAAUGGUCAGCAAUUUGUUUAUUGCUUAAGGAGAUAUUUUUUAUUCAUAUAUACAUUUCUCCAAGAUUUUUUAAAGUUAAACAAUGAGAUAAAUUUUCUUAUUUUGCAUGAGAAGAAGUAUGUAGUUAUAAUGUGUAGAAAGUAAAGAUAGAGAUAAAAGUGAAAAUAUUUCAAAAGUUAAACAAACACCAGAAAAAUGAAAUAAGAAAAUAUUUUCAAUAAGCUAACCAAACACCUGAAAAUGAUGAAAGGGAAAUGAUUUUCAUGAAAAAUUAUUUCCACGGAAAAUAUUUUCCCAAGGAAAACAUUUUACUUCUAACCAAACAGACCCUAAAUGAGUGUGCCUUUCAAGGAAGAAAGGGGAGCAUUUAUUUAUUUGUCUAAAGGAUGAAAGGCACUUUGUCCCUUUGAAUGAUGGCGCUCCUCUAAUUUUACCCCCUUGAACCAAAACAAUACACACUUCAUUUUCUUUAUGCCAAAUUUUUUAUCUUAUUAAAUCAAUUUCAACCAGUGUCACAAAUUUUCCUCUUUUACAAAAGUAGUUCCUCUUUUACAAAUUUUCCUGUUACAUUACCUAUCUAUUUAAUUAAAAAUAUCUCUUUCAAUGCGACAACGUCAGUUUGACAAGUUGUGCAAAAUUUAAUAGUACUGAAAAGAAUAUUCGUUUUAGAUACUGCCCAGCCAAUCACAUCCAAACAUCCAAGAACAGGACUGAAAUUUGUGCCUUUCAAUGCGUAAUAAUGCUCGAGGCAGCUACUGUCCUGACUUGACCUGACCUAUAUUAUGAGAGUCACUGAUUUCUAGGUUCGCUGCUUCAAGUCUCCACGUUGAUACAGAACAGACAAUUCACUGUUACCUUUCCCCGCGUCGUUCUUGGCAUUUCCCAACCUAACCUAAUCCAAAUGGGUUUGAAAGAUACUUAGGCAGACUCGAUAUCCCGAACUAGAGCUGCAAACGAGUCGAGUCGAGUCGAGUUUUGAGCUAAUCGAGUCGAGUUUUAGCUAAAUUUUAUCAAACUCGAGCUCGAGCUCGAGCUCGACGAGCUGGCAAUUUUCGAGCUCGAGCUUGAGCUCGAGCUCGAAAAAAAUAAAAAAAAAAUAUAUUUUUAAAAAAAAUAAAUAAAAUAAUAUUUUUUUCUGAAUAAAUAAUAAAAUAUUAAGGAUAUAUCCGUAAUUUCACUAUGAAAAUAAAAAAUAAAAAAAAUAUAUAUAUAAUAUACGUAAUUUUAUUAUUAAAUAAAAAUAAAAAUAAAAAUAUAUAUAUAUUCAAACUCGCGAGCCGGCUCGCGAGCUAACGAGCUUAAUAUUCUGAACUCGAGUUUGAGCUCGAGUUUGACUCGAACUGGCUCGAGCUCGAUUAAUGUCGAGCUCGACUCGAGCUUGACUCGAGCCGCUCGCGAGCGGCUCGAUUCGUUUGCAGCCCUAUCCCGAACCGCUCUUGGACUCUAUAGCCAUAUCGAGUUUCUUUAGAAUCCAAUGCUAGUUAUAUCGACAGACAUCACUUAACCAAUAAUGUAACUCGCCAAUUGAUUACGUGGUCUACAGAUAAAGCCAUAGAUUUAACUUCUGUUAUUUGUACUGGAGGGUGAGCUGCUAAUUAAUUUCUUAGGUUUGUCCUUCCAAGCUGACAUUUAGAAAGGUUGGGCUGAUUAUGUAAUUGCCCAAGAAAGCUGGCCAAUGGCUGUGUAGAUAAUUAAAAUAGGGUAAUAUUAUUUAUACUCGCAUUAUCUCAUUUUUAUUUUGAUGAGGCCACAGAUUACCCCCUCUCUAAUUUUUUCUCCUUGCUUAUGAGUUAACUUUACUAGAUUUUCUCUUAUAUUCUAAAACUAAUUAAUUAUUCCAUUACACACUAUAAUGGCUAAUUUAAAAUUGUCACUAAUAUACAUUAUGUAUUUUUCUACAAAACUUUACGAAAUUAUAUGAUGCUAUAAAUCAAUCUAGCAAUGUAAUAUGAACAAAUUCCAAAAUUCAAGCCCAAAAUAAAUAAAUAAAUACAUAAUUUCAAGUUUCAAAGAUGACUGAAAAUUGAGUAUCACCACAAUGUCUCAUAAAUAGGAUACUAAUACUUCAAAAAAAGUCAACUAAGAAUAGCUCAUAUAACCACCAUAGAGGGAGUGAAACUUUCUAAUAUAUUUCAACAAAAGGAUAACAGCAUCUAACAUCCAGAUAAUGGCAAUGGAACCUCAAUUGUGCUCAUCAAAACCUGCAAAAUUGAAAUUGAAAUAAGAAUAUAAAAAAUAAAUUAAAAAACAGUUAUGUAAAUUUAGAAAAAGAGAAGUAAAAGUUAAUUUUUUUUAACUUUUGGACACAUACGACAAUUAUGCCCAACUUCCUUGCAUGUUAGGAGAAGAAAUUAGGAUAGGAGUAAUAUGGUCUUAUCAAGAUGAAAAUGAGAUAGUGAGAGUGUAAAUAACAUAAGGGAAGUACAAAUUACAUUACCCUUAAAAUAAGCCAAUUAUUAAAUUAAAUUACUUAUGUGGCAAGUUUUUUUAAUUUGUUGGUUUACUGACUUAGAGAAUUUAUAAAUUGAUGCGGCAAAGAUAUAUUUCCCUAUGUUCCGGUUAUUAAAGUUUGGGAAGUUACAUUUAUCAUGGUGACAGUGGGAUACUAAUAGUAUUGCAAUAUAUUUUUGUGCGUUGUCAAUAUUGUUAUAUCUGUUAGUUUCCUACUCCUUUGUGACUGGAAUCUGUUGGAUAUAUACUUUAUAAAUUGAAUUACUGUCAUCAUUUUUUUUUUUAAAGAGAGAGUUGAGUUAUGGAAAUUGAGAAAAUUUCUCUAAAAUUGUUGUUAUCUGCGAGCAUUAUUGUUUAUUGGGUUAUUAUUGUGUAUUUGCCGAUCUCCUCUUCUUCCUGCAUAUUUUUAUAUGUGUUAAAAUAAAUUUAACUGUGCUUAGUUUUUUUUCCUUUGGGCCAACAGGUUGGAACAUGCAAAUCAGAAUUGAUGAUGAAUAGGUCUAAACAAACCUUCUCUCUUGAACAUCCUAGUUCGAACUUGUCUCUGGGCUACAAAAUUGUUUAUGCAAAUCUGAUUAAUUAAUGUUCACUUGUACAUCCAAGUUGGGGCGCACAAUUUUCUAGUUAAGAUAUUGAAGACAGAAUUGAUGUAUAGAGUUAUCAACACUUCUUUUUCUUCUUUUAUUACUGAAUUGAUUGACACCAACCGCAUCGGACAACCCGAACGGGACCAUUGUUGUCUUGUCGAUACAACUUCUGCUGGUACAUCCUAAAUUAUUGUGCUAGCACAGAACUUUGGUACCACUCCUUCCUAUCCAUUCCUUCGUUUUUCAUCAGAUGCUUCACUACAUGCAUGAAUUGCGAAGAGUCGCGUUGAGUAAAGAAAAAAAUCAUAACUGGUACAGCUAUUUAUAGGACAAAGCUAUGCAAUUUCCAUGAAGCUACAUUAAUUUUGUCCCUACUCAAUGAAAAUCACUUAAACGAACGUGCUAAAAUGAAAUCUUGUUGGUUGAAUUGCAAGUUUUCAGAGUUUUUGUUAAAAAAAAAAAUUAUUAUAAUAAUAUAAUAUAUGUAAAAAAAAAAGAUAAUUAAAAAUAUUUUAAAAUUUUUCAGUAAAAACUCACAAUUUUUCUGUAAAAGUUUUUCAAAAAUUAGUUUUUCAAAUACUAAUUAAAAUUUUUAAAAAGUAGUCUAAAUUUUUUAAUAUUUAAAAAAAAUCUCAAAAUAUAUUUUAAAAACUCUUCUACUCUUAAAUAUUCCAAAAUAUUUUCUAAAAGUAUUUCAAAAUAUAUUAUAAAAACUCUGUUACAGUAAAAUUUUUUAAAAAUAUCUCCAAAAAUAGCUAAUCCAAACGCGUAGUUUUUUGGCAUGACUAACUUCUCAUUGCAGUUCUCAUAGUUUUAAUUAACGCUGAGAUUCCAUCGUCAAGGUUAAACAUUUCCAAGUACGAGCUCUAUGUAAAUCAGUGAAGGAGAGUGCAACACGAAAGCCAAGGAUAGACAGCAUUCAGAACCCAAAAGCUUUGCAGUGGAGAUUUACUUUUUCCUUUUUGAGAAAGUUAAAUCUAUUUCGGAGUAAGAGAAUGUACGUAACAAUCACUGUGAUAAUAAAGCUAAAGUGAAAUUUUACUUGCAAGGAUGCAAAUAAUGUAUAACAUUAUAUACGUGUCAUGCAUUCAAAUAUGGGUUGCGUCUACGGUGUAAAGUUCACCUUUCUGCCCAUAGUAGGCAGAACCAAUGCAAGGAGGCCAGCUGUGCUAUGUCGGACGCACAAAGAAGGACAUCCGAACACCACUAGAGAAAGCCGGUUUGGCUUGGAUGAAAAACGUUAUAUAUUUUAAAAUUACAAUAAAAGUCCUCUUAAAAAUUUGUUCAUCAUCUAAUGCCCAAUACUUAUAUUUGAUAAAUUAAAAUAGUUAAUUAAAUAUUCUAUUAUAAUAUAAACAACUAUAUGUCAUUGAGUUGAUUGAAUGAUAUAUUUUUUUUUGUAUUUCAAUUAGUUGUCAAUUAAGUUUCAAUUGAAAUAAAUAUUUUAUAAUUAUUUAAAUUAUCAAUUUAAGAUGAGCAUAAAUAUAAAUACAUUAAAUUGUAUUAUUGAAAUAUUUGAUUUAAUAUAAAAGAAAGACAAGAAGAAAUACAAGAAAUUUUUUAAAAAUUCAUGUGAGUCCUUUAUAUUAGUAAUCACAUUUACUUGUUAUUAUAAUUACAAUGCCUAACCAUAACCAAUUGAAACUCAUAUACACAAGUCAUACAACAAUUUGCGUUAUAAUGUUUACAAUUAAAGUUACUAUACACUCAAAUUAAAAUUCUCUUUUUUCCACUAAAAUUUCUUUUAUAUUAAAUCAAAUAUUUCAAUAAUACAAUUUAAUGUAUUUAUAUUUAUGCUCAUCUUAAAUUGAUAAUUUAAAUAAUUAUAAAAUAUUUAUUUCAAUUGAAACUUAAUUGACAACUAAUUGAAAUACAAAAAAAAAAAAGAAAAUAUCAUUCAAUCAACUCAAUGACAUAUAGUUGUUUAUAUUAUAAUAGAAUAUUUAAUUAACUAUUUUAAUUUAUCAAAUAUAAGUAUUGGGCAUUAGAUGAUGAAUAAAUUUUUAAGAGGACUUUUAUUGUAAUUUUAAAAUAUAUAACGUUUUUAAUCCAAGCCAAACCGGCUUUCUCCAGUGGUGCUCGGAUGUCCUUCUUUGUGCGUCCCCACAUAGCACAGCUGGCCUCCUUGCAUUGGUUCUGCCUACUAUGGGCAGAAAGGUGAACUUUCCACCGUAGACGUAACCUUCAAAUAUGUACGGUUAGAAAUAAAGAGAGCCUUUGUUGAAGGGGGGCCAAGUCCAUUCACUGACAUCCAACCUGCAAUCAAAGACAGAGUCCAAGUGUUCCAUUGUACACGGUUCACGAGAUCGAGAUAUGCGAAGUUUCGCUGAAAGAAGCUCAUAGAAUAAGAUUUGCUAUCACAAUAAAUGUUAUGUCUUCAUAUCUUUAAUUAUGAUAAUCCGCUUGCGAUCAUUACUGAUUUCACAAUCACUGUCUUUGGAUACCAUUCUAUGAAACAUUUCCAGUUUUUUGGUCUACUUGUAAUUGAAGAUAAUUUCCACAGAACUAGUCAAUAAUAAUCCACCAUCAACUGUGAGAAAGCAAAACACCUACAAAUCAAUUGCAAGUGCGAAGGCUCUGAUUUGGUGCUGAAUUGGGCACUUAUUCGUGCCAAUUCAAUCCUAAAUUUUCCUUCUCCAUUCUUCAACCUUUCAAUAUCCAGUUACAAGAAGAACAAAAUAUAGUGAACAACCAUCAAUUCAGUUUUGGCAUUUUUCCAGCAUGCAUGCUUGAUUGCUAUGACCGUAGGGCAGUUUCCUUUUUCCGUUUAUCAAAUUCCGUGAUGAGUCCAUAGAAAAUUCAUCCGAAUUCAGCCUUUCUCACGUAAGAAGAAUAUAUGAUUACAAUUGCAUACAAAUGACCAAAUCAAUUAAAGAGGGACAAAUUCAAGAAGACCAAUAAUAUAAAAUUCCAAAAAUCCAUAGGUUGCACGCAAUAAUUCUCACAAAUUUCAAGUUAUAAAAAAAGAAAUUUUGCAAAGGAGGGCCUACUUCGAUGCUGGCACAGUGACGAUGAACUGCAAAGUUUGGGGUCUCUUUCAUGUUUUGGUUUAUCCUUUUUAGGGUUGUUAAAAAUUAAAUUUGGGGAGAUAAGGUUGACGAUUGAUGAAAUCUGAUGAAAAAGUUGUUUUUUCUAUGGCAUAUUGAAGAAUGGUGGUAUAUUCGAUCAAUGGUAUCCAAUAGUCUUGAAAUAGAAACACAAUUUUUUUUUUAUUUAAAAGAGACUUUUGUUUGUUUUUUAAAUUGAUAUGCAUCACAAAGUUUAUCCUUUUUAAGUUAAUUUUGAGCAAACCUCUAACGAGUUCUUUUGUGAAAAUUUCAUUUAAUAAAUCCAUAUUGAAAUGGCAAAACCUUCUAUUCCGCAGUUAAGGAUCAUCAUUUGUAACCUUAAGACACUAAUCUUACUAUCAUCAAUUUUCAAGAUAUAUCACAUAAAUAUCAUUGUAUCUUUUGCCUUUGAAUACAACAUUAAAAUUAGUAUCAAGAAUCAAAUAUUCACGCCUUUUAAACAAUACAUAAAGAUAUCUAUCACAUAAUUGAUUAACACUGAAUGAAUUAUAGCUUAAGUUAUGAACCAAAAUAAUAUUUUGAAUGAAAGUGUCACCGUUUUUGUCAAUAUCUCCUAUUCCAAUGGUUUUAGCCUUCAUGUCAUCUCUAAAGGUGUUCUUUUCACUACUUUCUAGCUUGAACUUGAUGAAUAGAGAUGGAAUACCAGUCAUGUGUCUUAAACACCUAUUAUCAAUGAACCACUUUAAUCCUUAUGUGGUGUUCUUCAAGUAUACCUAUAUAUAAAAAUCAAGAAAUGAUAUUUGGUACCUUUUUAUUAUUUGAUCCGUAAUUGUUAGUACAAGAUUUAAAUAUCCACAUACUAUUAGGAAUACUAAUUUCUUAUCCAAGUGGUUUCUUUCCCAACAAAUCUAGUGAAUUAUAAACAAGACAUUAUUUAGGAUGUUUUCUAGAGAGAGAGAGAGUCUAGAAAAAUUUGUUAGGUUUUCUACAAUGAUUUUACUUUUUUUUUACGAUUUGAGAUUUCAAUAAUAUUGUGAGUUGAUUAUUUUUUUGUCUCCUACAUUUUUUUUGAACGUCUAUUUUAUCCCUUCAAUCCUGUAACCCUGCACGCAUUGGUUAUUAUUAAAACCCUAAAAUUUAGGUUCCACAGAUCUCAGGUGGCAGAGGAUUCCAAUGACUAGAGAAAACUAGGAGUUCUGUACGGAACGGAAUAUUUCAAUGAACAUUUUUUUAAGGUGUUAAUGGAGUUUAUUAUAUGGCAAAUUACACUUUACCCCGUGAUUUAGUGUUUUUAUACAUAACCUCCCUAUGGUUUCAAAAGUUAUAUAUAACUCCCUCAUGAUUUGGAUUAAAGUGUCAAAAUGACGGAAAUGAGUAUUCGUAACGGAGUCAUUUAAAAUGUCAAAAAUACCCUUAUGUAAAAUUGAAAAUUAUUUAUUAACCCAAAGGGGUUAUGUGUAUAUUUUGAAAAUCAUAAGGGAGUUAUAUGAUAAAGUAUUAAAUUAUAAGUGAGUUAUAUAGUAAAAUAUUAAACCAUACGGGGUUAGUGUGUUAUGUAUUUAUAAAGGUAAUUUCGACAUUUUUAAAUGUUAUGUUACGAAUGAUAAUUUCCGUUACUUUGACACUUUAAUUUAAAUCAUGAGGGAGUUAUGUAUAAUUUUUGAAAUCAUAGAAGGGUUAUAUGAAAAAUCGCUAAAUCAUAGAGGAGUAAAGUGUAAUUUGCCCUUUAUUAUAUAGUGAGUUUUGGUAACUCUUUAGUGAUUUGACAAUGCAUGUGUAGGGUUUAGUAGUCGUUUUGUCCUCUGCUACUUUCGGGUGAAUUCUCUCGUUUUUUCAAUAAUAUCGUGUUUUAUCAAAUAACAUCGAAUCAACAGUAGCUAUAAAUAUCUUGACUGAUCAUGCCGACCGCACUACUCUCAUCUUUCUGUAUCACAGGAAUGUUUGGAUAGAGUAUUAUUUAAAAUAUUAUUGAAAAUAAUUAAUGUAACAUUUUUUAUAACGUGAUGUAUGUGAGAUAAAAAAAUAAUUAAAAAUAUAAAAAAAUAGAUUGAGAAAUAUGUUUAUGAUACAAGUAAAAUAUUAUUUAACAAAAUUGAGUUAUCAUGGCUCAAGUGGAGGCUAUUGCCCCUACUUAAGUUUUAAAAAAAACUCUAUAAACAAAUUUAGACACUCUCUAACUCAAAAUCGACAUUUCUGUCUUAUUAAAAUAGAUAAAUAGACAGAUUUAGUGGCCUUCUCCUCAUUUUCUUCUUAUCUUCUAAUAGCGACAUCCAUGGACCAGAUUGAAAAUAUAAUGCUGUUUUUAUGCGUUUAGCCGUUUACCCAUUGUAAAAUGCAUGAGCUUUGAUACCAAAAUGACAAAACACAUAGGCCUACCAUUGGCUCCUUUUCAAGUAUUCCUUAAAAACUUUCGAAUUAUCAUCGCUAAAUGAACAGGGCAAAGUUGGGAUAUUGAGCAGAUUUCCUUCUUCAAUGCCUUUUCUUUUUAGCUGAUAAGACGUUUAUGUUGAAAAAUUGCUAUUGCUACUGAUCGAGAUGCGACGCGACAAUCACUGAGCCACCAGGAAGGGACUUAAGUCCCUCCAUGGGCUGUUGGCGAGGGUUCAAACCCCAUCAGCAGCGAAAAAAAUCUAAGAGUUGUGCCAUAGCACUCUCUUGGUCUAGUUGGGUCUGUAUACCCACUAGCCCCUACAACAGCCUCCUUAGGUUCCCCCUUCCCCUAGAUUAGAAUAGAGUAGAUUAUACAAAUGUAUCGUUGCUAACAAAAAAAAGAGAUGCGACGCGACAAAUAGGUUGGGAAGGAGGUAAUAAUAAUUAGUACGUACUCUCAAUGCAAACACAUGUGAGUAGACACGGAAAUAACUAUUUUAUUGAGUCUCAAAUAUUCAGCGAAUUUCUAGAAAUAAUACUAAAUUUAGAAAACUUUCUCCACUUAGAGUUGCCGUAUUUUUCAAAUGUAGCAACAACAAAACGGUAUUUUUAUUUUGAAUUAUUUUUUGGUGUCACAAAUGCGGCGACAAUUAAAGAGUAUUUUUUUUGAAUUAUUUUUUGGUGUCAGAAUGACUAAAAUUUUUUAUUUUUUUAUACAUCUUCGCGGGCGACUGUGAAAAUGACCAUUUGGAUGCGGCGACACCAAGAUGGGAGAAGUCUUAACCGUCAAGUUUCUUUAUAUUAGAUCUAAAUUUUAUCAGAUUUUGUUGUUGAAGCUGAGAUUUCUUAGAUCUACCUAGUCGGAUCUCACUUCAACAUUAGGCUUAAAUCACUUCAUUAGCAUAUCUCGGAGGAAGCAAACGGUACAUUUGAAAGUAUUUUUGAGACUAUAAGUGCUUUAUUAUUCGAUAUUUUUCGAGUUCUGCAGUAUAAUUACAUUUUGUUGUUUUUUCAAAACUGUAAUGUCUAGUAUUUGUUCUUCGAAUAUGUUGCCACUAGUACGGAUUUGAUAAAAUGAUGAUGAUUUUAUCCCCAAAAAAAAGACUAUAGAAUUAAGCCCGUACAAAUGUUUUUGGGGGGGGGGGUGCUUGUGUAGGCAUUGGGUAGUAAAAAGGUUGUGGACAAAAUUGAAGAAAACAAAUUAGUAGGGCACAACGUGACAAAGUUUUUCGUAAAGUAUAAGACCAUCAACGAACAGGUAUUGUGAAGUGAAAUGAAAGAGACCUUGAAAACUUAUCCUCCUUCAAAAAAAAAAAAAAACUUAUCUUCACAAAAAUUUCAAGGCCAUCCAGCCUGCAACAUUCAUGUUUGCAUUGAAGAUUGUUCAUGUGUCAAUCACGAGUCUUUGUCUAUAUCUCCUUGGGCCAUGAGACGAUCAUGUAGAUAUUGUAAAUUAAUAUUUUUUUUCCUUUUUUCAGUAAUCUAUCCCUAUCAAAAAUUUAGAAUGUCCAUUCUCUAAUUUAUAAAAUUAUAAAACUAUAUACUAUUUACUUUUCUCAUAUUGUAAUUUACCACCACGCACCAUCAAUUAGAGUAAUCCUAAGAUUUAUUGGACAUUGAUUGUUAAGUUGAGCAUGAUAUCAACUAUUUUUACUAUAUUUGUAUUAUAUUUUGUAUUUUAAAUUUUAUAUAGUUGUUUACUUUAACUCUUUUCUACGAAUAUUUGUUAAGAAAAAAAUUUCAAAGACAAAAAAAAAAAAAAAAAAGCUGAUGCAAGCAAAAGUAAACAACCAGACAUUGCAUAUCCUUCAAUUUGAUUUAUUUUAGCGUAUUUGACCAAAAUUAUUACAAAGGGCUUAAUCCAACCAAAUGUCUCGAGUAGCUCACUAACUAGUUUUCUUGAUUUAAUGCACUUAGUCACACCACGUCUCACUCUCAUUAUAAUUAACAAUGAGAAGGGAUCCUCUUGAAAACAUCAGAUGCAGAAGAAAGCCACUUGUUAUAGACCCAUACCUUGGUCCGUAUCCAACGUCAAAUAUAUUUGUUUGGAUAGUAAACUUAUUCCAAAUAAUAUUUCGCUUGCAUCAUAAACACAUUUUUCAACCCAUCUUUUUAUAUUUCCAAUCACCUUUUUAUUUCGCAUACAUCACGUCACAAAAAGUACUACAGUAAUUAUUCCAAAUAAUAUUUCAAAUAAUACUCUAUCCAAGCAAGAACUAGGAACAAUCCAUAUGUUUACGAAAGCAGUUCUAGCAAUUGGUCAGAUCUAAUGGCCUGUAACUCACAUCGUAAUAUUUUAUAUUUUAUAAUUCUGUUAAAUUUAAUGAUUUUUCAAAUUAGAUAUAUCUUUCAUAUGUUUUAUAUAUUUUCUGCCAUUACUGGUCUUUUUUCGUCAAACAAAUCGUGAUAGAUGAUUUUCAAUUAGUUUAUUAAUAAUAUUGACUCCUAUUUUAUCAAAAAAAAAAAAAAAGAACUAGGAACAAUCGAAACAAUCACUAGGCACAGGCACAUACCAGAAGGAUGUUGCUUGAGCUUAUCAAUAUGAACCCACGCAAUCAGCAGACUGCCUUUUGCCGAUGCCGCACUAAGGCUUCUUAAGUUUAUUUUAUCAACUCAACAAUCCAAUAUCCAAUGACUUUGGAAAAACUGUGUGGAAAUUUAUCCUCAAACGAGAUCAAGAUCUAUGAAGUUUCACGAAACCGUGCUCAUAGGACUAGGGUCUUGUUUGGUAGAUAAGUUUUUUGUCAAAUUUAUCUGUUACAAGUUUUUUAAAAACUUUAACUACAAUAAUCUCAAAAAACUUCUCAAAGUUUUUAAACUAUACACAUUAAAAUAUUAAAAAAAACACACUUUAAAAUUUUUUUUAAAAACUUCUACAGUAAGUUAUAGUAAAAUUUUAAACAAACACCCAAAAAAUUCACUUGCCAAACGUUGUCAUUACACUCUUAUAUGUCUUCUCAUCUUUAAUUACUGAUGUCACAGUCACUAUCUUAGGAUGCCAUUCUAUGAAACACGUAGUUUAAGCAUUUUUGCCAACAUGCCAUGACCAUAAGGCAGUUUCAUUUUUUCCUUUAAUCAAGCUUGAUAAUGAGUCAAUACAAAAUUCUCAUCCGAAUUCAGUCUCCCUCACGUAAAAAGAUUAUAUGAUUACAAAACUGCAUACAAAUGACCCAAAAAAAAAAAUUUAAGAGGGACUGAUUCAAGAAGUCUAAGAAAUAAAAUAUCCAUACAUCCAUACCUUGGGCUCUUUUUAAAAAUUUUUUUUUAUUAUGCUGUUUUGGUUUAUCCUCUUUUGGGGGUUUCAAAAUUAAAUUUGGGGAGAUAAGGUUGAUGAUGUGAUGAAAUCUGACGAAAAAAUGGUUGUUCGAAGGACGGUAAAAUUAAUUGAAGAGCGGAUGAAUUGAUACUGUAGCUGCAGAAGGUAAAAUUUAAUUACCUCAAUUUGUUCCUUAUUACUCAUUUGCAUGUCUCUCACUUUAGGAUAACCUGCCAUUAUUUGGCCUCUGUGGAUUUGAUGAUCAUCAUUUUAGGAUUUGAUGAUCUCAUUUUAGUUCUGUACGGAAUGGAAUAUUUCAAUGAACAUAUUUUCUUAGGUGUUAAUGGAGUUUAUUAUAUAGUCAGUUUUGGAAACUCUUUAGUGAUUUGACAAUGCAUGUGUAUGGUUAGUUGUCGUUUUAUCAAUAAUAUCGUGUUUUUUCAAUAACAUCGAAUCGAUAAUAGCUAUAAAUAUCUUGACUGAUCAUGCCGACUGUACUAUUCUCAUUUUUCUUAUCAUAUGGAGUGUUUGGAUAGAAUAUUAUUUGAAAUAUUAUUUAAAAUAAUUAAUGUAGUAUUUUUUUAUAAUGUGAUAUAUAUGAAAUAAAAAAGUGAUUAAAAAUAUUAAAAAAUGAAUUGAAAAAUGUGUUUAUUUCUUUCAAAAAAAUUAUGUUUAUGAUACAAGCGAAAUAUUAUUUGAUAAAAUUGAGCUAUCAUGGCUGAGGUGGAGGCUAUUGCCCCUGCUUCAUUUUUUUUUAAAAAAAAACUCUAUAUAUUAUGUAUAUCAAGUAUUUUUGGUCCCACCAAAAAUGAUACAUUUGCGGUCGAUAUUAAUUGGGAGUAAAAGUGCAAACAAAUUUAGAGACUCUCUAACUCAAAAUCGACAUUUCUGGCCUUAUUAAAAUAGAUAAAUAGACUGAUAGAGUAGCCUUCUCCUUCUUUUCUCCUUAUUUUCUAUUCCCUCUGUCCCAUUCAUUUGGUUAUACUUUUCAUUUUGAAAUGUCCCAAAAUAAUUGUCAUGUUAGAAAAGUCAAAUCAACUUUUACACUCUCUUUUCAAUAUAAUCCUUUUUUUUAAUCAUACAUUCAAAUUUAAAAUUUGAAUUUGAGGGGGUAAAAUUGGAAAGAAAAGCACAAACAUCACAAUUAAACCACUAUUCUUAAAAAGUUGGAUUCCCCAAACAUAACCAAAUGAAUGGGACGGAGGGAGUAAUAGCGACAUCUACGGACUGGAUUGAAAAUAUAAUGCUGUUUUUAUUUUCUAUGUCACAAAAUGAUUGUCACUUGCUAAUAUUGACAAACCAUUUUUAUUCAAUUUUCGUCUUUCAACCAACCAUUAAGGUGAAAGAGGAAAGUGUAGAUUAAAGCUAUAAUUAUUGGUUUACAAAGUUGAAAAGUAAGUGGAAAAAUGACAAAACACAUAGGCCCACCAUUGGCUCCUUUUCAAGGAUUCCUAAAAAACUUUUGAAUUGUCAUCACUAAAUGAACAGGGCAAAGUUGGGAUAUUUUUCAGAUUUCCUUCUUCAAUGAUUUUUCUUUUUAGCUGAUAAGACUUUUAUGUUGACAAAUUGCUAUUACUACUGAUCGACAUGCGACGCGACUAAUAAAUUGGGAAGGAAGUAAUAAUAAUUAGUACGUACCAAAUGCAAACACUUGUGAGUAGACACGAAAAUUACUAUUUUAGUGUGUUUUAAAUAUUCGGCGAAUUUCUAGAAAUAAUGCUAAAUUUAGAAAAUAUCCCAUUUAUGGUAUUUCAUGAGAUUGUUUUCUUUACUUAGAGUCAUCUUUGACAAUAAAAUAGUAUUUUUAUUUUGAAUUAUUUUUUGGUGUCAGAAUGACUAAAAGUUUUAAUUUUUUUAUACAUCUUUGCGGUCGACUGUGAAAAUGACCAUUAGCCGCAUCCAAAAGUGGAUGCGGCGACACCAAGAUGUGAGAAGUCUUAACCGUCAAGUUUCCUUAUUAUUUAUUUGGUUCAUGGAUAUGUGAUCGGUAUUUGCCAAAUUUGUCAAACACAUGCCCAACUUUCUAUAGGGAAAUUUAGGAAUAAUUUUAGAAACCUCCCCUAAGGUUUCUAACAAUUUUACUAUCCUCCCCUGAAAUUUUAAAAAAUUAUUAACCUCCUUUAAAACUAUUUUUCCUGUAAAAAUUACUGGGACUAUCAAUGGGGCCGAACUAAUCCGAACUCAACCUGUUCGGCCCCAAAAAAGCUCCAUGAACCUAAAGUUUAAUUGAAUCGGCCAGAGUUUGGAUCUAAAUAUUAGAUCCGAACUAAAUGUAAGUCAAAUUUGAGUCAUUCUAGAUUCAUGCCUGAUUAAAACUACACCCAUGUAUGAGUAUAAUUAUAUAUGUGCAAUAUAUAUAAUUUAUAAUUAUCUGUAUUAUACAUACUAUAUACAAAUGCAAAGGAGGGGGUUUGGGGUAAACAAAAAUCUGACACUUUAUAUACUUCAUGAACUACCCUUGAUGAUGAAGGAACUUUUGGUAUAAACAAAAAAUUAUCUUUGUUUGAUAGCUACCCAGUACUAAUAUGAUUUUUACCAAAUAAUAUGUAUUUUUCAUAUUCCAUUUUUCAACUUAUUUAGUAACUCUUAAUUUUAAUUAGCAACUACCAAUUAUGAUUAUCAAUAACUACUAAAUUACUACUUUUUAUAACUUUUAUUUUGGUGAAUUUUUUACAUAUGUAUUUUCAAAAUAUGAAAUCAAUUUUCUUAAAAAUGAUUUUAAUAAAUAUACUCAAUAUAUUUUACAAAUACUUUUUCUAUUAGUUGCACACACAUUAGUAUGUGUCUUGAAUACUAGUACAUAUUGCGACAUAAAAUGUUAAUAAUUUAUAUGUAAAUUUGCAUUAAUUGAUAAUUAUAAUGUAUAUAUUAUAUAUAAUUAUCUAUUUAAUUAUGAGUUUGGGCCAAACCCGAUUUGACUCUCGAACUCAUAUAAUAGUGUGAGUUGAGAUUAAACCUUUUUAAUAUGAGCCCAAAUUCCAAAAGCUCGAAACCUGACAAUUCAUAUAAUUUGUGAACUGAGUUUGAGCUUGCUAAAGUCCGAUUGACACCACUACAAAUUAUCCCAAUUCACAAAAAAAUUAAUAACAAAAAAAUGUGCAUUCAUUUUUUUUUGCUAUUAUUGGUUUGAAAUUAAUAACAAUAAAAAGCUAUUAUUCGUUUGAAAAGCUGUUCAUUUUUUUUAUUCUUCUGUCCUGGAACUUGGAUAUUUGAUUUGGAUCUAUAGCAUAGUAACAUGUGCAUACUAGGGGAAGACGCUUCUGCUAUUGUGGCAGCUGUUUCGGAAGAUGUAUCCAGAUGAUAAUUCUUCCCAAAGAAAAUGGCAUAGUGGAAUGAGGCGGUAGAGAAAUACAAUCAAUUAUCGUUUCGAAAAAAAAAGAAAAAAGAAUGAGGCCGUAGAGAAUGGUGCUUCCCCACAUCCACUUUGGGAUGCGGCAAAUGGUUAUUUUCACAAAGAUGCAUAUAAAAGAAUAAAAAAUCUUUAGUCAUUCUGACACCAAAAAAAAUUUUCAAAACAAAACUACUAUUUCGCCCAAAUGCGGCGAUUCUAAGUGUAGAAAACAAUUUCACCCAACACUCUAAAUGUGAUAUUUUCUAAAUUUAGGAUUAUUUGUAGAAAUUUGUCCAAAUAUUCAUACAAAUUAAACUUGACUCUAACUCUAUGUCCUAAGCUCUAAAAAUAUUUGAACUCUUAUUGUUUUUGGUCCAAGGCUGCACUGCUAAGAAAUUAUGCUUGCAUCAACAAAAUAUAUGUUUGGAAGCUCCAAAGUACCGUUUUGUAAAUUGAGUUCAUUGCAUUUACCUUCCUAGAGGUUUAUCUAAAUCACAGCAAUAAAUCCAUAGUUUUUUUUCAAGGGUAAAUAACCUUUUAUCUCUCUAUGAUUUGGUGCUUUACGACAUGACUCUCUUAUAGUUUAAAAAUCUAUAUAUACCACAUGACUUCCUUAUAGUUUAAAAACCUAUAUAUAAUCCUUUCAUGAUUUGGGUUAAAGUGAUACCAUUUGUUUUUCCAUUAAAACUAAUGGUUAAUAGUAAAAAGUCAAAAUUAACUAAUAAAUUAACAAAUUCACUCUUUCACUACUUUUUUCGUUUUCUUCCUUUUUUUUUUGUGGAAGAGAAGAGAUGAUUUGGAAAUAUAUACUUUGGCCUAUAAAACCUUAAUUUUCUCCAAUUACAAAAGAGAUGGGAAGGAAAUAAAAAAUAAAUGAAUAAGAAACAAAAAAGAUGGAAGGGAAAUAUAAAACAAAUAAAUAAGAAAGAAAAAAUACCAAAUCUUUUUUAUUACAAAUAUCAUUAUAGAUUUUUAAACCAAAUCUUUAAUGGUAUUUUCUAGUCCUUAUUUAUCUAUUUUGUAUUUCAAUUUCUUCCUUUUUAUGUUUGGAGGGGAAUAAAAAGAAGUAAUGAAAGGGUAAAUUUGUUAAGUUAUUAGUUUGAUUUUGACUUUUACUAUUAACCAUUUGUUUUAAUGGAAAAACUAACAAUCACGUAUUAACUCAAAUCAUGAGAGGGUUAUAUAUAGGUUUUUAAAUCAUACAGGGGUUAUGUGGUAAAGUACAAAGGGUAAAAGUUAAUUUAUCCUUUUUCCAAAUCAGCCCAACAUUUUAAAUAGCCAAACAUUUGCCAUUGCUCAAUUGCAUCAUUUGCAAUAGAAUUUUUUGAAAUUAUCAAAAUACUUAUUUUCUAUCAUCCUUCUUCCAGCCAUUCUUUCAUCUUUCUAUAGAUUAAAGUUAGUGUAACCAAAACUCUGGUAAUAUGACAUCACUAAUAAUAGUAUAUUUCAUUGAGUGUAGUUUCUUGAACCUCCACUAUUAUAUUUUUUAUAUUCUAAACUCUUUUCUAUUUCAACGUGCAAAUAAUCAAACUUCGUUUUCCAAAAAACAAAAGUAACUAUCAAUACUGAAUUCAAAUAUAAACAUAAAAUUUUAGGAUUUUUAUACAAAGAUACACAUAUGAAAAUUAGAAGUAAAUAUCAAACAAAGAAACUUUUCUUGGUUUAAGGAUAGGAAUUUAAUGUCAUGUUUUCUUAAAUUUAUUAUUACAUUUUUUAAAAUUUAAUGCUUUGUUAUGGAUAAAAAUCCGUAAAGUUUAGCUCAAUUUUGUUGUUCCAUACGAAAUUAGAUAUUUAAAUAAAAUAGAUAAUUUGUUGUAUGGAAACAAUGAAUUGGACCAGUGUGGUAGCGACUGAAAUAAGCCAUAUGUAGUUGAAAAAGUAAUUGUUUAUUUUCUUUUAAUCCAUCUUUAAUUUUUUGGAUUAUAUUAAGGAGUUUCUUAAGAGUGGCUAUUCAAAGGGUUAAAACACAUUUUGGUCAAAUCAUAGACUCCUUUUUUAUUUAGAUAACAAACCUCAAGGGAGGUAAACGCAGUUUCGCAGAGGGUAGUUUUGUCAUUUCCCCACUUCUAAUAAUUGGGUUUAGACACCGACUCAUACGGGAUAAUUCGCAUUUAGUUACUCAAUAAUACGGCCAAACCUUAGGAGAAGUAGAUGCAUUGAUCCUUUUUUAUUUUAAAGAAAAAGAGAGAGAGAGAGAAUUUUUAUUAAUUAGAUUAUUGAAAAUCAUUCAACAUUUGGUUUCUUGACAAAAGAUGGCGGUAUAUUCUAUAAGGAAUCCACGAAAGCUGAAGAAUUUAGCUAUAGAAUUCAACAAAGCUACAGGAUUUUGGCAUAACAAGUCAAUUCAGGAGCUAUUGUUUUUGCCUCCUUUGUAUCCGAUUUACAUCCACAUCUAUAAUUCUAUAUAGUAUCAGACAAAACCUUAGGAAUAUCUUCUACUACUGGCCCCAUUGUAGAAAAAUCAUCAUAUUCACUAUUCAGCAAUUAAAUAACCGAUAAAGAGUCUCCUUCAAGUGUAAUAUUCGAAGUGAACAGAUUUUAUUGCUGAAUUAAUUGCCUCCUUUGUAGCAAUGGCUUCUUUCCUUCUUCGAUUCAACUGUCCCUUGGAAUUUGCUUGGAGAAACCAGCCAUAAAAGCUCCUGCAUGGUUACAACUUACAAAUAAAUAACCACACCAAUCCCACCUGCUUCCAAUAUCGUAGAGUUUAAUGCACCCUCAAAAUCAACAUUAAAUUGAUCCAUCGUACACUACCCCGCAAGAGGUUCCACAUUGGCUUCUUUGAAAGCUACUAGGGAAUUAGUCACAAAGCGAACCAUUGAUAAAGGUUCUCUAUGCUUGCCAUCAAACAAAACCAAGUUCUGAUUGUUCCAAAUCUCAUCACAAAGAGAAGGAAAAAGCUCCGAAUCCUCACUUGAAAAGAACUCACAAAAUUUCUGUAAUCCAAAGAUGAACACCAACUGAAUAGGUAUUUUCAUCAAUAUGACACCUUAAGUUUCAAACAAAUAGUGAUAUUAAAGGUUUUAGGAUUUAAGAAGCGAGGAAAGAGAAGGAUAAAAUGAGAUGUGAAUUAUAUAGAAAAGUUACCGGUAAAUCUAGGAAUUGUAAUUAAAAAAAACAACUUGAAAAAGAUAAUUAUUUAUUUUUCUUAUUCUUUUUGCUUUAAAAUGUGGGUUUGGCAUGAAAUUUUUUUUUGGGUCAAGUACUAUUACCAUAUUUGAAUUGUGUGCAAUUGAUAAUAGUAAACUAAAUUAAUAUUCAAAUGUAAAGGACUAAAGUGAUAAAGUUAUGAGUUAAAGGUCUAAAUAUAUAUUUGAUAAAAGUUUGAGGACUUCUAAUAUACUGUAACUUAUCUAAAUGUAUUAUCAAUGGGAUUAGAGUUCUGUUUGCAUGUCAACAAAACAUUGUUUUCAAAAUGAAAAUUAUGUGAGGCCUCUACAGUAGAAAAUCAAGCAAUUAAGAAUACUUAUGUUACUACUUUGCAUCAUCGAUUUUUCGCCCCUUGAAUAAAGUUCGUUGCAUUCUUCUUGUUAUUGAAGAAGAUGAAACUAGUUAUCUAAAUCGAAAAAUAAAUUUUGGCUUCAAAUUUAAGGUACCAAUUAAACAUAGCAUAGAUUUUGUCAAAGAGUAACAUUAUACAAUAUUGUUAAAUUCAAACUGGAUAAAACUCAGUUAAACUACUAGGAUAGGGGUCAACUGAUCGGAUUAGUCAGACCGUUCUAAAAAAAUCCACUGAAGUUAGUAUGAUAUUUUAGUUAUUUUAUAUUUUUAUAAGUUUCAAAAAUAUUAAAAUUAAGUUCUUAGUUAUAUCCGGCCAACCAUAAAAAUGUUACAAAAAAAUUAGGCUUGCAAUCAAAUAUACACCUAAAAAUAUGAAUUUGUGUCUAAAUUAUGUACUUAAAAACUAAAUUAAAACAAAUCAUACCCAAUUCGAGAUCUUUUUGCUAGGAAUAUGACUUUAUAAUGCAAAUGAGAAUCACUAAUGAUAAAUUGAUAAGAUGAUAGAGAUGAAAACCUCUUGAUUUAGAGAUCAUUGAAGGAAGCUAGUGAUUUUGAUGUUAACAUUAAGUGAGUGACAUUUUCUUAUUUCUAUUAAUAAAUGAAAGUUCUAUACUUUAGUUAACUCAAAUUAUGUUUCGGGAGAACAAGAAAGAAAAGUUUGAGAAUCAGGUCACUAGUUUGGCCGAUUUUUAAUGGUUUUGACUGAUUUUUUUAUCAAAGUAAUUUUAUGCUACAAACUACUUUCGAAAGAAGGUCGGUUCAUAUUCAGACAACACUAACAUUACACGGAUAAAGCAUUUGUGAACAAACUUAUACCAAGACUAGUUGUUAGUUCAAGAGAGUUGGGAUAGAUAAAUUUUCAACAAGUCUAUAAUUUGUGCAAAAAUUAAUUAUUUCAUCUUGAAAUAAGUCGAUAUAAUUAAUUAUUUUCAACAAGUCGAUAUAACUACUGUAUCUCAUUUCAUCUUGAAACUUUUAAUACCACUAUUGAAAUUUUAAGAAACCAUCUUAGUUGAAACUUCAACAUUAUGAUCAACAAUGCCAAGUCAAAACUUCGCCAUUAUGAUCGAGUCAUAAUUAAUGAUCAACAAUGCCAAGUUACAGCAAUUUGAUUUUGAACUUCGCCAUCCUGAUUUUUUGCCAAUUAUCCUAAAUUUGCACAAAAUUCGAAGCGUCAAGGACCACAUUUGCAAAAGUCAAAAGUUUAGGGACUACAUAAUUCAUAAAAUGGAUCGAUUAUAGCGUAAUUUCCAGCAACUUGGGGGUCUUUUGUUUUGCUGGCUGUAGUCCAUUGGGUGCACGUGAACUUCGUGGGAAAUUGGUGGCGUUCAAUUAUUUAACCUUUGCAAGUUGGUGAGUGGUCUGGCAGCUCUUUUGAUUUUUUUUUUUUUUUUGCUGUAGAUAGGAUUCGAAUAUCCAACCUGCAGUUCAAAAAAAGGGACUUUAGUCCCUAUUUGAUAGCCACUACCUUUCCAAGUUGGCAAGCUGUCUUGUUUACAUAAAGGUUGGGAUUUUACUGUGGAAUAUUUGAAUAUCGAACGAUAACAGUACAAUACUAAAAAAAAAUUUACUGCUAUUGUCUAUUGUGGAUAAUUCAAGCAACUAUUUUAGAAAAUGACUCUCAUAAUUAUGGUCAAGCCAAGCCAAUCCAACAGUGCUCCCAAGCUCGAAAAUACAGCAAAAGGUAAAAUGAUUUGAAACCGGAUCGACAAGUGAAUUGGACGAGCUUCCUAUUUCUGGCUCAAUCAAUUCAACCAGUUCAACUCCGAUUUAAUGAUUUUAUAAAAUUUUAAUUAUAUUAACGUUAAAUAAUUUGAAUAACAUUAAUGUAUAAAAAAUAAUGAAAAAUCGGUCCAAAGGCCGGUUUUUUAACUGAUCCAAUAGUGCUCCCAAGCAUGAAAAUAUAGCAAAAGGCAAUAUUUUGAAAUUGGGACCUACAAGUGAACUGGAUGAAUUUUUUAUUCAAUUAAUUUUGCGGUUCAAUCUCUGUUUAGUGAUUUUAUUAUUAUUUUUGUUUAUUUUAAAAUUAAAUUAUUUGGAUAAAAUUAAUAUAUAAGCAAGAAAUAAAAUUUUCGUGAAAAACUAGUUCAAAUAUCGAAUUUGACUGAUUCAAUUGAUUUUCUGGGUUAAAUAUAGAAGAGCAAAUUAUCCGGGUAGUCACUAAACUUUUUCAAUAGUCAAGAUUUAGCUACUCAAUUAUUAAUAGCAUGUUGUUAUCCAUUAAACUAUCAAUAAUGUAAAUUUUGUGUCAUUUCGUCUAAUUUCACUAUUAACUCUAUUAGAUCUAAGGAUCUACAUAAGAUAUAUUAGUAAUGGUUAAGUCUUGUAGAGUUAAUGACAAAUCAGAUAGAAUGACUUAAAAGUUAAACUUUUAAUAGUUUAGUGGAUAAAAACUCGAUUAUUCGAAAAGUUUAAUAGUUAUAGGAAUAAUUUGCUGAAAGAUCUAAGCCAUGGUUGAUUUGACGGUGGCAAAAGGUACACAUUCCACGUUUUUUUGGUAAAACGCGGUAUGGUAAAUAUUCUUAGAACUAUUGCCGUAAAUCUGAAAUCACCUAUAAAAGGGUCCAUCUUUGGGCAACCAAUUUCACCCCCAAAUAAAUCCGCAAAAAUAACUGAGAAAAAGAAAAAGAAAAUGGCUGCCUGUUUACGACCUCUGUUCUUAGCAAUAAUAUCCCUGCUGAUGAUAUCUUCAUUGACCAGGUCCUCAGAAGGCGCUGGAAUCGCAGUCUACUGGGGCCAAAAUGGCAAUGAAGGAAGCCUGGAAGAGGCCUGCCGUAGUGGCUACUAUGACUAUGUAAAUAUUGCCUUUCUGGUAUCCUUUGGCAGUGGCCAAACACCGGAACUGAACUUAGCUGGCCACUGUAUCCCGAGCCCAUGCACCUUCCUGAGUUCUCAGAUAGAGGUUUGCCAGAGCCUGGGCAUCAAAGUGCUCCUUUCUCUUGGUGGAGGUGGUGCCGGGGCAGGGAGAGGACCAAUCCUGGCUUCUCCCGAGGAUGCUCGCGAUGUUGCAGCCUACCUCUGGAACAAUUACUUGGGCGGUCAAUCAGACUCUCGCCCACUUGGUGCUGCUGUUUUAGAUGGUAUAGACUUUGACAUCGAAUAUGGAUCGAACCUGUACUGGGAUGAUCUCGCCCGGGCACUCUCGGGAUACAGCACAGCAGAGAGAAAGGUGUACUUAUCUGCAGCACCACAAUGCUUCUUUCCUGACUAUUAUCUUGAUGUUGCUAUCAGAACUGGCCUCUUUGAUUUCGUCUGGGUGCAGUUUUACAACAAUCCGCCUUGUCAGUAUGGUACAAGCACAGGCAAUGCCGAUAACCUCUUGAACAGUUGGAGUAAUGAUUGGGCCCCCCAUCCAGGCGUUAAUAAAUUAUUCCUGGGAUUACCUGCAGCCCCUGAGGCAGCACCUAGUGGCGGUUACAUCCCACCUGAAGUGCUAAUUAAUCAGAUUCUUCCCGUUGUGCAGAGCUAUCCCAAGUAUGGAGGGGUCAUGCUUUGGAGCAGAUUCUAUGACCGAAACUACAGUCCAGCAAUCAGGCCUUAUGUUAACGGUGAUCCUCUGACUUAUACAACCAAGUCCGUGAAAAAAUCCCAUGCUGUAGCAUGAGUUCCUCUCAUUAUCUGCCACGAGAUGAAAUGUAGUCCUGGCUGCUUAUGCCAGAGACCAAUCUACUAAUGAAUAAUGGGCUAUGAGUUCCCCAAUCGAUUAAAAUGUUCUGUAAAUUUCUUCCCGUUUUAAUCGCUCUUUCUCUCUCUCGAAUGAAGGGGUACAAGAUCUAGUUUGAAGAACCAGUUGCACCUUCUCUUUUUUCUUUUUCUUUUUUUUUUUUUUAAUACAACUUCUUCUAGAUAAUGAUUUUUUGAUAAUAUUCAAACCACAUUUAAAUUGAAAAAGAAAAUGUUAAUUUGCAAUUGAAGUUUGAGGAACACUAUUUCCCCUCAUAUUUCAGUGCAUUACAUGGCCAACAACCUCAGAUGAUAUGCAAAUAAACUCUUGCAUGCAUGCUCAUCAAAUUUCAUAUACAAUUUUGUAGCCUACAGAGAAGUUUACGCAUGGAUGUUUAAGUAUCAGAUAAGCUUGGGCGAAGACCAAAUUUUGUGUACUAUUGAAACAUGGAACAAGAUUUCAAUCCCAUACAUAACCUCUAAAAUCACAUACAACUAUAAUUUUUGUUUCUUGUUUUUUUUUUUUCCUUGGAUGGUAUUAAAAGGUGUACAAUCUGUCUGCCUCAGAAUCACUUCCGGUCAGUGCGAGUCACUUUGAGAGUUAUGACAAUUUCACUAACCUCCCAUCAAAUCUAGAAAACAACAAUUACCUCCCCUCUUCUUAGAUUUGGUCUAAUGAUUUCAAGGUAUUUGGUAUACAUUGCCUUCUCAUGACCCACAACAAAGGGACAGCAAUCCAAGGGCUUUCGUUUUUAUUAAUUUUUUUGGAGUACAAAUUAAUUUCUCAUUAGCAUGUUAUGAAGCAUAUGAUAUUCUUGUUCGCAACAAUUUCUUUCUACGAAAAAAAAAGAACAGAGAGAAGGGGGGAAAAAAAGACUCAACUGAUGAACAUUUAAAAUGGAAACUCAUGUCCAUCCAUAAAUUAUGACAAGCUUGGUAUCUUAAAGAGAGGCGUCCUUGGGUUUAUAUUAUUUAACCAAAAUUGGUUAAAGUAAUAAGGUUGGCUUGAUUAAAAUUAUGUUUAUCAUAAUUGGGUCAUUUCUUAAAAUAUUGGCCUUAACAAAGAUGAUCCAUUCUUGAAAUUUGCGUUCUAGUAAAGCCAUUCUUGGGCAGAUGAUGACUAAGACUCUGUUUUUUGGGCUGAAUGAAACGGACGAUGCUUCAAUUUGAGGGAAAAAAAUAGGCCUUGCAUCAUGAAAUCAGUUUAUUAUUUAGCCACCAAAUAAGUAUAUUGAAUAGUUUGGAUUUUAUAACUAAUUAUAAGUAAUUGUGUCUUAAUUUUAGCUAUAAAAGUCUUUCACUUAACUAGUUAACUUAGAACACAUAUGAUGACUUCUUCCCUUGUCUCUAAAAUUUGUGAAAUUGGGCUCACAAAGAAGAUACUAAAGAAUAACAACCUUCAUUGGGAGCCGAGUACAAUUAUUUCAAAACAGCGCGCAUUACAUUCACAAAUCUGUCAAACUUUAUCUUCCAAUGCCCAAUAAACUACUGGUAUCCAAGUCCAAGAUUGCUCCAAAAUUCUAACCCUGCCCUUUUUCACAAAAUUUCAGUUUAGUCCAAAUGGAUUCUACACUAUGGUGCAACCACACAGUACAAAGGAAAGUUAAGGGAAAGCUUAUAAACGAGUGCAUGGUACGGUCUUAAGACUUCAGCCCAGACAUACUCUUAUGUUAUGUCAUAUGUAAAGGAAAAUAACUCAAAUUUUAGGCUCUGAAUCAUAUGUGAGUAGGCCUGCUUUUCUUUUAGUGCUUUAGUUUUUUUUUUUUGGUUAAAUUAUGGAAAUUACCACCUACUCAAUAUGGUCUUUUCUAGAGCAAUUCAUGGUAAUUAUCGAGUCUGAAACUACCAAAAAUUAGUACUGCUAAAGCUAUGUUUCAUAACCCUAAAAUACACCAAAGUCCAUACAUAUUACUAGGGGACUUUAUAUGUAAAAUUUAUAUAAACAAAAUAAGAUCUCAAAAUGAAGUACUUCAUAGGUAUGAUAAAAUUUAUAUGUUUCUAUUGAGACAAUUAAGCUGAGAAGUCUUUCACAACAAAUCUCUUUGAGGACCAGUUUCCCUCUCCUCACCAUAUCUCCUUACCUACUAACCUUCGCACGUUUUACCGUCUGUCCCAAGCCCGCCUCCCUCACACUCUCUUUUAGGAGAAUAAAAUUGUUUGAGAGCGAAAGCUCCCAUAUAUCAAAAGCCAGUGCUGUUCAAAUGUGUUUUCUCUCACCAUCUCCCACAAGAAGUGCGUGUUAAUACCAAUCACCUGAAUAAUAUGAAUAUGAGAAUGAACUCCUAAUGUCAUCACAAGAAUUGGUGGUAGUUCGGCUGGAGUAUAACAGUAAUACUUGUGGUAGUUGGGUUGGGGCAGGACAUAUGCAUAGUAGCUUUUGGUAGAUGAUAAAUAUAACACCUUUACCAUUUUUGUUAACAUGGUAUAUUUAUUCUUUUUCCUCUCUAUUCGAUAUUUGUUAAUUGUUAUACACUUAUACAUAGAUAGCAAGUGAGAAAGGGUCAGGCUAGUUUCAGAUAACGUGAAUAAUGUGGUUUACUUUCACUUAGUCACUCAUCGCACAACUCCUACUUUACUUCCUAUUUUGGUGGUAAUGUUCCCCAAACAUUACUUAUUGAGUAAUAGAUAAAAUUUAAUCAUGGCAAGAGCAUUUUUUUUUCGGACAUGAUAAAUCUACUCUACUCUAUACUAUGGGGAGGGGGUGAUCCAACGGGCCCAAGGGGAGGAUCCGGGGGGACUGAACUUGGGUGCCUACUAGUGUGAAUAAGUUAGAAAAUAUUUCUCAACACCCACUACCCUUAGGGGCUAGUAGUUGAGGCAAGGUCAAGUUAGUAUUUCACCAAGAAUUUGAUUUCUAACUACCAAGUUAAUAACUAAACAAUGUUUGUGUUUGGAUUACACAUUAUUUCCACCUUAUUUACACACACUGACUUGCUUAUAUCACCAACACAUUUUUUAAUCAUAUUUUUAUCUCACAUACAUCACAUCAAAAAAGUGUUACAGUAUUUUUUCACAAAAUUAUCUCAAAUAAGUUACUAUCCAAAUUGCUUAUGAUAAAAUAUUCCAUCUUCACCAAUUUUUUUUAGAAAGGGUUUUUCUUUGCCUUAUGACCAGAAGAAAAGAGCUCCAACCUGUUCUACCAGUAUGGAGCCAACCCCUUCGUUUCGUCAUGUCCCUAACUUAACUAGAUUGACCGGGGCACAAAGAGUUUACACUAGGGCUUCUAGUUCACAUGUUCUCUUUGCAAUCAUAGCCUUCUUGUCUCCAUCGGUUCCUUAGAAAUAGUCUUAUUGAUUUACUAGAAAUACACCCACUCAGGAAAGCCCGACUAAUCGCGGCAGGAGCCAUACUUAAAAGUAGCCGGUGGUGUUUCUAUGAUCAUAUACGUAAUUAUGGAGUAUUGAGUUAUGAGCUUGAGGGAACUCCAAUUAUUAAACAACGAGUGAAGGGACUAUCGGGUGAUAGGCCCAAACGGUAGUCUUAAUCUCCUCUUAAAGUCUAUUUAAGAGUCCUUGAAUGCACAACACUCCUAUAAAUCAUAUAAUCUAUUCCUUAUAUCUUUUACAGCUGCUUAAGGAAGUCUUUAUUCUCCCCCCGAGAGGGAUUAAGAGGGGGGGGGGGGGUAGUGGUCCAAUCUUGUCUUUUCAUUAGAGCUUUUUUUGUUUUUCUCUUAUUUAAAGUAUACCACAUUAGAGAAAGAGAAAACUCCCUCUAAAGGGCUUCUUUCUUGUAGGAUCCUAUAAGUCUCAUACUAACCCCUUAUAGCUGUAAGCUAUUAGCUCCCCUCUCCCUUUACUGGGCAGAUUAUCACUAGCCGCUGGGCGAGGGCCUCACUCUGCUAGUUUUCCACCUAGUAGGGUAUGGAGCUCUAUUCUUCAGAUUCAGUCUCCAAGGCCGCUACGAAGCUCUAGGAGGGCUUUCUAGUGUAUGCCUUGACUAUUUGAACCUCAUAAAACACAAGAAACUGAAAGAAAAAUAUUUACGCAGCGGAAUGAGCAAACAAUUUUUGCUUUUUCUUUCAUUCGAUGUUAUUGCUCGAAUCUGCAAAUUGAUACAGGCCUUGAUAUUUCAAAAACCAAUAAGUACUUACUUGUUUGGACGUGUAUGCAAUGCCCUCUGCUAGUUUUCCACCUAGUAGGGUAUGGAGCUCUAUUCUUCAGAUUCAGUCUCCAAGGCCGCUACGAAGCUCUAGGAGGGCUUUCUAGUGUAUGCCUUGACUAUUUGAACCUCAUAAAACACAAGAAACUGAAAGAAAAAUAUUUACGCAGCGGAAUGAGCAAACAAUUUUUGCUUUUUCUUUCAUUCGAUGUUAUUGCUCGAAUCUGCAAAUUGAUACAGGCCUUGAUAUUUCAAAAACCAAUAAGUACUUACUUGUUUGGACGUGUAUGCAAUGCCUGAUACAGAUGCUUGAAUUCCAGCAAUUAGCCUUCCACACGUUAGGCCUCUAGUUCGUCCACACAGACUCAAAACUAAUAGAUUGCUGAAUAUUGGAGUUUUUGUUUUGGUGGUGAUGAAAACAACGGUAGUCAACCACUUUUGUCAAUAGGGCAUAUAUAUAUAUAUUUACGAUUGUUUUUGAUUAGAUCAAUAUCAGAUCAAUAUCUUAUUUGAUCAAAUCAAAACAACCGGUUUAUAUAUAUAUUUUAUUCUUAUUUUGAUCAAAUCAAAAUAGAAUACAUCUAAUACCAUUAUUUAACUCACGUUUUAGUUUUUGAUCUUAUCAAAAUAUAAACAUAAUUAAUAUAAUUAUAUUAACUAUUAUUUUCAUCUUUAUGAUACUUGAGUCAUACUCAAAUACUAACUCCAAAUUCCGUCUAGCUUGGGUUUCAAGAUGUGCUAGCAUCCUUAUCAAAAUAAAAACCCAUUCUAAACAACUUCCCUAUUAAUUCAAAUCCUUUUGUGUGUGACUAUCUAGGUUCAUUACCCAGUUGGCAAUGCAAUAAACGUUAGCCUAUUAACAUUAGUUAGAACAUUUCUAACACUUGAGAAGUUCUCCAAAUAUACCUCAAGUUAACAUAGUUCAUGAGUGAUGCCUAGCAGCAUAUCAUGACACCCAACCGGUGAUGAAAGAUUGGAAUCCUUUUAUGUGAACCAUGAUUGCAAUUGUUUUGCAUAAAAAACCUUCCAUUACUAUAUCCCUAUUGAGUUCAGUUUAGUAAUAAUGUCAAACUCUAAAACUCAAUCGUAUGUCUUAAUCUAUCAAAUUACUUGACUAUAAAAUUGAUCAUCUACAUGAAUCAAUUUGUCUUGGCCAAGAACUCCUUUAGUCAAGAUCGAUAGAUUUCAUAAGAUAUCAAACCAUUCAUGAUGGAAUAAUAGAUCCCUUUUGCAUAAUCACUUGGCUCCAUGCAUAACUAAUUAGAGGUACCAUAUGCUAAUACUCAUCCGUGAUUAGAACAAGUAUUUUCAGCAUUGAUAGACUUUAACCACCCAUGAAUGAGCCAAUCGUGUUAUCUCAGGUCUAAGGAUCACAUGCACCAUUGCAAUCAAUAAUGAAUCAUUGACAUUAAUAAGCUAAUGAUUCAUUAUUUAAUUAGUCAGUGUUCAAGCCAACUUGUCACACAAGUGCCUCUCAUAUUUAUUCUAGUAUCACAUACUUAAUGGUAUGAGACUCGCCAUUCUAUUAUCAUUAAUAUCCCAUAUUAAUCAUAGAGGAUAAAUAUGAGACUAAUCUUCCGGAUUAAACUUGCCCAAUUAAUAAUCCUAUGAUUAGGAACAAUUUAAUAUUAUUUGUACCAAGUUUUUCCGUUACUCAUAUUCUCAUCACAUGAGAAUGGAACCUUAACAAAUAAUAAGGGACAACAUUCAAUCAAAUCUAAACCAAGAAUAAUUGAAUCAAGAAGUGCCAUUUUAUUUUAAUCAAGACAAUAAUUAUUAAUACUCUAGGGCAUACUGCUAACAGGCUCCCACUUGCACUAGAGCCAUUCAAUACAAUAUUUGAGUCCCAUCUUCUCAAGAUGGUGAUCUAACUGUCGUUGUGUCAUGGCCUUAGUAAGCGGAUCAGCUACGUUAUCAGCUGAAGCUAUCUUGUGCACGGUGACAUCACCUCUUCCGAUUAUCUCUCGGAUAAUAUGGAAACGACGCUCAAUAUGUUUGGACUUCUGGUGAGACCUCGGUUCCUUAGCCUGAGCUAUUGCACCAUUAUUGUCACAGUAGAGAGGUACCGGCAAUUCAAUGGUAGGAACCACUCCUAGUUCUGUGACAAACUUUCUCAUCCAAACAGCUUCCUUUGCUGCAUUUGAUGCAGCAAUGUACUCAGCUUCCGUAGUAGAAUCAGCAGUCGUAUCUUGUUUGGAACUUUUCCAACUCACUGCUCCUCCAUUACAGAGAAAAAUGAACCCAGAGAUAGAUUUUCUAUCAUCUACAUCUGAUUGAAAAUCAGAAUCUGUAAAACCAUCUAGUCUUAAAUCACCUCCUCCGUAAGUCAAGAUCAUAUCUUUAGUCCUUCUUAAGUACUUAAAGAUUGCCUUGACUGCACCCCAGUGUUCUAAACCUGGAUUAGACUGAAACCUGCUAGUAACACUAACAGCGUAAGCUAUGUCUGGUCUUGUACACAACAUUGCAUACAUUAGACUUCCAAUUGCCGAAGCAUAUGGAAUCUUAGCCAUUCUUUCUCUAUCUUCAGAUGUCUGAGGUGACAUCUUUUUCGAUAGGUGAAUGCCAUGUCUAGCAGGUAACAGUCCUUUCUUAGAUUCAAGCAUAUUGAAUUUUUUCAAUAUCUUGUUUAUAUAAAGACUUUGGGAUAACCCUAUAGUUCUUUUCGCUCUAUCUCUAUAGAUACGAAUUCCUAGAAUAUAGGUCGCUUCUCCCAAAUCCUUCAUAGAGAAGGUGCUUGAUAACCAUAAUUUUACAGAACUAAGCAUCCCUAUGUCAUUGCCCAAUAAUAAGAUGUCGUCAACAUACAAAAUUAGGAAAGUGACUGCACUCCCACUGACCCUUUUGUAAACACACGGUUCAUCCUCAUUUCUAAUGAAACCAAACGUUUUGAUUGCAUCAUCAAAUCGGAUAUUCCAAUUCCUCGAAGCUUGCUUAAGACCAUAGAUGGAUCUCUUAAGCUUGCACACUUUAUGUUGCUCACCCUCAGAUACAAAACCUUUGGGCUGAUCCAUAUAAACGUUUUCCUCAAUGUAACCAUUAAGAAAAGCUGUCUUGACGUCCAUCUGCCAGAUUUCAUAGUCAAGGUACGCUGCUAUGGCUAAUAGAAUCCUAAUAGAUUUGAGCAUGGCUACAGGCGAGAAAGUCUCCUCAUAGUCUAUUCCCUGCCUUUGGCGAUACCCUUUCGCCACUAGCCUAGCUUUGAAGGUUUCGACCUUGCCAUCAGAACCAAUCUUUCUCUUAUAGACCCAUUUGUUCCCUAUAGGUAUUAUACCUUCGGGUGGCUCCACAAGUUCCCAGACUUGGUUUGUGUACAUCGAAUCCAUUUCAGAUUUCAUAGCUUCUAGCCAUUUUGAGGAAUCUAUAUCAGAUAUAGCUUCUUCGUAAGUAGUAGGAUCAUCUGUAUGAUCAGUGUCUCCAUGUAUGAACAAUUCUUGCAUAUUCUCAUGGAGAUACCCGUACCUUUGAGUAGGACGAGACACUCUACUAGAUCGUCGAGGCUCUUGUGUUGUGACAUUGUUAUCAAUGGACAUUGGCUCUUUACCAGGCACAUCAUUCCUUUCCUGAUCAUUUUGUUGCUCAUGUGAAAUUUCAUUAAGCUCUAUCCUCCUUCCAGCAGCACCUUCUUGAAUAAAUUCUUUUUCAAGGAAGGUAGCAUUUCUACUGAUGACAACAAUUUGUUCAUCUGGAAGAUAAAAUUGAUAUCCAAUACAAUCCUUUGGAUAUCCAACAAAAUGACCUUUGACAGAUCUUGAUUCCAACUUGUCUGUCUUUAGUUUCCUGAUAUGAGCAGGACAACCAAAAAUUUUAACAUGAUUAAGGCUUGGCUUUCUUCCAGUCCACAUCUCAUAUGGAGUGGUAGGGACGGACUUAGAUGGUACUCUAUUGAGUAUAUAACAUGCUGUAAGAAGUGCAUAAUUCCAAAAUGAAAUAGGGAUAUCAGUAUAGCUCAUCAUGGAGCGAACCAUGUCCAUAUAGGUACGGUUCCUCCUUUCAGAUACGCCAUUCAAUUGUGGCGUUCUUGGAGGAGUAAGUUGAGAAAUAAUACCUUGAUCUUUAAGGUAUUCCCUGAACCCAGUGUCUAAGUAUUCACCUCCUCGAUCUGAUCGGAGAGUUUUAAUACUCUUACCAAGCUGAUUUUCUACUUCAGCCUUGAACUCUUUGAAUUUUUCAAAGCAUUCAUGCUUGUACUUCAUUAAGUACACAUAACCAUACCGAGAGUAAUCAUCAGUAAAAGUUAUGAAGUAAAUAAAUCCUCCUCUAGCCACUUUGGCAAAUGGCCCACAUACAUCACUAUGUAUGAUUUCUAGAACAUCACUGGCUCUUAUACUUUGUCCCACAAAAGGCAACCGAGUCAUUUUGCCUUGAAUACAAGGUUCACAAGUUGGAUAGGGUUCAGAACCCAUGGGUUUGAGUAAUCCCAUUUUCUCCAUCUUUGAAAUUCUGUCUCCUGCGAUGUGACCCAGUCUAAGAUGCCAAAGAUGUUUUUGAUUGAGGUUAAGUUUAGUCACUACGUUUAAAUUCUCAAACUUAGUUCCAUCUUUAUCAUCAGACAUGUGGUAUAAACCAUUUUUCUUGUAUGCCAAACCAAUACAAUCAGUAUUGUAAUAAAUCCUACAAAUAUUGCCUUUGAAUAAAAAUUCAUAUCCCACAUCAGUCAAAACCGAAAUAGAAAUAAUAUUCGUAAAAGUGUUUGGCAGACAUAAAACAUUGUUUAGGAAUAAAACAUGUCCUGAAGAUAAAGCUAAAGAAGUAGAUCCUAUAGCAGUAGCAGCAACUGUUGCUCCAUUUCCGACCUUUAGGAUCACCUCGUCCUUCCCAAGGACUCUACUUUUGGUUAGUUCCUGCAAAGAUGCACAAACAUGAUAUGAUGCACCUGAGUCAAGAACCCAAGAAGUAGAAUGAGAGCUAACUGUACACAGAGGAUUGAGGAAACAUGAAAUGGUACUACCUUCAUUUGUCUUUCCUUUUCCCUUGUCCUUUAUCGACUCAAGGUACUUAGGACAAUUCCUCUUCCAAUGUCCUUCCAUUUGGCAGUGGAAACAUUUUGCACCAACCUUGAAGUUGCCCUUCUUUUUAGAGAUACCUCCUGUAGGCUUAGGAUGAGAAGAUUUAAUUGAUUUCUUCUUCUUCUUUUUGGACUCUCCAGAAGAAGAAGCAAUCAUUAAAGCCGCUUCCUUUCCGUUUCCUUUCAUCGUAGACUGAGCAGUAACAAGAUGGUUAUGAAGUUCUGAAAGCGAUACCUCAAUCUUGUUCAAGUGAAAAUUUACAAUGAAUUGGGCAAAGGAAUCUGGUAGAGACUGCAAAAUCAAGUCUGUCUGAAGGUGAGCAUCCAUGGAAAAAUCCAAGUUUUCAAGACGCUCAAUCAUAUUGAUCAUCUUGAGAACAUGAACUGACGCAUCAGCUCCUUCAGUCAGACGAGUCCUAAACAACUCCUUAGAUAUCUCAUAUCGGGCAGUUCUGGAUUGUUCACCAUACAAUUCUUGUAGGUGAAGCAAAAUAUCUUUUGCGGUCCCCAUCUUUUCAUGCUGCCUUUGCAAUUCAUUGUUCAUAGACGCUAGCAUGUAGCACCUAGUUUGCAUGUCAUCCUCCUCCCACUUUCUAAAAGUGGUUUGUUGCGGCUCAGUCGCCCCUUCAGGCAAGGGAUUAGGAACUGGAGUCUCUAAAAUAUAUCCAAUUUUUUCGGAAUUAAGAACAAUUCUUAGAUUCCUCAGCCAAUCAGUGAAAUUGGGCCCAGUGAGUGUAUUUUUUUCAAGGAUAGUUGAGAGAGGGUUCAUGGGUGCCAUAAUAUCCAAAUAUUAGAAACUGCAGAAGAUAAUAAAAUUGAUUAGCAAUUAUCCUGAUAGAUCCAAUUUGUUUUUGGCCUUUAAAACAAACUGGUCCUCCCACUAAAUUUUUCGAAUGUCAUACUUCCAAAAUGAUAAACAGAAAUCUUUAAAUGAUCUCUAGUGGGAGAUGGGAUUCUUAUAAAAUGUUUAAUAUACCUCAGGUGAUCCCUAUAUUGGUAUAAUAAUAUUUUGUAAGUGACAACUCUUUGUCAAUACAUCUCAUGUAUACCCCAACCGAGACUUGGCUCCUAAUACUUAAGACCUCAGGCGUAUCCAAUCUUGGUCCAUCAUAUUAGUUAAAUUAAAUCCACUAGACAGUAGGCAAGAUAAUUUGAAUAUUAAUUACCUCAGGCGUUUCCUAUCUUGAUAAUUAAUAUAUUAUCCUACCCACAACAUCACAUGCUUUAUAAAAUCUACAAGAAUAUCCCUUACAUCUUUAUACUACCCCAUGUGUCCACAGCCAAUAGUACAAAUUGUAAAAUAUUCUGUAGAUCUUAAUCCAGUGGAGGGCCAUGAUACAAUAUCAUAAAGUAGGUGGAUUUUCUGGUCUAAUUAUUUCGAGGUAACACUGUGUUCAUCAAAAUCCUUUUGAUGAACGUGCAUCACAUACAUAUGUCAAAAGCGAAUAAAUAAACUCAGAUAAUCAUGGAUAACAACAACCAAAAAAAAAACAACUGAAUUAGUCUUCCUGAGCCCAUGAUUAUCCUUCAUGCCAUGUAUCAAAAAUGAAAAAUUAAAUAUUUCAUAUUAAAUAAGGAAUGCUAACAUUUAUUGAAACUAUUCCAUUUAAUGCUAACCGUUUUAAUUUCAUUGCCUUUCAAAAUUAAAUCACUAACAUUUAGAUAAUUAAUUUUGAACAAAAGAUUGCUUUCAAUAAUUAAGAUUCUUAACGUUUUAAGAAUACUUAAUUAUUAGAAGGAAACCUUUUGAAAUAUAAUCUUAACCCAUUUAAGAUAAGUCCGAAACUGAAACAAUAUGAAGCCUUUGUUUAGCACCAUGGCCGAGACAGCAACUAUUGCAAUCAGCCUUCCAAUGAAACAAAUAUAAUCAAUUGCAAAUUCGAAGCAAGGUGGCUCUGAUACCACUGAAAGAAAAAUAUUUACGCAGCGGAAUGAGCAAACAAUUUUUGCUUUUUCUUUCAUUCGAUGUUAUUGCUCGAAUCUGCAAAUUGAUACAGGCCUUGAUAUUUCAAAAACCAAUAAGUACUUACUUGUUUGGACGUGUAUGCAAUGCCUGAUACAGAUGCUUGAAUUCCAGCAAUUAGCCUUCCACACGUUAGGCCUCUAGUUCGUCCACACAGACUCAAAACUAAUAGAUUGCUGAAUAUUGGAGUUUUUGUUUUGGUGGUGAUGAAAACAACGGUAGUCAACCACUUUUGUCAAUAGGGCAUAUAUAUAUAUAUUUACGAUUGUUUUUGAUUAGAUCAAUAUCAGAUCAAUAUCUUAUUUGAUCAAAUCAAAACAACCGGUUUAUAUAUAUAUUUUAUUCUUAUUUUGAUCAAAUCAAAAUAGAAUACAUCUAAUACCAUUAUUUAACUCACGUUUUAGUUUUUGAUCUUAUCAAAAUAUAAACAUAAUUAAUAUAAUUAUAUUAACUAUUAUUUUCAUCUUUAUGAUACUUGAGUCAUACUCAAAUACUAACUCCAAAUUCCGUCUAGCUUGGGUUUCAAGAUGUGCUAGCAUCCUUAUCAAAAUAAAAACCCAUUCUAAACAACUUCCCUAUUAAUUCAAAUCCUUUUGUGUGUGACUAUCUAGGUUCAUUACCCAGUUGGCAAUGCAAUAAACGUUAGCCUAUUAACAUUAGUUAGAACAUUUCUAACACUUGAGAAGUUCUCCAAAUAUACCUCAAGUUAACAUAGUUCAUGAGUGAUGCCUAGCAGCAUAUCAUGACACCCAACCGGUGAUGAAAGAUUGGAAUCCUUUUAUGUGAACCAUGAUUGCAAUUGUUUUGCAUAAAAAACCUUCCAUUACUAUAUCCCUAUUGAGUUCAGUUUAGUAAUAAUGUCAAACUCUAAAACUCAAUCGUAUGUCUUAAUCUAUCAAAUUACUUGACUAUAAAAUUGAUCAUCUACAUGAAUCAAUUUGUCUUGGCCAAGAACUCCUUUAGUCAAGAUCGAUAGAUUUCAUAAGAUAUCAAACCAUUCAUGAUGGAAUAAUAGAUCCCUUUUGCAUAAUCACUUGGCUCCAUGCAUAACUAAUUAGAGGUACCAUAUGCUAAUACUCAUCCGUGAUUAGAACAAGUAUUUUCAGCAUUGAUAGACUUUAACCACCCAUGAAUGAGCCAAUCGUGUUAUCUCAGGUCUAAGGAUCACAUGCACCAUUGCAAUCAAUAAUGAAUCAUUGACAUUAAUAAGCUAAUGAUUCAUUAUUUAAUUAGUCAGUGUUCAAGCCAACUUGUCACACAAGUGCCUCUCAUAUUUAUUCUAGUAUCACAUACUUAAUGGUAUGAGACUCGCCAUUCUAUUAUCAUUAAUAUCCCAUAUUAAUCAUAGAGGAUAAAUAUGAGACUAAUCUUCCGGAUUAAACUUGCCCAAUUAAUAAUCCUAUGAUUAGGAACAAUUUAAUAUUAUUUGUACCAAGUUUUUCCGUUACUCAUAUUCUCAUCACAUGAGAAUGGAACCUUAACAAAUAAUAAGGGACAACAUUCAAUCAAAUCUAAACCAAGAAUAAUUGAAUCAAGAAGUGCCAUUUUAUUUUAAUCAAGACAAUAAUUAUUAAUGCUCUAGGGCAUACUGCUAACAGAAAUAACAAGAAGCAAGCGAAAGAAGGAAUCCUUGGGUAAGAAUUCCGAUUGAAGCAAUAAGGAAAGUGCGGCUUUUGUUCACCUAUCAUUCUCCGAUGCGACCAAGCAACUCCCUUAGAAUAUCUUCCCUUCGAACAGCGCGACCCGCCUAUUCAACUACAAUAUGAAUUCCUCUUGCCGUUGUUGCUCUUCUUGCCCCUUUAGUGGUGAUCCUUGGAUGAGGAGCAUAAACGAGCCUUAAGAGUGCAUUAGGAGGUCUUGUUGCCUGUGCUCAAGACAUAUUUUAACACAACUACAUUCCACCCAACCUGCUAUGUAUAUACACACACUAGUAAUUACUAUUUUUUCCUACAUUUAUACACUUUUCCUAAUUAAUCUCUUUGCAUUUAUAAUCUUUUCCUAAUUAAUCUUAUAUUUUUAAAAAUCUAACACGUGAAAUACAUCUUAACAAAUAUCUUAUAUAUACCCAUUAGAUAGACCAUUUUAGAAAAAUAUCUUUGUUAGAAAUAUUGGCGGGUUUCAAACUAACUAUCUAAUGUAUCCUUAAUUUAUUCUAAUUGAUCCUUCAUGAUGAUAUAUAUAAACACCCACCCACCGCCCCCCCCCCCCUUCUCCCGGGUUCCUCCUCAAAGUCAAGGCAGUUGCGAAGAAACCAUUUUGAGUUUGUCAAGAAGAUCAUUGAAACGGUUGGGAGGAAGAGGUUUGGUGAAGAUAUCUGCAAGUUGAUCCAUAGAAGAUACAGAGUGGAUGAUCUCGCCGGGGCACUUUACGGGAUAUAGCACAGCAGAUCUAGAGAAAGGUUUACUCAUCUGCAGCACCACAAUGUUUUCUUCUUGACUAUUAUCCUGACGCUGCUAUCAGAACUGGCCUCUUUCAUUAUGUGUGGGUACAAUUUUACAACAAUCCGCCUUGUCAAUGUAGUGCUGGCAAUACCAAUAACUUCUUCGACAGUUGGAAUCCAGGGGCUUCAUAUACAGGCGUUAAUACAUUAUUCCUGGGAUUACCUGCAGCCCCUGAGGCAGCACCUAGUGGCAGCUACAUCACACCUCAAGAGCUAAUUGAUCAAGUUCUACCCUUUGUCGAGAGCUAUUCCAACCACAGAGAGCUCAUGCUUUGGAGCAAAUACUUUGAAGCUAAUUGCAAUGAAAUAAUCAGGCCUUAUGUUAACUCUGAUGUCCUGGUUCAUGGCAAAAAGUCCACGAUAAAGUCCCAUGCUCUCGAAUAAUUGAGUUGCUCUCAUUAACACUUGAUGGAUGAAAUGCAGUCCUGGUUGUUUUUGCCAUAUAGAUAAAUAAUGGGUAAUAAGUUCCCCAGCUAUGGAGGCGUCAGAUACUGGGAUGUGUCUAUUACAGUCCAGCAAUCGAGCCUUAUGUUAAACCAUGAAAACUCUGACCAGUGAUAACAAGGCCAUGGGAGUCUUCUGCCACUGAAUAAGUUCCUCUGAUCACUAUUUCAUGAGAGAUGAAAUGUAAUCCUGGUUGUUUAUGCUAGAGAUAGAUGUGAUAAAUAAAUAACGGGUUAUGAUCCCCAAGUUUAAUUGCGUAUUCUCUUGAUUUAACGGUUAGAAAAUCCGCAAAAAUCACAAAUUACUGAAUACUAGUUUGGACAACCAUGCCAGUUGCACCUCCAUUUUGCAAUGUAUAUCUCUUAAAAUUGGGAAGUAAUUACAUUUUCGGUUUGCAACUCCAUUAAAAUUUGACCAAACGAACCUGUGGUUUGAUCAAAUUAUCCCCUUAUGAGUUAUGGCUUCCAAAACCAACUAACGGAAGUGGAGAAAUGUUAGAACUACCAUCUACAGAAGAUUACAUUUAUCUCCCUUGAAAUUUAUCUAAAUAAAAAAAAGGGUCAUUAAAAUGUGAACCGAAUGCAAUUUAACCCUUAAAAUAGCCAACUGUUUAUAAAAAUAAAAAUCCCUUAAUAUUAUCAAAAGAAUAAAACCCAAAUUAAGAUAAAAUUAUCAAUUACUAUCUUCCAAGAAAUGAAAAAUGAAAGGAAAAAAAUUGAGAAAAUGUCUUUCUUUCUCGUCUUUAUCUACAUAUGGCUUAUUUUAGCCACUAAAAAACACUCUCUCUCCUUUUAACAAUUAUGCAUUUCAUUUGCAUAUCCAAUUAGGAAGAUACUAAUAUUAAGUUUAAAUAAAACUCUCGUUAAGCCAGAAAACCUUCGCUUGGCCCAUUCGAUAAUAAAUUCUUGUCCUUUAUUCCAGACAAGUGCCUUUAUUAGAUUUUCACUUUUGAUUUUCAAUUUGGUGUCUUUACGAAAGAAAAAUCCUAAAUUUUCAUGCUUAGAGAUGUAUGCAAAUUUAACAGUUUAUUUUAUGUUUUAGGAAACAAAGUUUUAUUAUUUGCGCAUGGAAGUCAAAAACGAUAUUUGAUAUCAAUUAUGUAAUAGUGGUGGUCAAGGAAACUGCAUCGACUGAAACACUUUUGUUAGUGAUGCCACGUGAUUAGAGUUUCAAUUACACUAAUUUUAAGAUGAAAGAAUCAUUGGAAAAAUAUAUAGUAAUUAAUGGGUAUUUUUAUAAACUCAAAAAUUCUGAUGUGAUUAAGUAUUAGCAAAUAUUUCUUUAAUAAAUGUUUGCGAGAAUUGCAGUUUUGGUCUCUAAUGUUUGGCGUGUGUACCAAAUUAGUCCUCAAUGUUUUAGCUAAAACAAAUCUAGUCCCAAAAAUUUGUGAUUUUCGGUAGAUUUAGGACAAUAAAUGGAAAUGAAACAAUGGCUAACAGUCAAUAUCAAAUUACUGUUAGUCAACAAGUUUAACCUUUUGAUUCCCAAUGUUUUGAUUUUGAAUCAUUAUAUUUUUCUAAUUUUUUAAAUAUUGGUAUUAAGGGUUUUGGCAUGAAUUGAGAUGCAAAUUAGAAUGAAAUAGUAUUAAAUAUGUAAUAAUAAUUUUAAUUAAAAAUAUAUUACUUCUUUUUUAAUAUUUAUUUCAUUUAUUCAUGCUAAUAAUUAUAUAUAAUUGUUUCUCGCUUGAAUAAUUAAUUUAUAAUGAGUUUUAUUAUUUUUAUUUCUAAUAACAAUUAAACAACUUUAUUAAAUAUUCCUUUAAAACACAAGAAAUAUAUUUUUUGUAAAAUAAGUUGAUCUUUUUUGGCAUUUUAAUAGGUUAUCAAUUGAGUUUGAAAUAAAGUUGACAUUUUAUACACGUUAUAUGAACCACUAGAUGAUUGUCAAGAUACAUAGAUACUAAAAUAAAUGAUUUAAAACUACAAUAUUGAAAUGUUAGAUUUUAAUGGUAGUAAAGAAAAUAAAAAUAAAAGAUAAUUUUCUUAGGAUUUGCUAAAAUUAUUUAAUAUUGAUGCUUAACUUUACUAGUUUUUAUAAAUACAACGGAUAACUCUAAGAAUUUGAAGCAUACAUGCACAAGACAUGCAACAAUUUUUGUAGUAAUAACUAUAAUAAAUUUAGAUUAUAAAACUGAAAUUCUCCUUUUCUUCCUCUACUUUAUGUUUUAUUUAUUAUUGGUAUAUUAUCAUCCAAUUAAAUUUAUUUAAUAAAGAUAGGCAAUUAUCAACUUAUGCCAUUAUGAUUUGUUUCAAUUAAUAGUGAGAAAUAAUAUAUAUACAUAUAUUAUACAAGAUUUGAGACUAGAAAUGCAAAAAAAAAAAACAUAUGAGAUAUUAUUAGUAUGAAUAAAUGAAAUAAAAAUAAAAGGGAAGGAAAAAAAGUUUAAUUAGAAUUUUUGUUACCCAUUUAAUACUAUUUCAUUCUAAUUUGCAUCUCAAUUCAUACUAAAAUUCUUAAUAUCAUUAUUUAAAAAUUAGAAAAAUAUAAUCAUUCAAAGUCAAAAUACUAAGGACCAAAAGUGCAAAGUCAAAGUUGUUGACUAAUGACAAUUUGAUAUUGAUCGUUAGUCAUUGUUCUAUUUCCAUUAGUUAUGCUAAAUCUAACUAAAAUCGCACACUUUCGGGACAGAAUUUGUUUUGGCCAAAACAUGCAUUAGGGACAAAUUUGGCAUACAAGCAAAACAUUAGGGACCAAAAUUAUAAUUCUCCAUAAAUGUUUGGCUAGUAAAACAUUGGAUUGAUUUGGAAAAACUAAAGGGUUCAUUUUUGUUAUUUGGACAAACUUCAAGAGAGGCAAAUGCAAUUUGAACAAACUUUAGGAUAGGUAAGUGCAAUUAACUCAAUUUACAAAAGGUUAGUUUGGGGGCUUUUAGACAUAUAUUUUAGUGAUGCAAGCAUCAUUUCAAUCAACAAUUAGCGUGAGGGGCGCAAUUGAUAAACAUUUUGUCAGUCAGGGGAUUUGACUAUAAUCUGGUCAAACUGCAAGAUAAAUUUUGUACUUUGACACCUCGAGAAAGUAGGUGUAAUUAACCUUAAAAAAACCGAGUGUUCUUAUUGUCCGAAUAUUAUCCAAAUGAGAUAGCACUAUCUCAAGAAAAAUACAUGUAUCCAUUCUUAUACCUUCACCUAUGUAUCCACUUUUGACUUAUAAUUAAAGGUAACAUGGCUUGUUUUAACCUAUUGAUUGUACCCUCCACCUAUCUCUCUCUUUUCAUUUCUUUCUGUUUCUCUUCUUCCAACCAACCUCUCCAAUCCUUCUUUCAGCCCACCCAAGUUCUCAUGAUGAACACUCUUCCCAUGCACCAUGCCUCUACCCUAAUCCAAAUAUUUACAAGUAGUGGCAGAACCAGAAUCCUAGACUCAGCAAGGCCAAAUUAGAUUAGCAUAAAAAUUGAAGUAUUAAUAGAGUUUGAAAUCAAAAAACACUUCUAUCUUAAAAGUUCAUUUUUUCUAUGUUAAAUACACUUUUAAAAAUAAUUUGCGUUAAAUUUUGCAAUGAAAAUUACAUUUAAAUUUACAUCUAUAUUUAACUUUUGGUAGGUUUAAUACUCUUGUGAAGGAUAACAAUUAUGGAAUUUUAAUUAUUUAGGGGGCAAUGUAUGAUAGUAAAGAGAAUUCUAAAAAUUUUAGGGAGGACAAAUAAGAAACAAUUUUGAAAAUUUCUAAACAUAAAAUAUAAUUUUCUCAAAAAUUGCACCCCCUCAGCAGUAUGUGGCUUUGCCAUUGUUUAAUUACAAGCUUUCCUUCCUCCCUAUUUUCCUAUAUUGUGUUUACAUUUUUGAAGUACUUGUAUAUUUCAUAUAUAUCACAUUGCAAAAACUACAACAUUAUAAUUCUAAAAAAAUUUAAACUAUAUGUUUCCAAACGCAGCCUUGACUUUUAGUUAUUGAGUCUUAGUUUGAAUAUGAAGUCAACAGUUUCACUUUGUCUCAACGCACCUAUAGGAUUUAAGUAUAGGUUUUGAAACCGUAGGAGACUUUUGUGUCUUGUCCAUGAACAACAGGAGGAUAAAGUUAAUUCACCUCUUUUUUUUAAAAAAAAGAUAGAAGACUAUGCUAAUAUUUAUAUUUUUAUUGUGAGUCAGGGUAUUUUUCAAAGAUAAUUUUAUUUAAUUGGGUUAACAUUUCUAGGCAUUGAGAAGGGUUAAGAAAUCAUAAAAUUGUAAGUUAAUUGUAAAAAAUAAUAGUAGGAAUGAAAUGCCAAAAAUGACUAUAGUUUAGCCAAACCACAAGGUAGAUUUUGUAAUUUGACCAAACCUCGCGGGUAGAUUUUUUUUUUUUGGGAUAAAUCAGGGGUAGAUUUUAUUGUCCGACUAUUAUAAUUUAUAAUGGACCAGAGUAGAGAUUAGUUGUUACAUUUCCAACUUUUUUGCAUGGUCACACAUUUCCGACUAUUAUAACCUCAGGUGUUUUUUUUUCCUUUCUCAUUUUGGAUUAAUCUUCAAUAGAGGAAACAACUUUCUGGCUUGAUAAAUAUGUUAUGAAAAUAGAUUUUUUAAAUUAAAUAGGGACUACUUGUCCUGUAUUCAGAUAUGCCAUUGUAAUAGAACUUUGGUAUACUUAGAUAGUAUAUUAUUUAGGAUAAUUUUUUGACAAAAAUAUUGUGUUGACCUUGGUCGAUCAAUCCUUGGUUUUGAUGAUUAACAAACCAAAAUAUAGAUUUGGGCUAAUGUUUUUAUGUGAGUAAUUUGUUAGAAUAGAUUCUUGUGGCAUAAAAGAAGAAGCAAAAACAGGGCACUCAUGUCGGACGCUAUCGGAUGUCCGAAAGGAUGAAGAACAUCAAGAAGGAAACUCUGUCGGACGCUCAUGAGGAAGCAUGGGACGUCCGGAAGGAUCGGACGCACGCCUCGGACGCACAUCGAUCGCAUCGGACGUCCGAGAAAUUUCGCAAAGAUUUGAUGACUCUCUGACGACGUUCGGACGCAGGGUUCGGACGUCCGACAGGUGGUUUGGACGCAGGGUUCGGACGUUCGACAGGUGGUUCGGACGUCCGACAGACCAACGGCUAGUUUUGACAGCAUUUAAUAUUUGACCGUUGGAGAGCCUUUUGGAGUCAUUUCUCACCUUCUAUAAAAACCCCAAAGCACAAGAAGACAAGAGACUUUUGCCAACACAAAAUACAAGCUUACAAGUGAGAUUUUUGAGUAGAAAGAUUCUUUGUUGGUUGUAUAAGGUUGGGAAAGUUGGGUUGUGAGGUUGCUCAAGUGAAGGUUACUCUCUAGGAGGAGUAAAACCUUGGUGAAGAUAAACCUAUCACUUGGAGUGGUAAAACCUUGGUGAAGGUUGCCUCAUGUGUAUAAAAUAGUUCUUAAUUGGGUGAGUGAUCUUUCAAGUGUAGGUUGUUGAGGGUUAACUAGUAUAGUUGUAAAACUCCUUGGCUCAACCAAAGAGUGUUUGGGGUGAGGAAGGAGUGAGCCUUCACUUGUACAUCUUGGUUAGCAUCGCCAUCUAUUGAAGAGGCUAUUGGAUUGAUAUUUGGUUUGCAUUUUUUAUCUUUUCUCUUUAAUUAAGUUUUCUUUAUUGUGCUUAAAUUUGAUAUAUCUUUGUGUAUCAUUGUGAAUUUGUUUGUACUCAUUGGGUUGCACCGGGCACUUACAUAUUGUGAUAAUUUUUUGACAAAAAUAUUGUAAAAAGAUGAUUGAAAAAUGAUAAUUUUUUUGAUAUGAUAUAUGUCAGAUAAAAAGAUGAUUGAAAAAUUUGUUGAUGAUACAAACAAAUACAAUUUGACAAAUAAUCUACUAUCCAAACAAAGACUAGAUUUUCUAUGUGCAAAUAUGCUAGGGUAACCGAUUCACAACGCAUUUGAUAAAGCGGUUAUUGAGCACAUUUUGCACUAUUAUUCUGCCCUAAUUUUGGCUACUCAUGGUGCUAAGAAUUGGGAAUUUGCUCAUAUUUGAUAUUUGUGUAAAUUGUAGGUGGUUGCUGUUAAAAGUAAUCUUUUGAGGCAAUUUCCAGAAGACCCUUUAUUUUAGGACGUGCCCACGCCAGAAAUUAUAGAGGGCUACCCAAAAACCGGACCCGCGAGCUUGGUAACAGUAGGAUAACCAAUUAAGGAACUAGGUCCGCGUGGACCAGAUGCGUGGGAUUAGAACCCUUAGACAAAGCUUGCUCCUGAUUUGACUCCUACGGGCGGCGCUACAAAUAAGAAAACAAGCUAGAUUCGCGGGGAAUCAUCUACCUUAGCUUUAAUUUUCCUUUUUUCACAUCUGUCAGACAUCAAAGAAUUUUUCCUUGUUUUUUUUGGCUUUUACGUUUUGACUCUUUUGCUUUUGCUUUGGAUCUGUACAAUUUUCAUUGGCUUUGGCAUUGAACUUUCGGAUCCAGUACGGACUCCAAUGCAGAGACAAGCAAGACUUUUCACUUUUUCUUUCUUUGUUAUUUCAUCGGUCCAGAUUCUUUGAUGUUUGUGUGGAUGAAAUCAAUUAAAUUGCGCGAGAUUGAUAUGACGAGGAGCGGCUAAAUUCCCCUUCUACCCAAGGGUUAACGCGAAGGCGCGGUCCAUAACAUCUGUGAGAUCUAAUCGAAUUUUCACUAUUUCGUCCAAUUCGUUACUAUUUAUGUGUUUCCUGAAUUAAUUGUUCAUGGGUAUUUUAUUAAUUGGGUAUCAGCGGCCGGAUAUUUAAUUUAAUAUAAUAGCCUAUUGGUACAUUAAUUAAAUUGAAUCCGUAAUUGUUCGUUUAGUUGACAAAUAGUGACAACCACCAUAAUUGGUUUUAUGUUGGAGAAACACAAGAUCUAAUUUAAAUAAACUCUCUUAGCGUGUUUAUUGGUUAGGGUUGGGUUUUUCUAGUUUUAAUGCAACUGGAUAACUAAAUUCCUACGGUCGUACCUAGGGUUGUUUUCUGGUUAGAGAAGCAGUCAAUGAUCGUAGUUUGACUGUCGAAAAAGUAAGGAAGAACUGGUUGUCAGAUCUUAUUGAUAACUAUAACCAACCUAGUGACGGAUGGAUGAAAUAUCUUUGCAUCGAUGAUCAUUUAAUUGGACCGUGCCUGAAAACUUGAUUCUUUGGGUAGAAUUUUAUUAAUUGCUAUUUUUAGUAAAUUGUACUUGUGGAGUUAUCUUUUGAAUUUUAUUUAUUUUAUUUUCGUUUCCAUCCCAUUAAUUAUCCCCUAAUUUUAUUCUAUUGAUUUAAAAAGAAACAACUUCCUACCCGUUCCCUGUGGAAUCGACCCUACUUGCCAUUGUACGCAAAAUUAAUAUUUUUAUAGACAAUUCAGGUAUAUCGGACCAAGCAAACUCUUCGGGAAUAGGGUAAAUCAAGUAAUCCAUUACACAUUUAGGGUCCCUACUCUAGUAUUUGGAUUUGUUCUAUAAUUAAUUGUGAUGGUAAUUAGGACUUUUUAGUAAUUAUUAUUGCACAGGUUCGGUAUCUGUCAAUUUUUGGCGCCGUUGCCGAGGAACGGUAUUUUGAUUAAUUUUGUUUCUUUCUAAGUUAUUUUCUUUGGAUUUGUCUGACAUUUUUCUAGUUUAUGCCUCGUUCUUCUCAUACAGGAGAAUUGAUUUUCGAUCCGGAAGUAGAGAAGACUUCGUGUCAAACUAGAAAAUAGACUAGGCAACUCAGAGAGGAGCAAUCGAGCACUGCAUCUCAGGAACUGGAUCCUGAGAUUGAAUCAGCAGAUUCGAGUGGUGAAAAUUCAAGUGACCCAGGCCAAGAAGACAUCCCUAUGGCGAAUGCAAGAACACUAAGGGAGUUGGCUGCUCCGGAAUUGCCCCAGCAGCCGCUGUGCAUCACAUUUCCAACUCUAGCUGAAAAUGCCUCAUUCGAACUAAAGUCGGAGUUGAUUCACCUUUUGCCCACAUUCCAUGGCCUUUCGGGGGAGGAACCCCAUAAACACAUUCAAAAGUUCAAUGUGGUAUGCUCCAGUAUAAAGUCUCCAGAAAUUACUGAGGAGCAGAUCAAACUUAGAGCCUUCCCAUUCUCCCUCAAGGAUGCAACAAAGGAUUGGUUGUACUACUUACCUGCAGGCAGUGUUACAACAUGGACCCAACUGAAAAAGAAAUUUUUGAAAAAAUUCUUCCCUACAUCCCGGGCUGCAAGUCUGAGAAAGGAGAUUUGUAGCAUUAAACAGUACCCUGGAGAAUCCCUAUAUGACUAUUGGGAGAGGUUCAAUAAGUUGUGCACUAAAUGCCCACAACAUCAAAUUAGUGAACAACUAUUGAUCUAAUAUUUCUAUAAGAGGCUCCAGUCAUCCGACAGGAGUAUCAUUGAUCCUGCGAGCGGGGGAGCAUUGGCAAAUAAGACCCCGAGGGAAGCAUGGUUGCUCAUUGAAACUAUGACAAAAAAUUCACAACAGUUUGGCUUCCGCGAGAGUAACCCUACCCGUAGGGUUAACAAGAUAGAGACAUUAUCCAUUCAGCAGCAGCUAUCAGAGCUAACAUCUUUCGUUCGCCAAUUAGCUGUGGGAAACGGGCACCAAGCAAAGGCCUGUGGAAUCUGCACAAAUGUGGGUCACCCCACUGACUCAUGCCCUAUGUUGCAAGAGGAUGGGGCUAAACAUAUGAACAUGACUGGAGGCGUGCCCGCGCCUCGUAGGCAGUACGACCCACACUCGAACACGUACAAUCCGAGUUGGAAAGAUCACCCCAAUUUCAGCUAUGAUAAUAGGCCACAGAAUUCAUUCUCCAAUCGUCCACCAGGAUUUCGGCAACCAUGGCAACCAAAGCCACAACCUUUAUCAUCUAACUCAGGAAGUUCCUUGGAGGAAAUUGUCAAGAGUUUGGUCACGACUACCACUCAGCUCCAACAGGAGACUAGGGCCCUGGUCGCGAACAAUACUCAGUUCCAGUAGGACACCAGAGCAAGCAUGAAAAACAUGGAGACUCGAAUGAAUCAAAUGGCAACCGUCAUUAAUCGCUUGGAGUCCCACGUUUAUGGAAAACUACCAUUACAAUCCAAGAUAAAUCCCAAGAAUGUAAGUGCCAUGACACUAAAGAGUGGCAAAGAGGUGGAGGGACCUAAGUUGGUAAAUUCGAAAAGCAAAAAGUGAGGAGGAGAUAGAAGAGGGAGUUGAAGAGGAACGGCACAUUCGCGAAGAGUCUAAGGUAACAUCUAUUCCUUUGAUGCCUAUUAAAUCUAAUCUAGCUCCUUUUGCUUGCAGGUUGGAAAAGACAAAUAGGGCAGAAAAGGAAAAAGAAAUCCUGGAUGUGUUCCGCAAAAUUCAAGUAAACAUCCCCCUAUUGGAUGCGAUCAAACAGGUAUCCAAGUAUGCAAAGUUCUUGAAAAACUUGUACGUUAACAAAAGAAAGCUAAGGGAUGAUGAGAGAGUGAUGGUAGGAGAGAAUGUAUCAGCUGUACUUCAAAGGAAACUCCCACCCAAAUGCGAGGAUCCAAGCAUGUUUACUAUCUCCUGUAAGAUUGGAUGUUCUAAUAUCGAAAAUACCAUGCUAGUUUAGGAGCCUCUAUUAAUGUGAUGUCUAAAUCAAUCUAUGAUUCCCUAAAUUUAGGACCUUUAAAAGAAACAAGAAUAAUAAUUCAAUUGGCUGAUCGUACAUUUGCUUAUCCGGAUAGAAUAGUUGAGAAUGUUUUAGUGCAAGUAGAUGGAUUAAUUUUUCCUGCUAAUUUUUAUGUGCUUUACAUGGAUGAUAGAAGUGUCCCAAAUCCAUCACCCAUUAUAUUAGGAAGGCCAUUCUUGAGUACUGCCCAAACUAAGAUUGAUGUUAGUAAGGGUACUUUCACAAUGAAAUUUGAUGGAGAAACAGUCCAUUUUAAUAUUUUUGAUACAGUGAAACAUCCUGUUAACUCUUAUUCUGUGUUUGUUAUUCAUGCUACUGAUCCAUCUGUGCAAAAAUUUUCUGAGUUUGCUUGUAGAAGUAAAUUCAAAGUUGCUGCAAACAAGUAUCAUGGAAUGAAAGCAAUUCAUGAGGUGAAAAUGGGUAGAAAAUUAAGAAAAAAUGUUGCAUUCAAUGGCUAUUUGGAUCCCGGAGGAGGGCCACUGAUUACAAGAAAAAUUGAAUUACAUCCAAACUGAAGAGCGGUGUAUAGUGUCUAGCCAAAGACAUUAAAGAAAGACACUACUUGGAAAGCAAUCCAAGGAUUUCAAUUGUGUUCUAUUUCAUAUUUGUGUGCUCAAGACCAGUGGGUUUAGAUUCCUAUUGACAAUAUUUAUUAUAGGUCAUGGGUGUUUCUGUGUAGUUUUAUUCUAGGUUGGACGCAAAAAAAAAAAAUUUUGUGGGCAGAAGACUUCAUGUUACAAGGCGUGCCCGGGCCUUGUACUCACCGCACAUGAAUAUUUGUAAAAUUUGGUGAACAGAAGACCUCGACCUCCAAGGCAUGCCCACGCCUUCCAACCUUUGCAACAAUGAAAGUAAAAAAAAAUUGACCAGGACCUUCUCUAACCCCACUUUUCUACUUUUCUUUUUUCUUGUCUUGUCUGGUCUUUUUAAUUUCCUCUGUCUUAGUUUCUACUUUUCAAUUUCCUUUGUUUUGUCUUAGUUUCAGUUUCUUCGUUUCCUCUUUUCUUGUUAGUCUGCCGCGCACAGCGCGUCGCCGUGGCGUGCUCCUCUUACCAUACUCCUCCUACUGGGGAUUCCCAAUACUGUGCCCUCCAAGAUUCUAUCCAUGAACUAGGUGAGCAGGUUGAGGGACUAGAUGGCCGUCUUGCAGCGCUGCAGGUUUUUGCUCGCAUUCAGGUGGAGAACUAGGCAGCUUUCUUUACGCAUAUUGGAUUCACUCCACCUCAUCCUCCUCCCCCUUAGUGUCUAGCUGCAGCCUCUCGGUAGUCAAGGAAGUUUCUCUCCUUUUCUCCUAAUAUUUCAUUUGUCUUUUCUACAUUGAGAACAAUGUAGGUUUUAGGUGUGGGGGAGUAGUUCCCAUUAUUUCUUUUGGUUUCCAUUAUUUCUUUUGGCUUUGGUACAAAAAAAAACAAAAAAUGGAAAACAAAAAAAUGAAAAAAUGAUGAAAACAAUGUAGUUAGUCGGCUUUCUGUUCAUUUCUAUGUUUGUUAGUACUGGAGCAUAUUGCUAUGACGAAUUAUACAAUCAUGGUGCACAGGUAUGUGGUCAAAUAUGCUAGUUGGGCAUUUUGUUUUUGCUUUGCAAUAUCAUUGAAUGUUGAAUAUGCUGGACUUGAUCCAUUCUUAAAACUUUUGGGAGCUUUUGAGCCAUACAUGAGCACAUUAUUCUUGUUUGUUCUAUUUUUGUUUGAUUGAGUGGGUAUCACACAUGGUAUUGGUAUUCUAGAACUUGCUAUUUUGUACAUGUCGAGAUCACAUUUUGUUGAAGUGGAUGCAUUUGAAAUAAUAAGGGCAUUUAGGAUUUGACCUUCUUUAGCUUUCUAAAAACCAUGCAUUCAUCUUAUCUCCCGAUAGUGAAUCAAUUUGAAUUUUUAUCCUUCGCUUUUGUUUGUUAGUCGUGUUUGAUAACCCAUGACCUUUUUAUACUUUCUUGUUCAACCUUGUGUCAUUAAGAGAUGUCUGAAAUUCGGCAAAUAAAUCUAGGGUCGCAAGUGUUGUCAAAAUAGAUGCUGUAUGAUGUUGUUUCUGUACAUCUGAGAUCGAAAAAAAAGAAAAAAAGAAAAAAAAAGGAAAAAAAGGGGAAGAAAUUGUCAAUAAGAUGGUGAAACAGACGACUCUGUCUUACAGGGCGUGCCCACGCCUUGCAAUUACUUAACUCAACCAAAAAAAUAAAAAAAAUUUUGGCGACACUUGCACAGUGGGUGUAGCAAAUGAAACUGCCUUAUUUGUGAAACUCCUCCGGUGAAGCAUUGUGGUUAUAUGGUGGGUUUCUGAUAUUCGAGGCACAUACCGGUUGAAUGAUCCCUGGCAUAACAAAUUCCACAAGUUGCAGCAGCCAUUCUUUCAAUAAGAGAGUUUAGUGCCUCUGAAUAUGCAAACUUAGAAAAAAAACAAGCCUCAUUGUCUUCCCUGGAAACAAAAUCCAGUCUAUCACCAAAAUCCGGAGUGUUAGAAGCCAUAAACUAUAUAAAAAAAAUAAGAGAAAAAUAAACAAAAAAAAAAUGAAAACAAGAUGAACUCAAAAAGAAACAAAUUAAUCUGACACCAGUCCCCGACAACGGCGCCAAAAAUUGACAGGGUGUCGAACCUGUGCAAUAAUAAAUACCUGCUUAAAUAAAAUAUAAUUUCUGUAGAUAGUGAUAAGCAGGGUCGAAUCCACAGGAAUUGGGGAUAAUUUAUUUCUUUAGAGUCCGAAGUAUGGGGGAUUUUUGAAAAUGAGAGUAACUAAACUACUUGGAAUAAAUUAAAAUAAAAUAAAACAACUACAACUCAAAUAACUAAUUAUCACAAUAAAAAUAAUAAUGGACGAACUCUAACCAAGAGACAACUUCGGAGAUGGUUCACUUAAUUCGAUCACAGAUGCAAGGAUUAUUCCAGUUACUAUCUGAUAAAUUAGUUAUAGUUGUCAUACACGCGAUAAACAACCAACUCUUCCUCAAUUUGUCGAAAGCCAAGGUACGACCGUUGACUAUUUCUCUAAUCAGGAAAUAACCUUAGGUACGACCAUAGAAGUUCAAUUCCCUAAUUGCAUGAAUAAUUAGAAGAGCCUAAUUCUAACCAAUCAACACGCUACGAGGGUCUCUUUAAGUUAACCUGUCUAUCUCCCUGACACAAACCCAAUCAUGCCAGUUGCCACCAGUUUAGAAUAAUUAAACAAUUACGGAUUUAACUACCCUAAUUGGUUUCAGGUUAUUGAAUUAAUCUAGAAUCCGGGCCCUGGAUAAUCGAAUAAUAAAACAACCAUAUGAACAUAAAGCAGAAGAUAGACGAAUACCAGUGAAUAAUGAAAAUAAAUAAAAACUAAUUCGAUCUCACAAAUUUAGUAGAACCAAGUCCUCCGUUGUUCCUCGACUAUAUGAGAAACUUAGCCACGCCUCAUGAGAAAAUCUCCAAGUGAUUUUACUGAGGUCCAAGCCAUCAAAGGAACUAAGAAAGAAUAAAACUAAACUAUGCUAAAAACUAAGCUAAAACUAUUGAUAAGAGCUUCUGUGUAUGUUUGUUUCUCUUUUUAAAGCCAAAUGACUAAUACCUUCCCUCUUUUCUGUGGUCCCCGCACGAAUUGAGAGUCCAAUUCCAUCUCACAAGCCUUUGUACGUUUCUUUUCCAAGAGCCCAAAUGACUCAUGCUUCUUAUCUCCGUGGUCCCACGAGAUUCCCCAAUCAAAGUCCAAAAGGUAAGGCCUCUUAAUGUUUCCUCUUUUCUCGUUUCUCAUUGCUCCUAGGACUCCUAGGAUUCAAGACACUCCUCAUCAGCAAAGGAAAUGCAGUCCGCAUCUAUCACAAUGUGGGCCAGGUCUGUGGCUUAGUUGAAGUCUCAAUUGUUUCCAGAAAGUCCCUCUUUUUUUGUAAUUUUCUGCUUCACUCCCUGAAAUUGGGUCCAAUACCAAAUAUAAGUAAAUAUUAAUAAUUAAAAUAAUAUUUGGCAAGGAUAAAAGGGAAAUUAAUAAUAAAAUAACCAAUAAUUAACACCCUAUCAGUUUCGGACAUUCUCUUGACAUAUUACCCCCUAUCUAUACCUUUCUAUCCCAUUUUUUACCUAAGCCCCAUUACAACCCUAUCAAAAUUCCUUUGAUUUGUGUAUUUAGUUCAUUUUUGAGUGGUGGAGAUGUGAUAAAUGUGCAAACUUAUGGUAAUGUCAUUCCGUGAUGUUGAUUUGAGCGUUCCUAGUAUUCAUACAUUUUUUUUGAAUUACCACCUGUCCGGUGUGUUCUAAUUUUGGCAAUAUUGUCAGGAAUGCGGGAUGUUUGAGGUAGUAUAGAUGACUAAGAAACCGUUGCUAUCUUGAUUGUGCUUCUGAGCUCCAAAAUGCUUGAGGGCAAGCAUUGUCUAGAUGUGGGGAGAUUUGAUAGAACGGUUAUUGAACACAUUUUGCACUAUUAUUCUGCCCUAAUUUUGGCUACUCAUGGUGCUAAGAAUUGGGAAUUUGCUCAUAUUUGAUAUUUGUGUAAAUUGUAGGUGGUUGGUGUUAAAAGUAAUCUUUUCAGGCAAAUUUUCAGAAGACCCUUUAUUUCAGAACGUGCCCACGCCAGAAAUUAUGGAGGGUUACCCAAAAAUCGGACCCGCGAGCUUGGUAACAGCGGGAAAACCAAUUAAGGAACCAGGUGCGUGGGAUUAGAACCCUUAGACAAAGCUUGCUCCUGAUUUGACUCCUACAAGUGGCGCUACAAAUAAGAAAACAAGCCAGAUUCACGGGGAAUCAUCUACCUUAGCUUUAGUUUUCCUUUUUUCACAUCUGUCAGACAUCAAAGACUUUUUCCUUGUUUUCUUUGGCUUUUACGUUUUGACUCUUUUGCUUUUGCUUUGGAUCUGUACAAUUUUCGUUGGCUUUGGCAUUGAACUUUCGGAUCCAGUACGGAUUCCAACGCAGAGACAAGCAAGACUUUUCACUUUUUCUUUCUUUGUUACUUCAUCGGUCCACAUUCUUUGAUGUUUGUGUGGAUGAAAUCAAUUAAAUCACGCGAGACUGAUAUGACGAGGAGCGGCUAAAUUUCCCUUCUACCUAAGGGUUAACGCAAAGGCGCGGUCCAUAACAUCUGUGAGAUCUAAUCGAAUUUUCACUAUUUCAUCCAAUUCGUUAUUAUUCAUGUGUUUCCUGGAUUAAUUGUUCGUGGGUAUUUUAUUAAUUGGGUACCAACGGUCGGAUAUUUAAUUUAAUCUAAUAGCCUACUGCCAUAUUAAUUAAAUUGAAUCCGUAAUUGUUCGUUUAGUUGACAACUAGUGGCAACCACCAUAAUUGGUUUUAUGUUGGGAAAACGCAAGAUCUAAUUUAAAUAAACCAUCUCAGCGUGUUUAUUGGUUAGGGUUGGAUUUUUCUAGUUUUAAUGCAACUGGAUAACUAAAUUUUUAUGGUCGUACGUAGGAUUGUUUUCUGGUUAGAGAAUCAGUCAAUGGUCGUACCUUGACUGUCGAAAAAGUAAGGAAGAAUUAGUUGUUAAAACUUAUUGAUAACUAUAACCAACCUAGUGACGGAUGGAUGAAAUAUCUUUGCAUCGAUGAUCAUUUAAUUGGACCGUGCCUGAAAAGUUGAUCCAUUAGGUAGAAUUUUAUUAAUUGCUAUUUUUAGUAAAUUAUACUUGUGGAGUUAUCUUAUGAAUUUUAUUUAUUUUAUUUUUGUUUCCAUCCCAUUAAUCAUCUCCCAAUUUUAUUCUAUUGACUUAGAAAGAAACAACUUCCUACCCGUUCCCUGUGGAAUCGACCCUACUUGCCAUUAUACGCAAAAUUAAUAUUUUUAUAGACAAUUCAGGUAUAUCGAACCAAGCAAACUCUUCGGGAACAGGGUGAAUCAAGUAACCCAUUGCAUACCUAGGGUCCCUGCUCUAGUACUUGGAUUUGUUUUAUAAUUAAAUAGGGACUACUUGUCCUGUAUUCAGAUAUGCCAUUGUAAUAGAACUUUAGUAUACUUAGAUAGUAUAUUAUUUAGGAUAAUUUUUUGACAAAAAUAUUGUAACAUUUUUUUUGAUAUGAUAUAUGUCAGAUAAAAAGAUGAUUGAAAAAUUUGUUGAUGAUACAAACAAAUAAAAUUUGACAAAUAAUCUACUAUCCAAACAAAGACUAGAUUUUCUAUGUGCAAAUAUGCUAGGGUAACCGAUUCACAACACAUUGUAUGAAACUUUAUUCCCCAUGGUGUUGCAUGUUAUUCGUGUUUGUUUUGGUGAUAAUUAAGCCCCAGUGAGGCCAUAAUUGAGUAGAACUUGAAGUAGAAUUUUAUUUAUUUAUUUUUGGAUAAGAUUUUAAGGGACCCAAAUGAUACAAUUUGAAGUAGUAUAUUGAAAAUUCAAGAAUUUGAUAUCUUGGUAUUUCUAGAAUUUAAAAGUUGGAUUUUAACCAAAAAAAAAAAAAAGAAUUCAAAAAGUUGGAUAUUGUGAGAAAAAUCAAGUGGGUCCAAGUUUGUUAUGUCUAUCCUACAAUAGUACAAUGAGUGGACAAUAAUAAAUAUGGGAAAAAUACACUUUUUAUCCCUAAUGUUUAAGGUGUUAACCAAUUUCGUCCCUAAAGUUUCAUGUAAAACAUAUUUCAUCCUUGUAAUUUGAUAAUUUUAACUAAUUUCUUUCUUAAAGUUUCACACGAACACAUUUCAUCCUCAUAGUUUAAUAUAUUUGGCUAAUUGAGGACAAUUAGUGGAUUGUCAAUGAUUUUAAAUAGAAUAUUGUCACUUGACCACAACAUGCCCAUUAGUAAAAAAAAAAAAAACAUUGGAUCAACAAAAAGGUUAAAAAUCUUUUCUUAAUCCACUUUCUCAUUUUGGUACCAAAAAAAAAACUUAAGAAAUUUUUAGCCACCAUUACUGUCUUCUUAAUCACAAUCGAACAAGAAGAUAUAUCUAAAGAAAAUGAAGUCAUGGAAAACAAACAACCCCACUAUAGCCAAUUGGAAAAAAAUGUCAAACAACUCCAUUACAACUAAUUGGAGAAAAAUAUUAAUGUGAAAGAAAGAAUGGUUUGAAUUGUCAUUUAUUUGCAAAAUUUUGUUUUGCUGCUGUGUAUUUUGCACCAACAGUUGUAUCAUGUAUACGUUUUUCAAUCAUCUAUUCAUCUUUCAAUCUAUUUGUUUUAUCUCAAAUGCAUUAUAUCAUAAUUUUAAAAAACAAAGAGAUAGUCUCAUAUCCAAAAACACUUGUUAAUUUUGUAAUUUAAUCAAUAACUGAAUUAAGUAUUAAUAAUACAAUUACUAAUGGGACAUGUGAUGAUAUUAUGUCCAAAUUGGUUAACAAUCAUUUAAUUGUCCUCAAUUGAUAGAAAUUAUGAAACUAUCGGGAUGAAAUGUGUUCUACAUAAAUUUCAGGGACAAUUGGUCUAAAUUAUAAAACUAUGAGGAUAAAAUAUGUUUAGAAUGAAACUUUAGGAACGAAAUUAGUUAACACAUUAAACAAUGGGGAUGAAAAGUGCAUUUUUCCUAAUAAAUAUUUUUGUUUGUUCCUUCUUCUGUCGUUCGUACUAAAACAGUCAACGGGAAUGACGCCGCUCCGAUGUUCACAAAAUAAUUGGUUGGAUUCCAAACUAGGCAUUAAAAUAAGGAAACAAGUCUAUGACUCUCAAUUUGAAGCUGUGCUAUCAUAAAUUGUUUAAGAAUACCGCUAAUGGAACACUUAUUGAGUGUGCAAUGCAAUCAAAUUUUAAUUUUUUGCAAAGUCUAAGUUUUGAAAAUUAAAUACUGGUAAAAACUAUAAUUCGUGGAAAGGUUUUAUAUUUAUUUGACAAAAUAUUUAAUUCACUUCAUAGAGGUAAGAUAUGAAUUUUUAUUCAAUGUGUAAUUGGUUUCUUUUGAAAUAAAAGGUAGUAGUUAUAUUGAGUUUAAUAUAUAUUGUGAGUAGUUGAUGUCUAAAAGUUGCAAAUUGUUUUAGGUAUAUGAAAAAAAGAGAGAUUAUAUUAGGUGUAAAAGCCAACAUAGGUGUUUUAGAGCAUUAAAGCAAGAGAAUAUUGAAAGCUUGGUUUAGGAAAUACUAUGAUAGUUUGAUCUAUUGCAUAUAAGAACGAGAAAAUAACUGUGACCACUUCCUUAUCUUACCAAAGUACAAUUAUAUUUUGUUAAAAAAAAAAUCUCCAGCAAAGGAAGGGUGAGAUUGAUUUAAGAAGCAGGGAGGAAAAAAAGAAUUUGAACUCAGAAAUUUUCACCAAAGAUGCCUUGUUCUAGUAGUUAAAGUUGAAAUUCCAAAAAUUAGAGUAUUGAGUUCAAAUCCCUCUGCUUCCUUCCCACUUUUUAAGUUCCAUGUCUCUCCUUUUUGAAAAAAAAAAAAGAAAUAGUAAAGUACACUCAUGUUAUAGUACAUCACUAUUUGGUACUUUAUAUAUCCCUAUAACAUAUAAGAAGACGUUUUGUGGGUUACUGUUCAUUGCAUUUCAUCUGCCUCCUUGGGGGUUUUUUUGUCAUUCCAGCCUCUUGCUUAUUCUUUUUCUUGGAGCUGGUACAACUGGUUGCUGCUUUGGAGAAUAUGUCUUUUCUAUCCUUAUUACAAGCCUUAGCCGGAUGUUAGUGGAAUGUUGGCUGUUUUGCAACAUUAAUGAGAUUUGAUGCUCAUUUCUAUCAGCCAACUCAUUUGCCUUGUUUAAUUACAUUUUUCUCCUUCCAAAUGCUCAUUGAAUAGACUGAGCAUUUUGAAUUCAUGUGUAACAGAGUCAUUUCACAAUAGCCUUCUACUUUUGCUAUUGAAAAUUAGAAAAUUGAGUCUUCUCUUCUCCGUGUUCUCCUGCUACAUGCAUUCAUUAUCCACAACUCUUUGUCUAUAUCCACAACUCUCCGUUCUAUCCUACUGCCUUUGUUAUUGCAUUGAAAAAUCCCAUAUCUAGGUUCUAUUUCCUUUCUGCUAAAUCUUUGUUUUCUACCUUAUUCAUGAUAUGAACUGUAAACCAUAUUUACUAUUAUUGUCAUGCUUGGUGUUAGCUUUGCAUAUUCAGUGUACAAUGGCUUCAACUGAUGCACUUGCACAUUCAACGGAUAAGAAGAUUCAUUGCAACAGAAGAUUAAGAGAAAAAUAUGCUUCCUUAUCAGUGGAAGAAAAAGAAGCUUGUCGAGCUAAAUAGAAGGAAGCUUAUCUAAAGAGGAGAGCAAGGAAAGCUGCUGCAUCGACGUCUUCUAUGAACUGACAACAAACUAACAGUAUCUUAUUCAGUUUUGCUAGAAAUGAAAGCUGUGGUAUAAAUGUUUGGUGCUUCGCGUUUAUAUUGGUUUCUUUAGAUUUCUACUUAACUAGUUUAAUGGUUGAUUAAACUUCUUUAUGUGUAAAUUGACAGCAAACUUCUGUAAUAAAUAUAUACACAUGGAGAAGAGCUGUUGAGUUUGCCUGUAUCUGAAGUUUUUGAGUUUUCUGCUUCGCUGCCUUAAUAUUGGAUUAAAAAGAAAUCUUUAUGUUUGAAUUAAAAAAAAAUCUAUAAGAGAUGCAUGCGAAUGGAGAACAGCUUCUAGUUACUGUGAAAAGCUGUGCCAAUAUUUAAAUUAAAAUUGUAAUUUGCAUUAUGCUAAACAUGAUGUAAAUUAUCAAAACCUUUUAAUUCAGGUGCACAACUUCUAGUUUCGUGUGACCUAUGACAAAAUAAUGACCACAAUAACCAACAGGCUAUUGCUAUUAAACCACUUCCACAACAGAGUAGAGACAAAGAGGCUAAUUUGCAACAAUCUAUUGCUAUCAAAUUGGUUGUGCAACAACAUAACAAAAGUAAUUCUCUGUGCAAAUGCAAUGCUGAAUUAGAAGGCAAGUUGAAGAGGCAUGUUUUCUUGACAUUUGAACAUGGUAUGCUUGCACAAGUUCAUUACUCUUUAAAUUUUCUACGCCAAGUUGUUCCCUUUUUUUUUUUUUGCUCUUCUAUGUUUAUACAUGCAUUUUUUGAUCUUAUGUUCAUAUAGGUUCUUCGUUAAAAAGACAUUAAUUUAUAAAUGUAAAAGAAUCAGUAGACUAAACGUUUCAAGUAUAUCUUGUUAUAAUCAUAUUUAUCAAUGUACGCUUCAUAUAAUAAUUUCUAUGCUUGCAACUAGUAGGUGAUCCUCCUAUAUGUGAUAGCUGCUAUAAAUUCUUGCAUGAAACAGUUGAUGAUCUUGCAGGUUGAAAUCCUUAAUCCUAUUUUUAUAAAUAUUUGCUCAAUGUCGUUUGGUUGCUAAACUUGAUUUAGGCUCUUACAGUUUCUUAUUUGCCUAAUCAGGUAUAUCUAUGACAAUAUGCCCUCAACCAGUGGAAGCCAAUGUUUCUCAUGCCAUGAAAAAUUGUCCAAAAGGUAUGCAUAUCUAAAAUGUAUCUGGAAAUGUUGUAGAAUCUAUAUGUAUGUAUAUCAGCAGCAUGAUUUUUUUACCUCGUAACUAACCAGAUUAUUGAACUACCAACUAGAGUAAGUAAGCGCAAGUAGAUUCAUUGCUCACUCGAACCCAUUCCUCUUGCUCUACCUAUUGAGUGCACAGAUGACUCGCGAAAAAAACUAUAGAGAGCGACCGAAGCUCGUCAAGCCCCGAUCCUUCUUCAGCCAUAAGAAAGCCAAGACCAGACUUGGGGAGAACUACUCUGUCCACACCUGUCCCAUUCCUUCUCUCUUCAGUAAGCGAAUCAGCCAGUAAACUUGAAUCUGUGGGUAGCACAAAAAGAGUAGCUUGGUUCCGUUUCGGUUUAUACACCAGGGCCAAAACCUUACCAUGCCAACACUCUUCCGGUUCGAUAAGACCAGCUCUUUCUAUAGCUGCAUUUCAUCUUCCCCUCAAUUGCUCUGUAGGCAAAAGCUCAAGCCAAAGGAGAUCAAACAUCCAAGCAAAGAAGGCUUGCAUGCAAAACAAGGGUAUCAUUGCUGUUUCUUUAUCUUACAUCUAUACAUAUUCAAAUAUUUAUACCUCUUUCAUAUGCACAUAAAAUAGUCAUAAAAAUGCUUUGUGUCCUAUUAUUCUACAACAUCUAAAAAUAUAGCUGGUGUAGAUGUUCUGAAUUUCAUUAACCAUAGUGCAAACCGCCUCCCUGAUGCAUUAGAUUGUAAAUAUUGUGGAUCAAAAAAAUUCUACUCAGAGACAGCAAACUUUUGCUAUUUUGAUGGCAAAGUUCUGCUCCAUGAAAAUAAGCUACCUAACAUCUUAAUUGAACUUUUUAGUGGUCAGAGCGGAGAAGCUAUACAAUUUCGAACCUAUGUCAGGACCUAUAAUAGCAUGUUUGCAUUUACUUCAUUUGGUGUUCACUAUGAAAAAUCCCUCUGCAAGAGAACAAAUGAAAUCUAUAUAUUCAAGAUACAAGGCCAAACCUAUCAUUUCAUCAAUGAACUAAUAAGGCAUGGAGGAUUAGGAAUGUAUCUUCAGCUUUAUUUUCAUGACACAGAACAUAAAAUUCAGAAUCGAUUAGCAAUAUCAAAAAAGCUGACUGAAAGUAUUGUAGUCAAACUAAUGGAAGUAAUGAAAGAAAAUCCAUAUGCUUGCUUCUUCAGGAGUUUGAGAAAUCUCCCAAACUUCGACUCAUAUCAUAUAGUUUUAAAAUCUCACUCCGACAAUGACCAGCAAGUGUUUAAUAAACCUGCUGUAUCUCAAGUUGCAGCUUUAUGGGUUAAAUGAGAAAACGCUAAUCAAGGCUAUUCUAGACACAUACAAAUAUAUACUAAAGAAGGACAUAGCCACCGCAUUCAAUAUUACUACGGCUACUGUGACCCUCUUCAGUAUUCACUACUUUUUUCAUUCGGAGAAACUAGAUGGCAUCCAGGUAUACAACAAUUAGGGAUAGACAAUCCAAAAAAGCGUAAAAGAAAGACUAUGAUACAUUCAUGUUUAGCUACAUUGUCCAGCAUUAAGUCGGCAGAAGAAAUGAUUGAUCUCGAAGAAGAAGGUAACACACAUAUACCAUUAUUAUAUAUAACUGUAUUGAAUUACAGUUAUCUCUUCUUUGACAAAUAUUCUAAAUCUUACAGCUUACAAGGCAAAUGAAAACUCCAAGGAAUAUGUAUCCAUGAUACAGUAUUAUGCAUAUAAAUUCUAGAUAAGAAAAAAAAUUGGGCCAAAUAUUUUAAACGCUUGAAGAGCUUUGCAACAGUAUUCAGUUGAUUUGUACGUUAAAAUAGAGACACAAAGACGAGAUUUUUAUAGAAGCAGACAACAGCAAAUACGUCAAGAGCAGCUACAAGGAAUUAUAGACAAUAUAAUACAGGGACAACAAAAUGGAUUUCGGAUUGAACUGCGAGUAAUAUUGCCUGCAUCAUUUAUUGGAGGCCCUAGAGAUAUGAAAAAAAAGGUAUCUUGAUACUACGACUUUGGUCCAGAAAUUUGGGAAGCCGGAUCUUUUUAUAACUAUGACUUGCAACCAAUCAUGGCCUGAAAUUAAAGAAAAUCUGUUAUAAUCAGAUGAAGCAUAGAAUAGGCUUGAUCUUAUUCCUCGUGUGUUCUAUGCAAAGUUAGAAAUUAUAAAGGAAGAGUUAUUCAAGAAGCAAAUAUUUGGAGAAAUAGUAGCCUAUACUUAUGUUAUAGAAUUUCAGAAACGUGGUUUGCCUCAUGCUCACUUUCCAAUUAUCCUCAAGCCUACUUUCAAAUUAUAUACAAUAGAAGAUUAUGAUUGUAUAGUUUUUGUAGAAAGACCCGAUGAAACACAAAUGAGCAUCUCUUUAGAAUGGUCAAGAAACAUAUGAUGCAUAGGCCGUGUGGCGAGAAAAAAACCUGAUACUGUAUAAAUACAGGAUGUAUCAAAGAAGUAUUGCAAGAAUAAUUAUCCAAAGGCAUGGGCAGAAAAAAUUAGACAUUCUUCGAACUCGUAUCCAACAUACAGAAGAAGAAAUGAUAGCAAAAAAAAUUUUAUCCGGGGGCACUACUUAGACAACAUAUGGGUAGUGCCAUACAAUGCUUAUCUAUUGGCCAAAUUCAAUUGCCAUAUAAAUGUUGAAAUUUGCUCCACAAUUAAGACCGUCAAGUAUGUGUAUAAGUAUACAUACAAAGGUCAUGCAAGGAUACAUUUUCAAGUGAAUUCAGGUGAUGGAGCAAAUGCUAUUGAUGAAAUCAAGGAAUAUCAGUCAGCACAGUAGGUAUUUGCAGUUGAAACGAUGUGGAGGAUAUAUAGAUUUCACCUUUACGAAAUGCAGCAUACUGUAAUAUAGCAUCAACUCCACCUAGAAAACUUCCAAUCUAUGCUCUUUCAACCAAAUGAUAGUCUUGACAAUAUAUUAAGUAACAAUUUUGUAAAAAGAAACUCACCCAAUUUUUUUAAAUGAAUGCUACAGAUAAUUUAACAAAAAGUUUCAAAUGUACCUACAAAGAAUCCCUCGAACAUUUUGUGUGGUAUCCAAGUUCCAAAUCUUAGCAACCUAGCAACAAAGAGAUUUUAUCAGUAGAGUUGUUGCAGCAAAUCCCCUUGAAAGUGAACGGUACUUCUUAGGACUCCUUUUACUGCAUGUUAAAGCCCCAACUUCUUAUGAUGAUUUAAAAACUGUAAACGGAGUGCAUGUUACUACAUUUUGGGAAGCAGCUGCACUUAGAGGAUAUCUGGAAUCAAAUAACUUACAAGAACAAUUUCUAGAAGAAACUAUUGUUUAUCAUAUGCCAUAUAGCCUAAGGAUGUUGUUUGCAACAUUAUUGGUUUACUUUACUCCCUCAAACCCAAGAACACUAUGGUUGAAAUUUGAAGAAUCAUUGUCUAAAGAUUACAAUGGAGUCCCAAACUUAACCAAAAAUGAUAUUCAAUUUAAAGUUUUACAUCAAAUAAGCAAUUUUUUAGAAUCUAUGGGUCGUAACAUAAACAGCUAUGGGCUGGUGCCAAGAGUACUAAAAUUUCACGACUCAAAUCACAAAUGCAAGAGAUACAAUUAGUGAAACAGAGAUUAAAGUUUCAGAGGAUGACUUGAUAUCAAUUACUAAAAUCAAUCCUGGUCAAAAAACAGCUUUUGAUGCUAUAAUGCAGGCGUUAUACAUUAAACAAAAGGGAUGUUUCUUUAUCGAUGGACCAGGUGGCAAACAGCUCACUCUCAAAUGAGUAAACAAAGUGAACUUGCUAAACUUAUUCAAACAGCUAAACUUAUCAUUUGGGACAAAGCUCCAAUGGCACACAAAACUAGUAUAGAAGGUGUGGAUGCACUACUAAAAGAUUCGAUGGAUUCUUCUGAAUUAUUUGGCUCAAACGUUAUGAUUUUUGGUAGUGAAUUUAGACUAGUUCUCCCCAUUGUCACUAAAGGUUCAAAGGAAGAUUUCACAUAAGCUAGCUUAGUAACUUCACAUAUUUGGCCAUAGCUUCAUAAACUGUACCUCACAGAUAAUAUGAAAGCAAUAUCAGACCCAAAAUUUACAAAUUACCUUCUCUGAAUAGGAAAUGGACUAGAACCAACAAUACAAGGGUUGAAAGUAAGGAUCCCUCUCCCACUACUAAUACCAUACAAAAGUGAAACAGAAUCAAUUUUUGAACUUAUUAAAAUAGUUUACCCAAAUGUGUUAAAUAAUUUGUUAAUUGAAAUUUUUUCAGGUGAGUCUCAAAAUUAUAUUAGUCGUGAUAAAACACAUGAAAUUUCAGAACAAGGCCAAUUUGAAGACUUUCUCAACAAAUUAACAUCCAAUGGUUUCCCCCUCCCACACAAGCUUAUUCUGAAACCAAAUUGCCCAAUAAUUCUUCUAAAAAACAUUGAUCCCCCAGAAGGCUUGUGCAAUGGAACAAGGUUAAUAUAUAAAAUUUUGACUAACAAUAUUAUUGAUGCGGUUAUAAGUGCUGGAGAAUUCAAAGGUAAACAAGUCUUUUUACAUAGAAUAUCUUUCCAAAUAGAACAUGAUACUGAUUGCCCGAUGUCAUUUGAAAUACUUCAAUUUCCUGUGCGUCUAUGUUUUGUGAUGACAAUUAAUAAAGCUCAAGGUCUAACUUUAGAUUCCGUUGGCAUAUACUUAUGUGAACCAAUUUUUUCACAUGGCUAACUAUAUGUUGCUUUAUGAAGAGUAAAAAAUAACAAUUGUGUAAAGAUUCUUAUACAGCCUUCUCCCUUUGAUCCAACAGUUGACUAUGCUACUAAUAACAUAGUAUACAAAGACAUUUUAUAGCUUGCAAGUCGCCACCUUUUAUAAUUAUUGAUUACAACAUUAUGACAUUCAUAUCCAUUGCACUUCUUCCCUAUACCUUUUCUGCGCAGCUAUAUUUCUGCACUAAUAAUAGCUUAACACCCAAUGGUUUGUCAUGCAUUGCUCUAUAUUUCACUUGCUUUUAUACUUUGUUAACCUAUAAAUAUGCAAGAAUCAAUGCUGCUAAUAGUUUAGCUGGACCUUCUUAAACUAAUAUUUAUCACUGUAUAUUUAUCUGGUAGCAUUAUACUGAUUCUCCAACAAUUACUGAUUAUCAUUCAUUUAGCCAAAAUACAUUAGAAAAAGCUAUCUUCAUAUUACAACAAAAAAUAAAGAUUAGCCAAAAAAAUUAUGAUUUAUUAUCUGUAACGCCUUCCUUACAUAGCAAGUCACUCAAGGUGUUUAAAAUAACUACUAUAUGAUUUUCUUUAGAAUAACUAACUUUGGCUAAUUUCAAUUUAAUUUGAACAGGUACUAUUUGAUUCUUCUAAAUGUGUUUUUUUACAAAUGACUAUUAUCUCUUUUUGUCAUGCUUAAUCUUCUUGUAGUAAAGUACUUAUUUUUCCAUGCUGAACAUUGAUGUCCUUUUAAUAAAUGAUAAAAUGUUGUAUAUGCAUAUAUAUUUUUCUGCCAUAUAUGAUUAUCUUCACGCCUCUGCCUUAUGUUUAAGCUUCAAAAAUUCAUAAUGCCUAGAUAUCCCUUGAGCUUGAAAUAACUGCGAUCUGUGACAAAGAUGAACUCCUUUCCAUAUUGAAGCAUAUAGACACAACUUGCUAUCUCUUACUCUUGUGUUACUUUGAGAGUUCAUGUUUUGUUCUAUUGAUUUGUGCUUACAUAUUCAUAACUGCAUCCUAUAAUUCAAUUUGUGGUUACACAUAAGGCAUCCAGGCUUUCUACAAGCUAUGUGAUCCUAAAUUCUAUGUUAAACGACAGAUGUCCAAACAUCUAAGACAUUACCAUCUCUACAUCUUCGCUGCCAGCUACCACUGCUUCAAUUCUUGAGUCAAUUUCCAUUUGAGCCACUAGCCCUUCUGAGUCAAUUUCUAUCUAUUACCGAAUACUUGCCAACCUUUCAUUUUCUCCAGACGCCCUAACAAUAAAGAAGCAAACCAUUUUCAAUCUCACUCAUUUGCAUAGACAGCAAAAUAAGGCAAAAUGGGUUAAGAACCUUCUCACCCAACUUCAGUCCUUCUUUUCCUUGAUCUACAAAGCAAAAACUUCAAAAAUUGUUUGUGCAAUUGUUGAUACGCUGACCAAAAUACUUGGUACAUUUGAUCUUCAGAUUGCCCUAUGCAAGGAAAUUGUACAAUGAAUGCAUAAUGAGAACCAAACUUUCCUCUGUCUGUGCACUAAGGCAAAACUCGCAACUCUUUUGAUGGAGAACGAGGAGUAUUCUGAAGCUCUAACUCUCCUUUCUUACACAUUAGAUAACAUUAAAUAACAAAUUGCUUUUCGUAGACAUUAGAUUGUUAAAGAGGAAGCUUCAUUACUCUUUCAAGAAUCUAUCUAAGACCAAAGCUGCACUUAUAGCUAUAACAAUACAUACUAUUUGAACAUUUACUAUUUCAUUCUCAUAAACAUUAGAACUUGUAGGCUCUUAUUAUCUCUUUAGUUACACAAUUGCUCGAGUAGUUCAGUAUUUCACCAUGAGUCUCCAACUGUUCCGCUGAAGUUGAUCUCAAAAGGUUUCAAGGUUCAAAAUUGGCUAACAAGAAAAGAAAGCUUACACAUUGAAAAAUAUUCUGUUGAAUAAGUAAUGCCUUAUGUGUAUUUCCUAUCACCUUAGCAUUGAGUUAAGCUUAUGCUUCAUUUAUGGUGCAAAUAAUGUCAAAUCUUUUGCAAAUAAUGCUUCAUUUAUUGAGUUAGUUUAUACUUUUACAACUGUCCUUAGGAAAUGUUCAAAAAAUAGAGGUUAAUGUUCAUUGCAUUUCAUCUACUCUCCUCGAGGGCACUUUUGUCAUUCCAGCCUCUUGCUUCUUCUUUUUCUUGGAGCUGGUACAACUGGUUGCUGCUUUUGUUUGGAGAAUAUGUCUUUUCUGCCCUUAUUACAAGCCUUAGUCGGAUGUUAGUGGAACAUUGGCUAUUCUAUAGAUGCUCAUUUUCCUCCUUCCAGAUGCUCAUUGAAUGGACUAAGCAUUUUGAACUCAUGUGUAAUAGAGUCAUUUCACAAUAGCCUUCUAUCUUGUACGAGAUGUUGACACAAGCUUGAACUAGCUUGUCAGUUAUUGCUUUUUUUUUUUAUAGCAAGAUACACAUAAUUCUUGCAAUUUUAUAACAAGAAACUCACACUAUUUUUAGCGAUUCUAUUGCAGGAUUACCAGAGAAGCUAAGUAUGAUUAAUGUCUCUAGCAUUAUGGUCAAUGUCUUUAGCGCUUGACAUCAUUUAAGCUAACAAUAUUAAUUUCAGCUGAACGUUGAUGUCCUUUUAAAAAAUGAUAAAAUGUUCCAUAUGCAUUUUUUUCUACCAUAUAUAAUUAUAUUACCAUAUAUAAUUAUAUUCAUAGCUCUACCUUGUGCUUAAGUUUUAGGGAGCCGUAAUACCUAUAUGUGCCUUCCUACUUAGUUUUAGCUUAUGAAAGUCAAGAUAUAUUAAAUAAUAAUAUAUUAUGUGUCAAAGAAAAACUUCUUUCCGCAUUGGAGCAUACAGACAUAACUUGCUACAAGAGCUAUUAAAUGGAACGAGCAGCUCGAAAGCUCGAUUGAGCUUGACUCGAUAAGGCUCGAGCUCGACUCGUUAAUUGUGAUAAACGAGUCGAUCUCGAGCUCGAGAUAUGCUCGUUUAAUUAACAAGCCGAAUAAACUCGACUCGUUUGUUAUCCGAAUAGCUCGAUUAGGCUCGAUAAGGAAGGGUGUAUAUGUCAUUUCACAAUACAACAGUAUAAAAUUAAAAAUUAUAAGUUUUUAUUGAGAUCAAUUUGCAAGCUCGGCUCGUUUGUGAUAAAAGAGUCGAGCUCGAGCCCCACAUGUCCCAUUUGGCGAGCCGAGUCCAAACACAUUUCAAAACUCUUCCGCCUAGUCGAGCGAGCUCGAGUUUGGCUCGAGUCGAGCUCGACAACCAAAUACUCAACUUGACUUGGCUCGAUUAGCAGCACUAUUUGCAACCUCUUAGUCUUAUGUUAGUUUCGCAGUCCAUGUUUUCUUCUACUGAUUUCUACUUGCAUUUGAUAUCAGAGCCUAGAACUUCAUGUGGUGAAAGCAGUUGCUGAUGCUAAUUCAUUGUAUGACACUUUCAGUAUUUCCUCCAUUCUAUUCUCUUGUUGCAUACUAUUGUGUUUAUACAUUUAUUCUAUUUAUAGAUUGUGUAUACAACUUUCGCUUUGCUGCUAUUAUCUAUUUCUUAUCUUCAAUUUCUUUUCUCUUAUGAUAGGUUGCAAUUUUAUCAUUUAUUUUAUUAUUAAUUUCCCUUAUUACCUGACCCAAUGUGGAUUAAUUAUUAAAUUCUACUCAUUUUUAGUAUUUUACAUUUAUUUCAGGGAGUAGAACGAAAAUAUGAUAACAAGUGUCAAUUUGACUGAAAAAGAGUCCAAAUAAUAGAGCUUAUCCCAAGGGCAUUUUUGGAACAAAUAGAUGCUAGCCCUUUUCGGUAAUUUUGUCGAAGACAACAUGGAAAAAGAACCAAAGGGCUGAAGUCUUCUUGGGAUUGCAUGGGCCGCCGCCGCACAGGAGCCAAGCUUUAGAAUGGCUAGGUAUUAGAUGGAAAGAAAAACGCAGAGAACAAGCACUAUAAAAGCUUAGCCGUGAACUUUUCCUUUCAUCUUUAGUUCCUCUUUGACUUUUCUUUUCGGUAUUUUUUGUCCUUUAGUAGCUUUGCUCCCUGCGCAUGUCAGGGAGAAUUAGGAAUUAGCUAUCACUUCUGGUAGUUUGUUUUUCUUAUCGACUGGGACGAAUUGAAUCUUCUUAACUCUCGGAGACGAUGGCCGAGACUCUUGUUUCAAUUUUGUGUGGAUUUUGUUCAUCAAUUAUGAACUAAUUUCCUCACUCUAGUCAAGGGACAACGGAUGCUUUGGGUCGCCUAAAAUUGUGAGAUCGAUUUAAUUUUAUAUUUUCUUUUUAUUUAUUGGUAUUCGCAUAUUUCCUGGUUACAGUGCUUAUGAUUGUUUAAUUAAUUGAUUGUCUUGGGUCCGGAUAAUUAGUUAAUUUGAUAAUCUAUUGUCAAUUGGGACGUUAAAUCCGUAAUUGUUUAAUUGUCUCAAAAUAGUGAUAACUGGCAUGAGUGGGUUUGUGUCAGAGGAAUAUGCGGGCUAAUCUGAAAUAACCCUGGUAAUGCGUUAUUUGGUUAGAAUAGGGCUCAUCUAAUACGUAAGGCAAUUGGAGAAUUAAAUUCUAUGGGCGUACCUAGGAUUAUUUCUCAAUUAGAGUAGUGAUUAACGGGCGUACCUUAAUCACCGACACAGUAAGGAGGGGUUGACUGUCAUCGCUUAUUUGGUAGUUAUAACCUAUUUAUUGAUAAAUAAUUGAAAGUGCCUUUGUUUCGAUGAUCAAUUAGGUGAACCAUUGCUGAAGUUAUUCCUUGGCUAGAUCUUUGAUUAAUUUUACCUUGAUUUUAGUAAAUUGCCAUUUGACUUUUAGUUGCCUAUUUUAUUUUAUUUUUAAUUGUCUUCUUGUUCUAAUUGUUUUGGAUCAUUAAUUAUUGUUACGUUAAGUUUAGUGAAUUGCCGUUUAAUUUCUAGUUAGUAUUUAUUUUUAUUUACUUAUUGGAAUUUAUUUGAUUGUCGUCGUUCCUACAAAAUUACCCCCUUGUGUUACCUUGGAUUUCUUAAGAAAUAAAUAUACCCAAUUCCUGUGGAUACGACCCUACUUGUCCUGUCUACAAAUUCAUAAUUAUUUGUGAGAAAAAAUAACCAUCCCAUUCGGGUAUAUCCGAUCAAGCAAACUCUUCGGGAACAGGGUGAAUCAAAUAACCCAUUGCACACCUAGAGUCCCUGCUCCAGUACUUGAAAUUGGAUUUUGGUCAUUUUAACUGGCAAUUAGGUUUAAUUUUACUAUUGUACAGGCCUCGACGCUCUGUCAAUUUUUGGCGCCGUUGCCGGGGACUGGCGUUAUUAUUUGUUUCUUUUAAAUUCAUUCUUGUUUUAAUUUUCUAGUGCUUUUCUAGUGUAUGCCUCGGUCUUCUCGUACAGGUGAUUUGAUUUUUGACCCUGAAGUAGAGAAGACUGCGCAUAGAACGAGAAAGAAAACCAGACAGUUCAAAAAGGAGCACUCCAGUGCUGCAUCUCAGAGACCUGAGCCAGAAGUUGAACCAAUAGAUUUGUUUGAUGACACUUCAAGUGACUCUGACUAGGAGAAAGGAACCAUGGCUAAUGCACGAAUAUUAAGGGAGUUGGCUGCUCCUAACUUAAAUCAGCAGCCUUUGUGCAUUACUUUCCUAAAUUUAGAUGAUAGCAUUCCAUUUGAAUUAAAAUCUGGCCUAAUUCAUCUUUUACCUUCCUUUCAUGGUUUACCAGGUGAGGAGCCGUAUAAGCAUCUGCAGGAGUUUGAUGUUGUGUGCAACAGUAUGAAACACCCGGAAAUCACAGAAGAGCAAAUAAAAAUGAGGGCAUUCCCCUUUUCCUUGAAGGAUUCUGCAAAGGACUGGCUGUACUACCUGCCACCAGGUAGCAUUACCACGUGGGACUAAUUAAAGAAAAAUUUUUUGGAUAAAUAUUUUCCUGCGUCCAGGACUGCAAGUCUAAGGAAAGAAAUUUGCGGGAUCAAGCAGCACCCAGGGGAGUCACUCUAUGAGUAUUGGGAGCGAUUCAAGAAGUUGUGCAACAAAUGCCCUCAGCACCAGAUAAGUGAGCAGUUGCUCAUACAGUAUUUUUAUGAGGGCUUCUUUUCAGAGAUAGGAGCAUAAUUGAUGCUGCAAGUGGAGGGGCACUGGUGAACAAAACCCCUCGGAAAGCACGGGCGUUAAUAAAGGGGAUGGCAGAGAAUUCGCAGCAAUUUGGUACGAGGGAGGAUGCUCCGAUACGCAAAGUGAACGAGGUAGAGACAUUCUCUAUCCAGUAGCAGUUGACUGAAUUGACUUCUUUUGUUAGACAACUGGCUAUAGGAAAUGCAUAUCAGGUCAAGGUGUGCGGGUUUUGCACUGGUAUGGGUCAUUCUACAGACAUGUGCCCAAUGAUUUACGAAGAAAGUGCAGAGCAAGUGAACAUGGCUGGUCACGCGUCCGCGCCAAGAAGGCCCUAUGACCCCUAUUCAAGUACCUACAACCCUGGUUGGAGGGACCACCCUAACCUCAGUUAUGGAGGGAACAGGCAGACUAACUUCGUGCCAAAUAAAUAACAAGGGUACCAGCAGCAGAACCAACCUCGACCAGCUCCGCCCCCAAGCUCUGGUCCAUUUUUGGAGGAAAUGAUGAAACAACUGAUGGCAACCAUUACGCAAAAUCAGCAAAGGACGGACUCUGAAAUGCAGGAUAUAAGGAAUCAAAUGAGUCAAAUGGCCACAAAAAUCAACCGUUUGGACUCCCAAGUAAAUGGAAGAUUGCCAUCCCAACCUGAACUGAACCUGAAGAACGUAAGUGCAAUGACUUUAACGAGUGGGAAGGAAAUUCAGGGGCCCGAACUUGUGACUCCAAAGGAUAAGGACGAAGAGAAGAUUGAGAAAGAACUUCAAGCAGAGAAUACAAGUACCAAAAAUCCAGUGGUACUCCCUGAUCCGAUCAUAGACGUUAAAACUAAUCCCACUCCAUUUCCUUGCAAGUUGGAGAAAUCGAAGAAACAGGACAAUGAGAAAGAGAUCUUGGAGGUGUUCUGCAAGGUAGAGAUCAAUAUUCCCUUACUAGACACCAUCAAGCAAGUGCCGAAGUAUGCAAAAUUUCUGAGGGAUCUAUGUGUCAAUCGAAAGAGGCUGAGGGAAGAUGAAAGAGUUAUUGUUGGGGAGAAUGUGUCAGCAGUUCUCCAAAGAAAACUCCCACCAAAGUAUGGGGAUCCAGGUAGAUUUACUGUCCCAUAUAAGAUAGGUAAUACUCUGAUUAGGAAUACCCUGCUGGAUUUAGGAGUAUCGAUCAACGUAAUGCCUAAAUCUAUGUAUGCUUUUUUGAACCUCGGUCCAUUAAAAAAAUCGAGAUAAUAAUUCAAUUAGCUGACCGAACAAAUGCAUACCCUGAUGGGUUGGUAGAGGAUGUGCUGGUUAAAGUUAAUGAAUUGAUAUUCCCGGCUGACUUUUAUGUACUUGACAUGGAUGAUGAUCAUUCCCCUAACCCCUCACCUUUGCUACUAGGUAGACACUUUUUGAGCACAACACAGACAAAAAUUGACGUUAAUAAGGGUACAUUGUCCAUGAAAUUUGAUGAAGAACUAGUCCACUUUAAUAUUUUCGAUACAAUGGAACAUCCUGUUAACUCUCACCCUGUGUUUGCUAUUCAUGCUAUUAAUCCCUCUGUGCAAGAAUUUUCUGAAUUUGCUUGUAGGGAUAAAUUCAAAUUUAUUGAGAACAAGUAUAAGGGGAUGAAAGUAUUGUAUGAGGUGAAAAGGAGUAGAAAAUUAAGAAAGAAAGCUGCACUCAAAGGCUAUUUGGAUCCUGGAGGAGGGCCACCGAUUUCCAGGAAAAUUGAGUUACACCCAAAUUGAAGAGUGGUGUUCAAUGUCUAGCCAAACACAUUAAAAAAAGGCGCUCAUUGGGAGGUAACCCAAUUGUUUCUUUUAAUUGUUUGUUUGAUUUCGUGUGAUAGUUUAAAUAUGUUUUCCUUGAAUUUGACUGAUUUCGGGUUUCAAUUUUCGUUUUUGAUGAUUUGUAGGUGUCCUUCUAUCAUGACAUGCCCGCGUCAUGACGUAUGGAGAGCUCACGGUCAGAAUCGUCAGAAGGGAUUCCUGCCCUCAUGACGCGCCCGCGUCAUAACGUAUAGAAAGCUCACGAUCAGAAUCGUCAGAAAGGGUUUCAGUCCUCAUGACGUGCCCGCGUCAAGUCCCAUGAAGAGCUCAUGAUCAGAGAGCUCUCUUGCUCUCAUGACGUGCCCGCGUCAAGUAACCUGAAAAGCUCUUCACUCCGUGCCUUCGUCACAUGCCCACGUCACAUUCGCGGGAAAGGUAAGUAUUCAAAAAAAAACUCAAGAACGAUUAUUGAUUUCCUGUUAAUCUCUACUUUUGAAUUCCAAAAAUAAAUUUUGUUAAUAAUUAAAAAAAAAGAUGAUAUAUGUAAAAAAAAUUCCAAAAAAAAAAAUUUUCAAGUAAGUAACAAGGAGAAAAAAAAAAGGGGAGUCUUUCCGUGAAAAAAAAAAAAAUUUCUAAAAUGAAAAAAAAAACGAAAAAGCAAAAAAAAAAAAAAGCAGAAAUACUAUUUUCUUUUUCUUUUUCUUUCUUCCCUAUUCUUUCUUUUCUUUCCUUUUCUUUUUUCUUCUUUCGAAUUUGUGGUUCAAGGCAUGUUGUGGAGAGCACAAGGCAUAUUUUCCUCAAUUUGAACCAUACUUCAGGAAUUAAAAUAAUUUUUUCUUUUUUUAUUUUUCUUUCAAUUUAUCUAAUUUUUAAUAUUCAUUUUUAAGAUUUAAAAUAAUUAUUGAUUCAAAACUAUUAUGGAAGCAAAUAUAUGGUUUUUAUAAAAUAAUAAACAAAAACUUUUUUCUAUUUUUUUGGAUUGCUUCAAGGUUAAUAAAAUAAAAAUAUGUUCUUUUUUUAAUGCAGCAUGGCCUCAAUAAGGGCAUUUUCGGUAUUAAGGGGAUUUUUGUUAAAUGUUUAAUCAUUCAAAGGGUGAGACCGUUAUUUGGACAAAUUACAGGGAUUAAUUGGUAAUAUGGUCAAAUCUCAGGGGAGGUAAAUGUAAUUAACCCUAUCUUUAGUUAUGAUAAUCCGCUUGCGAUCAUUACUGAUUUCACAAUCACUGUCUUUGGAUACCAUUCUAUGAAACAUUUCCAGUUUUUUUUUUUUUUCUACUUGUAAUUGAAGAUAAUUUCCACAGAACUAGUCAAUAAUAAUCCACCAUCAACUGUGAGAAAGCAAAACACCUACAAAUCAAUUGCAAGUGCGAAGGCUCUGAUUUGGUGCUGAAUUGGGCACUUAUUCGUGCCAAUUCAAUCCUAAAUUUUCCUUCCCCAUUCUUCAACCUUUCAAUAUCCAGUUACAAGAAGAACAAAAAAUAGUGAACAACCAUCAAUUCAGUUUUGGCAUUUUUCCAACAUGCUUGCUUGAUUGCUAUGACCGUAGGGCAGUUUCCUUUUUCCGUUAAUCUAAUUCCGUGAUGGGUCAAUAGAAAAUUCAUCCGAAUUCAGUCUUUCUCACGUAAGAAGAAUAUAUGAUUACAAAUGACCAAAUAAAUUAAAGAGGGACAAAUUCAAGAAGACCAAUAAUAUAAAAAUUCCAAACAUCCAUAGGUUGCACACAAUAAUUCUCACAAAUUUUAAGUUAUAAAAAAAGAAAUUUUGCAAAGGAGGGCCCUACUUCGAUGCUGGCACCGUGACGAUGAACUGCCAGAUUGGGGUCUCUUUCAUGUUUUGGUUUAUCCUUUUUAGGGUUGUUAAAAAUUAAAUUUGGGGAGAUAAGGUUGACGAUUGAUGAAAUCUGAUGAAGAAAGUUGUUUUUUCUAUGGCAUAUUGAAGAAUGGUGGUAUAUUCGAUCAAUGGUAUCCAAUAGUCUUGAAAUAGAAACACAAUUUUUUUUUUAUUUAAAAGAGACUUUUGUUUGUUUUUUAAAUUGAUAUGCAUCACAAAGUGUAUCCUUUUUAAGUUAAUUUUGAGCAAACCUCUAAUGAGUUCCUUUGUGAAAAUUUCAUUUAAUAAAUCCAUAUUGAAAUGACAAAGCCUUCUAUUCCGCAGUUAAGGAUCAUCAUUUGUAACCUUAAGACACUAAUCUUACUAUCAUCAAUUUUUCAAGAUAUAUCACAUAAAUAUCAUUGUAUCUUUUGCCUUUGAAUACAACAUUAAAAUUAGUAUCAAGAAUCAAAUAUUCAUGCCUUUUAAACAAUACAUAAAGAUAUCUAUCACAUAAUUGAUUAACACUGAACGAAUUAUAGCUUAAGUUAUGAACCAAAACAAUAUUUUGAAUGAAAGUGUCACCGUUUUUGUCAAUAUCUCCUAUUCAAAUGGUUUUAACCUUCAUGUCAUCUCUAAAGGUGAUCUUUUCACUACUUUCUAGCUUGAACUUGAUGAAUAGAGGUGGAAUACCAGUCAUGUGCCUUAAACACCUAUUAUCAAUGAACCACUUUAAUCCUUUAGUGGUGUUCUUCAAGUAUACCUAUAUAUAAAAAUCAAGAAAUGAUAUUUGGUACCUUUUUAUUAUUUGAUCCGUAAUUGUUAGUACAAGAUUUAAAUAUCCACAUGCUAUUAGGAAUACUAAUUUCUUAUCCAAGUGGUUUCUUUCCCAACAAAUCUAGUGAAUUAUAAAUAAGACAUUAUUUAGGAUGUUUUCUAGAGAGAGAGAGUGUAGAAAAAUUUGUUAGGUUUUCUACAAUGGUUUUACUUUUUUUUACGAUUUGAGAUUUCAAUAAUAUUGUGAGUUGAUUAUUUUCUUCUCUCCUACACUUUUUUUGAACGUCUAUUUUAUCCCUUCAAUCCUAUAACCCUACACACAUUGGUUAUUAUUAAAACCCUAAAAUUUAGGUUCCACAGAUCUCAGAUGGUAGAGGAUUCCAAUGACUAGAGAAAACUAGGAGUUCUGUACGGAACGGAAUAUUUCAAUGAACAUCUUUUUUUAGGUGUUAAUGGAGUUUAUUAUAUGGCAAAUUACACUUUACCCUGUGAUUUAGUGUUUUUCUACAUAACCCCCCUAUAGUUUCAAAAGUUAUACAUAACUCCCUCAUGAUUUGGAUUAAAGUGUCAAAGUGACGGAAAUGAGUAUUCAUAACGGAGUCAUUUAAAAUGUCAAAAAUAUCCUUAUGUAAAAUUGAAAAUUAUUUGUUAACCAAAGGGGGUUAUGUGUAUAUUUUGAAAAUCAUAAGGGGGUUAUAUGAUAAAGUAUUAAACUAUAAGUGAGUUAUAUAGUAAACUAUAAAAUCAUACGGGGUUAGUGUAUCAUGUAUUUAUAAAGGUAACUUUGACGUUUUUAAAGAUUCUGUUACGAAUGAUAAUUUCCGUUACUUUGACACUUUAAUUUAAAUUGUGAGGAGGUUAUAUAUAAUUUUUGAAACUAUAGAGAGAUUAUGUGAAAAAUCGCUAAAUGAUAGGAGAGUAAAGUGUAAUUUGCCCUUUAUUAUAUAGUUAGUGUGUUUUGGUAACUCUUUAGUGAUUUGACAAUGCAUGUGUUGGGUUUAGUGGUCGUUUUGUCCUCUGCUACUUUCGGGUGAAUUCUUGUUUUUUCAAUAAUAUCGUGUUUUAUCAAACAACAUCGAAUCAACAAUAGCUAUAAAUAUCUUGACUGAUCAUGCCGACCGUACUACUAUCAUCUUUCUGUCUGUAUCAUAGAGAGUGUUUGGAUAGAAUAUUAUUUGAAAUGUUAUUGAAAAUAAUUAAUGUAACACUUUUUGUAAUAUAAUGUAUGUGAGAUAAAAAUAUAAUUAAAAAUAUAAAAAAUAGAUUGAGAAAUAUGUUUAUGAUACAAAUAAAAUAUUAUUUAACAAAAUUGAGUUAUCACGGCUCAAGUGGGGGCUAUUGCCCCUACUUAAGUUUUAAAAAAAAAAAACUCUAUAAACAAAUUUAGACACUCUCUAACUCAAAAUCGACAUUUCUGUCUUAUUAAAAUAGAUAAAUAGACAGGUAUAGUGGCCUUCUCCUCAUUUUCUUCUUAUCUUCUAGUAGCGACAUCCAUGGACCAGAUUGAAAAUAUAAUGCUGUUUUUAUGCGUUUUGCCGUUUACAUGAGCUUUGAUACCAAAAUGACAAAACACAUAGGCCCACCAUUGGCUCCUUUUCAAGUAUUCCUUAAAAACUUUCGAAUUAUCAUCGCUAAAUGAACAGGGCAAAGUUGGGAUAUUGAGCAGAUUUCCUUCUUUUUUUCUAACAUUUUCUUGACGAAAGCAGAUUUCCUUCUUCAAUGCUUUUUCUUUUUAGCUGAUAAGACGUUUAUGUUGAAAAAUUGCUAUUGCUACUGAUCGAGAUGCGGCGCGACAAAUAGGUUGGGAAGGAGGUAAUAAUAAUUAGUACGUGCUCCAAUGCAAACACAUGUGAGUAGACACGGAAAUAACUAUUUUAUUGAGUCUCAAAUAUUCAGCGAAUUUCUAGAAAUAAUACUAAAUUUAGAAAAUUUUCUCCACUUAGAGUUGCCGUAUUUUUCAAAUGUAGCAACAACAAAACAGUAUUUUUAUUUUGAAUUAUUUUUUGGUGUCACAAAUGCGGCGACAAUUAAAGAGUAUUUUUUUUGAAUUAUUUUUUGGUGUCAGAAUGACUAAAAUUUUUUAUUUUUUUAUACAUCUUCGCGGGCGACUGUGAAAAUGACCAUUUGGAUGCGGCGACACCAAGAUGUGAGAAGUCUUAACCGUCAAGUUUCUUUAUAUUAGAUCUAAAUUUUAUCAGAUUUGUUGUUGAAGCUGAGAUUUCUUAGAUCUAUCUCGUCGGAUCUCACUUUAACAUUAGGCUUAAAUCACUUCAUUAGCAUAUCUCGGAGGAAGCAAACGGUACAUUUGAAAGUAUUUUUGAGACUAUAAGUGCUUUAUUAUUCGAUAUUUUUCGAGUUCUGCAGUACAAUUAUCUAGUAUAUAUUUGAAAGUAUAUUUUGUUGGUUUUUCAAAACUGUAAUAUCUAGUAUUUGUUCUUCGAAUAUGUUGCCACUAGUACGGAUUUGAUAAAAUGAUGAUGAUUUUAUCCCCAAAAAAAAGACUAUAGAAUUAAGCCCGUACAAAUGCUUGGGCGGGGGGGGGGGGUUGUGUAGGCAGUGGGUAGUAAAAGGUUGUGGACAAAAUUGAAGAAAACAAAUUAGUAGGGCACAACGUGACAAAGUUUUUCAUAAAGUAUAAGACCAUCAACGAACAGGUAUUGUGAAGUGAAAUGAAAGAGACCUUGAAAACUUAUCCUCCUUAAAAAAAAAAAAAAAAAAAAAAAAUUAUCUUCACAAAAAUUUCAAGGUCAUCCAGCCUGCAACAUUCAUGUUUGCAUUGAAGAUUGUUCAUGUGUCAAUCACGAGUCUUUGUCUAUAUCUCCUUGUGCCAUGAGACUAUAUAGGGCCAGUUUGGAACCUGAGUUUUUUGGAAGUUUGUUUAAAAUUUUACUGUAGUGCACUGUAGAAAUUUUUGAAAAAUUUUUGUAAAAGUUUUUGCAAGGUGAAAAACUUUUUUUUCUUUCAUUUUCUCUUUCUAUUUCUAUUUCUAUUUCUUUCUUUCCUUUUUCUUUUCUUUCCUCCCUUCUUCUUCUUCUUCUUCUUUUUCCUUCCCCCUCCCCCUUCCCCGUUACCUCUGUCUCCCACCUCCAGCACCUCCGCCAGCACCACCUCUUUUUUUUUUUUUUUGCUUUUCUCCUCCCCCCCCUCCCUUUCCCUCUCCCUCGCUCUCUCCCGCCACCCCUAAACUUUUUCACCAUCCCUUUCCUCUCCCCUCUGCUCGCCACCCCCUCUACCCACCAUCCCUUUCCUCCCUCUCCCUUGCUACCCCUCUGCCCCCCACCCCCUAGGCCCGCCACCCCUCCCUCUCCCUCCCCCGCCAUCCUUCUCUGCCCACCAAUGUCACCGCCUGCAUCAUCUCCAUCCGGAAGCCCACGUGAGUUCUGCAGUUCCGACCAUUGUAGAGGUUCCAUCCGUGGGUGCCAGUGUUCCUUCCACUUUCUAUGUCUUCCUCUUCCAACGACAACAGCCGUGUGGUGCAGGGCGGAGCGUGGUGGAGGGGAUGGAAGUGCAAUUGCCGAAGUUCUGACUCGGAUUGCAGCGCCCAGGAAAUGGAGAAUCGCUCAACAAGCUUCUCGUUGCUCGCGCAAUGAUACUUACUCCGGCGAAUUGCUUGGUCGACUCCGGACAACUUUCUGUGCUUUGAAAGAAAAACCGGGAAGAGUUUUGUGUGCUUUUUGUGAAUUGAAAGGGAAAAAACCAGCUUGGACGACGUUGUCUUGUUAAAAUGUUUCAGAAAGGGACGAAAGUUUUGAGAAAAGUUUUUGGGGUUCCUGUAGCAUAAGUUGUUAAAAAACUAGUAUAAUACAAACUUGCUCAAAAACUAGGCUUCCAAACAGGCCCUAUCAUGUAGAUAUUGUAAAUUAAUAUGGUUCUUUUUCUUUUUUCAGUAAUCUAUCCCUAUCAAAAACUUAGAAUGUCCAUUCUCUAAUUUAUAAAAUUAUAAAACUAUAUACUAUUUACUUUUCUCAUAUUGUACUUUACCACCACGCACCAUCAAUUAGAGUAAUCCUCAGAUUUAUUGGACAUUGAUUGUUAAGUUGAGCAUGAUAUCAACUAUUUUUACUAUAUUUGUAUUAUAUUUUGUAUUUUAAAUUUUAUAUAGUUGUUUACUUUAACUCUUUUGUACGAAUAUUUGUUAAGAAAAAAAUUUCAAAGACAAAAAAAAAAAAAGCUGAUGCAAGCAAAAGUAAACAACCAGACAUUGCAUAUCCUUCAAUUUGAUUUAUUUUAGCGUAUUUGACCAAAAUUAUUACAAAGGGCUUAAUCCAACCAAAUGUCUCGAGUAGCUCACUAACUAGUUUUCUUGAUUUAAUGCACUUAGUCACACCACGUCUCACUCUCAUUAUAAUUAACAAUGAGAAGGGAUCCUCUUGAAAACAUCAGAUGCAGAAGAAAGCCACUUGUUAUAGACCCAUACCUUGGUCCGUAUCCAACGUCAAAUAUAUUUGUUUGGAUAGUAAACUUAUUCCAAAUAAUAUUUCGCUUGCAUCAUAAACACAUUUUUCAACCCAUCUUUUUAUAUUUCCAAUCACCUUUUUAUUUCGCAUACAUCACGUCACAAAAAGUACUACAGUAAUUAUUCCAAAUAAUAUUUCAAAUAAUACUCUAUCCAAGCAAGAACUAGGAACAAUCCAUAUGUUUACGAAAGCAGUUCUAGCAAUUGGUCAGAUCUAAUGGCCUGUAACUCACAUCGUAAUAUUUUAUAUUUUAUAAUUCUGUUAAAUUUAAUGAUUUUUCAAAUUAGAUAUAUCUUUCAUAUGUUUUAUAUAUUUUCUGCCAUUACUGGUCUUUUUUCGUCAAACAAAUCGUGAUAGAUGAUUUUCAAUUAGUUUAUUAAUAAUAUUGACUCCUAUUUUAUCAAAAAAAAAAAAAAAGAACUAGGAACAAUCGAAACAAUCACUAGGCACAGGCACAUACCAGAAGGAUGUUGCUUGAGCUUAUCAAUAUGAACCCACGCAAUCAGCAGACUGCCUUUUGCCGAUGCCGCACUAAGGCUUCUUAAGUUUAUUUUAUCAACUCAACAAUCCAAUAUCCAAUGACUUUGGAAAAACUGUGUGGAAAUUUAUCCUCAAACGAGAUCAAGAUCUAUGAAGUUUCACGAAACCGUGCUCAUAGGACUAGGGUCUUGUUUGGUAGAUAAGUUUUUUGUCAAAUUUAUCUGUUACAAGUUUUUUAAAAACUUUAACUACAAUAAUCUCAAAAAACUUCUCAAAGUUUUUAAACUAUACACAUUAAAAUAUUAAAAAAAACACACUUUAAAAUUUUUUUUAAAAACUUCUACAGUAAGUUAUAGUAAAAUUUUAAACAAACACCCAAAAAAUUCACUUGCCAAACGUUGUCAUUACACUCUUAUAUGUCUUCUCAUCUUUAAUUACUGAUGUCACAGUCACUAUCUUAGGAUGCCAUUCUAUGAAACACGUAGUUUAAGCAUUUUUGCCAACAUGCCAUGACCAUAAGGCAGUUUCAUUUUUUCCUUUAAUCAAGCUUGAUAAUGAGUCAAUACAAAAUUCUCAUCCGAAUUCAGUCUCCCUCACGUAAAAAGAUUAUAUGAUUACAAAACUGCAUACAAAUGACCCAAAAAAAAAAAUUUAAGAGGGACUGAUUCAAGAAGUCUAAGAAAUAAAAUAUCCAUACAUCCAUACCUUGGGCUCUUUUUAAAAAUUUUUUUUUAUUAUGCUGUUUUGGUUUAUCCUCUUUUGGGGGUUUCAAAAUUAAAUUUGGGGAGAUAAGGUUGAUGAUGUGAUGAAAUCUGACGAAAAAAUGGUUGUUCGAAGGACGGUAAAAUUAAUUGAAGAGCGGAUGAAUUGAUACUGUAGCUGCAGAAGGUAAAAUUUAAUUACCUCAAUUUGUUCCUUAUUACUCAUUUGCAUGUCUCUCACUUUAGGAUAACCUGCCAUUAUUUGGCCUCUGUGGAUUUGAUGAUCAUCAUUUUAGGAUUUGAUGAUCUCAUUUUAGUUCUGUACGGAAUGGAAUAUUUCAAUGAACAUAUUUUCUUAGGUGUUAAUGGAGUUUAUUAUAUAGUCAGUUUUGGAAACUCUUUAGUGAUUUGACAAUGCAUGUGUAUGGUUAGUUGUCGUUUUAUCAAUAAUAUCGUGUUUUUUCAAUAACAUCGAAUCGAUAAUAGCUAUAAAUAUCUUGACUGAUCAUGCCGACUGUACUAUUCUCAUUUUUCUUAUCAUAUGGAGUGUUUGGAUAGAAUAUUAUUUGAAAUAUUAUUUAAAAUAAUUAAUGUAGUAUUUUUUUAUAAUGUGAUAUAUAUGAAAUAAAAAAGUGAUUAAAAAUAUUAAAAAAUGAAUUGAAAAAUGUGUUUAUUUCUUUCAAAAAAAUUAUGUUUAUGAUACAAGCGAAAUAUUAUUUGAUAAAAUUGAGCUAUCAUGGCUGAGGUGGAGGCUAUUGCCCCUGCUUCAUUUUUUUUUAAAAAAAAACUCUAUAUAUUAUGUAUAUCAAGUAUUUUUGGUCCCACCAAAAAUGAUACAUUUGCGGUCGAUAUUAAUUGGGAGUAAAAGUGCAAACAAAUUUAGAGACUCUCUAACUCAAAAUCGACAUUUCUGGCCUUAUUAAAAUAGAUAAAUAGACUGAUAGAGUAGCCUUCUCCUUCUUUUCUCCUUAUUUUCUAUUCCCUCUGUCCCAUUCAUUUGGUUAUACUUUUCAUUUUGAAAUGUCCCAAAAUAAUUGUCAUGUUAGAAAAGUCAAAUCAACUUUUACACUCUCUUUUCAAUAUAAUCCUUUUUUUUAAUCAUACAUUCAAAUUUAAAAUUUGAAUUUGAGGGGGUAAAAUUGGAAAGAAAAGCACAAACAUCACAAUUAAACCACUAUUCUUAAAAAGUUGGAUUCCCCAAACAUAACCAAAUGAAUGGGACGGAGGGAGUAAUAGCGACAUCUACGGACUGGAUUGAAAAUAUAAUGCUGUUUUUAUUUUCUAUGUCACAAAAUGAUUGUCACUUGCUAAUAUUGACAAACCAUUUUUAUUCAAUUUUCGUCUUUCAACCAACCAUUAAGGUGAAAGAGGAAAGUGUAGAUUAAAGCUAUAAUUAUUGGUUUACAAAGUUGAAAAGUAAGUGGAAAAAUGACAAAACACAUAGGCCCACCAUUGGCUCCUUUUCAAGGAUUCCUAAAAAACUUUUGAAUUGUCAUCACUAAAUGAACAGGGCAAAGUUGGGAUAUUUUUCAGAUUUCCUUCUUCAAUGAUUUUUCUUUUUAGCUGAUAAGACUUUUAUGUUGACAAAUUGCUAUUACUACUGAUCGACAUGCGACGCGACUAAUAAAUUGGGAAGGAAGUAAUAAUAAUUAGUACGUACCAAAUGCAAACACUUGUGAGUAGACACGAAAAUUACUAUUUUAGUGUGUUUUAAAUAUUCGGCGAAUUUCUAGAAAUAAUGCUAAAUUUAGAAAAUAUCCCAUUUAUGGUAUUUCAUGAGAUUGUUUUCUUUACUUAGAGUCAUCUUUGACAAUAAAAUAGUAUUUUUAUUUUGAAUUAUUUUUUGGUGUCAGAAUGACUAAAAGUUUUAAUUUUUUUAUACAUCUUUGCGGGUGACUGUGAAAAUGACCAUUAGCCGCAUCCAAAAAGUGGAUGCGGCGACGCAAGAUGUCAGAAAUCUUAACCGUCAAGUUUUCUUAUUAUUUAUUUGGGAGCAAAUUAUCCCAGUGGCCACUAAACUUUUGCCAUCGUCGAGUUUUGGUCACUCAACUAUUAAAAGGCUGGUUUUGACCAUCAAACUGUAUAAAAGGUAGACUCGAACCCAUUCUGUUAGAUUUAGUCGUUAACUUCGCAGAGGUGUCCGUUUGCGCGAUUUCCAAUACAAAAGGUAGGGUCAAUUUAGAAAGUCGAAAAUAGAUCUUCUUGUUCUUCUUGUAUAAAGCUAAUAAAGAUUACUUACCCGAGAGAAACUACAAGAGAAGGAAAUGGAAGAAGCCCAACUUGGAUUAGAGGAAGCAGGACCAAGAUCAACGCCACCAAGAGCCGGGCCAGCAAGAUCCAUGCCACCUACAUCGUUGACACCCAUUUUGCCUACUUGUGUUUGUGGGAUGAAGACAGUAAUGAUAACUUCAUGGACUGUACAAAAUCCGGGAAGAAGAUUUGCCAAAUGCGCAUUGGGGGAGGUUUGUAACAUUUUUUUAGAUACUUAAUUUAUUAUUGUGUAAGAAAUAUAAUGAAUUUGUUUUUUUUUUAAGGAUGGCUGUGGCUAUUGGGGUUGGAUAGAUGAUGAAAUGUGCGCUCGAUCUACAAUGAUUAUACCGGGUCUACUCAGAAAGAUCAAUGGAAUGGAGGAAAAAAUGGUUGAAUUUGAAAAAGCUGCAAGAAAGUAGGAAGCAAAAGCUGUGAAAUUGGAGGGUAAAAUGAAGCCACUUCAAAUUAAAAUUGCCAAGUACAAAUCAGCCAAUAAGCGACUCAUUCGAUGCGCAGUGUUGCCUUGGCUAAUAGUUGUCUUAGCAAUGUUAGUUAUGAGAAUAGGUAAUUCUGGUGGCAUGCUACAAAUUUGUGGCAUCGUUGAAAAUCCUUGAAGAAUAGCUACUCUGUUGUAAUGGUAGCAUAUUGAAAGGGAAAGGGCAAAUGGCUUUAUAAAGCCCCUUUUGUACUCCUCUGUAUAAACAUUUUGAUGUAUAAAAGUUGUAUUGUUCACAUGAAUAAAUAGUUAUUAUUUGGUGUCAAAAAAGGUUUGAAACAACACAUUUCAGUUCUAUUAAUUUCAUCAAUAAAUGACAAAGACAUAAGAACUAAACAAAAGUGCUGCAUUAACAUAGAACAAUCUGUGUAGAUUGGACAAAAUAAAUUGUUUGUACAUAUGGACCAUGUUCGUAAUAGGUCAGUAUAUCAAAUCCAAAACAAACUUCAUACAAAAAGACAAAAUGUAGUUGAAUUAUGUCCCAAUCUAGCUAUAGCUUUCUUCCUCUUCAAUUUGAUCCUCUUUUGACUCUUGGUUGUCCUCUGGUAGUUGUUGCUGAAGUUCCUCCUCUUCUAAUACCAGUUCUACUCCAUUUUCCUCUCCAAUUUCCAACAGUGAAAGGAGGUUCUUUACUUAAAUAUGCAUAAUUGACAUUGAUCCGCCCCUUUUCUGAAUCUGUUAACUUUCGUUUUCCUGCUUUCCUUUGUUGAUGAGCCCCUUGGCUCUGAGACUGUUGUUGGUUUUGUACAACUUCUUCCUGCUGUCGAUGCUGUGCAUGUUCACUUUCCUCAACAGCAGAUUGUGAUUGCUGUUCUUGUUGGUUCUGCUGAUACUCUUGAUCCUGCUGCUGCUGUUGAUUCUGUUGCUAUUGCUGAUCCUGCUGCUGUUGCUGCUGCUGAUGUUGAUUUUGUUGCUGCUGCUGCUGAUUUUGCUGCUGCUGAUAUUGAUCCUGCUGCUGGUGUUGCUGGUGCUGUUGUUGGGUCUGCUGCUGCCUCUGGUGCUGCUGUUGGGCCUGAUGAUGCUGCAUCUGAUGCUGGUGUUGGGUCUGAUGUUGCCUCUGGUGCUAGUGUUGGGUCUGAUGUUGCCUCUGGUGCUGGUGUUGGGUCUGUUCAUGCUGACUCUGGUGCUGGUGUUGGUUCUGCUGUUGCUGCUGCAUAUUCUUAGAACCACGCUGCUGCUGUUGGUUCUGCUCCUGCUCCUCGCUAUCCUGAUUCUGCUGUUGUUGAUUGUCUUGUUGCUGCACCUUGCAACCAGCUGCAUUAUGGCCGGCAACACCACAUUUUCUGCAAUGGUUGACUAUUCUUCUCCGCAACCUGUUUCCAGUCUUUUGAGUUUCAGUAGGAUCUCUUCUCCUGGCCUUCUUAGGUCUGCCAGGUUGCACUAUCCUUUCUGGUGGAUCAAGAUCUACCCCAUCAGCUUCAGGCCACAUUACUUGUCCAUUGAUAGGAUACAAAACAUUUUUGUAAAUUUUUUGAAACAGAUCUCUGUUGUAGCAGUCAUACACCUCUUUAUAGGGGUCGCCAUUAUUUCUGUGAAUUGCUGCAAUAGCAUGACAGCAAGGAAUACUUGAUAGAUCCCACAGUUUGCAUGUGCAGGAUUUUUUCUUUAAAUAAACAGCAAACUGGGCCCCCCUUGGUCCCCUAACCUGGUAUCCAUCCACAGCAUUCCAAAUGGUCCUCCAUUGUCUUGAUUCUAUCACCCUAUCAUCAAUUAUUUUUUUAAUUAGUGGGCCAAUGGACAAUUCAAAUUUCUCCAUUGCAGUUGUCCUUCUCUGUAUCCUCUCCAUCAGAAAUAUCCUAAUGGACUCUAACAUUGUGAUAAUUGACUGCUGCCUAGCUUCAAGUAUAUGACCAUUAAAACUUUCACACAAAUUAUUAACCAACAUAUCGCAUCGAGUAUGUUCUUAAAAAAAAGUCUUACACCAAUGACUGGGAUGUGGUGCUUUCUUCACCCAUUCAUAUGCUUCCUUGUCAAAUUUUUCCAGAUCUGCUGCUGCUUUCUUGAAUAGUCCCUCAGUAGUACUUGCUGCAAUGUUCCACAGUUUUGUCUUCAGGGCAAGUCCACGAUGUUUCUUCUUGAAGUUGUUAUAUAGGUACUGCACACAGUAUCUGUGCUCACUGUUUGGUAGUACCUCAGAUAAUGCUCGGUCAAGACCCUAUAAAUUAUUACAAACAAAAGGCAUUAGUAAAUUGAAACAGAUCCGUGUACAGUGCAUAUACAAAGGGAAGGAGUUAAUACCUUCUGCUGGUCAGAAACAAAGGUGUAGCUGUACCCAUUUUCAAUCUGCAAGUCAUUCUUCAGCAGCUCAAAAAACCAUUUCCACUGUUCAGUUGCUUCCCUCUCAACCACUGCCCAAGCAAUGGGCCACCAUCCAUUGUUGGGAUCUACUCCAAUAGCAGUCAACAGAUGUCCCCGAUAUUCAGCCUUUAUGUGGCAUCCAUCAACCCCAAUAAUGGGCCUACAACCGUCAAGAAAGCCUUGUUUUAAUGGUCCCAAACAGCAAUAAAGUCUCAUGAAUUUUGGGUUGCAUCCAGGUUGUCUGAAGGGAGUAAACAUAACUUCCAUUGUGGUAUUUGGGUGUGUCCUCUUAAUUUCUGCACAAUAUCUCCAUAUGUCCUUAUAUUGCUACUCUGCAUUCCCUUGAAUCUCCUUUUUAGCAAUUGUCCUUGCAUUGUAUGCCACCCAUUUUGAAAUUUUCGCUUUGAAGUCCUCAUCAACUAUUUGUUUUAAUAAUCUUGGAGGCAUUUCAACAUUACAUCUAAAUCUCUCCAUGUACUUGUUUGCAAGCCACUUAGCAGAAAUAUUCUUGUUCUUCCAUACAUGACUGCAGUUUGUGUGCUCAUUAUUCAUGCUCUUGACAACCAAAUCAGCUAUUCCAAGUUCCCUCUCAACUGAAGCAUAAACAAACCAUUGGCAAGGAGGUUUGCAUUUUGCUCUAAACCUUUUUUUUCAUUUGUGUAUGGCUUUACUGGUUUUCCUUUCAUGAUGGAAUAUGUUCUAACAGCUAAUCUUAGCUGUUCAGCUGACUCAAACUUCAUUCCUAUGUGAAACUCAAAAUUAGGGUCUUUUAGAUCUCUCUCCGGAUUGAAAUCAACAUACCUAUUCCUCCAGUCAUCAUCAUUCUCUUCAUCUGAGGAGCCAGCAUCACUAUGCAACUCAGUCACCACUGUGUCUUUAUUUAAUGCAUGGACAUCAUCUAAAUGAGGAGCUGCCUCUUCUCCUGAUGCUCUAUUGUUGUUUCUUCUCCUUCUAACUUGCUUCUUCCUCCGCGACUGUUGGUUUCCAGUUCCCACAUCCGUGGAUUGUUCUUCAUUUGUCUCAGGCUGCUGCUGAUGUUCAAAUUCAGUUUCAAGUCCUGAUUGUUGUGACCAUGGAUCCAUCCCAGCUGUUUGUUGUUGUCUGCCUAGCUCAUCUACAACUGAUUCUUGCUGUUGUGCAGCAUUAUUACAAUCAUCAUUAGAAUUGGGAUGUUGUGAAGAUCUAGGUUGCUCUGUAUUUGAAGAAUCCACACCAGAUUUUAGCCCCUCAACAAUCAAUUCUUCUAACAUUUCUUCAUCCCUACAGAAAUCCCUAUCAGCACUAAAGCGAUCACAGUCUCCAUCCGAAUCAGUAUCAGUCUCCACUUGGCCAUCUAUAUUUCCUCUAUCAUUUGCAUCCCCAUCAUCCCCAUUAUUCAAGGCAUUCUCUUUAGAAGAGUUCCCAACAUCUAUCUUGCCAAUUGAUCUUGUAAAUGGCACUAGUUCAAAUCCAGGUUCCCUAAUAACAUUUCCAUUUUCGUCAAGUUCCUCGAUGGUGACUGCGGCUUUUUUACUCAACUGUAGAUCAGAAGGAAGGGACUUUGUGGCCAUCAUCUUGAUUUCAUUCUUUGACUGGUGGUCACAGUACACCUCCAUGAUUUUAUGCUUAUAAGCCUAAUUGCAAAAACUGAUAAUGGCUUUAUCAGUAGAUAAUUCCUUCAACCCAUUUCGAAAAUCUUUUCCAGGCUCAACAUAGUAAUACACCAUACAUCCAUAAUGCCCUAAUUUAUCCACCAUGUAGUUUAUUUCAUGCACAGACAUUGUUUCCGCAUCACAUAAAUCAACAUAAUCUACAUGCCCAUCAAUGUAUCUGUAAUUUUGCCAAUUGAAUUUACCCCCAUGAUACAUUCGUAUGGUGAACAGAGAAGAACCUGGCACUGCAUGACAUGCGAUUAGUUAAAAAAAUUAAAAUUUUAGUCAAAACUAGUAAACCCAAAUUCAAUGAAUGAAUUAUUUAUUAACCCUUUUUUCCAGCAUUAAGAAUACUUUAAUCAGUGUACUUUGAAAUCUCUAUGCUUUAUUGCAAAAAGCCAAAACAACGAUAAAAUGUAGCCCAUACAUACAUGAAACACACAAUCUAUUCUGGGAUGUGGAUAACUAAACAAACUUAGGGAUUUUAAAACUUUACCGUAUGCAUCAGAUGGAUCAAAAUGCUGGCCCCUUGGUCUAAUCACCCACUUGGGCCACUCCAUCGUUCCACGAAAUGAAGAUCUUGUUUGUCAACCCGUUCUGCUGUCGCUCAAUCCCCCAAAAUUCUUCGUUGUUGCGUUUUUCUUUAAUUGUCAAUUGUUUGAUGUUUGGGUUUAGGCAAGGAAGAAGAAGAACAGAUGCAUGGGAGAGGAAGAAGAGGUGCAAGUGAUAUUUUCGACUUCCUAAAUUGACCCUACCUUUUGUAUUGGAAAUCGCGCGGACAGACACCUCUGCAAAGUUAACGACUAAAUUUAACAGAAUGGACUCGAGUCUACCUUUAAUACAGUUUGAUGGUCAAAACCAGCCUUUUAAUAGUUGAGUGACCAAAACUCGACGAUGGCAAAAGUUUAGUGGCCACUGGGAUAAUUUGCUCUUUAUUUGGUUCAUGGAUAUGUGAUCGGUAUUUGCCAAAUUUGUCAAACACAUGCCCAACUUUCUAUAGGGAAAUUUAGGAAUAAUUUUAGAAGCUUCCCCUAAAGUUUCUAAUAAUUUUACUAUCCUUUCCUAAAAUUUUAAAAAUAUUAUUAACCUCUUUUAAAACUAAUUUUCUUGUGACAAAUUACUAGGACCGUCAAUGACGCCGAACCAACUAGAGCUCAACCUAUUUGGCCCCAAAAAAGAUCCAUGAGUCUAAAGUAUAAUUGAAUCGGGCAAAGUUUUGAUCUAAAUAUUAGAUCCGGACAAAAUGUAAGUCAAAUUUGAGUCAUUCUAGGUUCAUGCCUGAUUAAAACUACACCCAUGUAUGAGUAUAAUUAUAUAUGUAAAAUAUAUAUGAUAAUAUAUAUAAUUUAUAAUUAUUUAUACUACAUAUACUACAUAUAAAUGCAGAGGAGGGUGUUUGGGGUAAACAAAAAUCUGUCACUUUAUAUACUUCAUGAACUACCCUUGAUGAUGAAGAAACUUUUGGUAUAAACAAAAAUUUAUCUUUCUUUGAUAGCUACCCACUACCAAUAUGAUUUUUACCAAAUAAUAUGUAUUUUUUCAUAUUCUAUUUUUCAACUUAUUUAGUAACUCUUAAUUUUAAUUAGCAACUACCAAUUAUGGUUCUGAAUAACUAUUAAAUAACUACUUUUUAUAACUUUUAUUAUUUUAAAAUUUUCACAUAUGUAUUUUCAAAAUAUAAAAUCAAUUUUCUUAAAAAUUAUUUUAAUAAAUAUACUCAAUAUAUUUUACAAAUACUUUUUCUAUUAGUUGCACACACAUUAGUAUGUGUCUUAAAUACUAGUACAUAUUGCGACAUAAAAUGUUAAUAAUUUAUAUGUAAAUUUGCAUUAAUUCAUAAUUAUAAAGUAUAUAUUAUAUAUAAUUAUGUAUUUAAUUAUAAGUUUGGGCCAAACCCGAUUUGAUUCUGAAACUCAUAUAAUAGUGUGAGUUGAGAUUAAACCUUUUUAAUAUAAACAAGAAUCCCAAAAGCUUGAAACCUGAAAAUUCAUAUAAUUUGUGAACUAAGUUUGGGCUUGCUAAAGUCCGAUUGACACCACUACAAAUUAUCCCAAUUCGUAAAAAAAUUAAUAACAAAAAAAUGUGCAUUCAUUUUUUUUGUUAUUAUUGGUUUGAAAUUAAUACUAAUAAAAAGCUAUUAUUCGUUUGAAAAGCUAUUCUUUUUUUUUUUAUUAUUCUUCUGUCCUGGAACUUGGAUAUUUGAGUAUAGUAACAUGUGUAUACUGGGGGAAGACCCUUCUGCUAUUUGUGGCAGCUGUUUCGGAAGAUGUAUCCCGAUGAUAAUUCUUCCCGAAGAAAAUGGCAUAGUGGAAUGAGGCCGUAGAGAAUUGUGCAUCGCCACAUCCGCUUUUGGAUGGGCAAAUGGUAAUUUUCACAAAGAUGCAUAUAAAAGAAUAAAAUAUCUUUAGUCAUUCUGACACCAGAAAAAAAAAUUUUCAAAACAAAAAUACUAUUUCGCCCAAAUGCGGCGAUUCUAAGUGCAGAAAACAAUCUCAUCGAACACUUUAAAUGAGAUAUUUUCUAAAUUUAGGAUUAUUUGUAGAAAUUUGUCCAAAUAUCCAUACAAAUUAAACUUGACUCUAACUCUAUGUCCUAAGCUCUAACAAUAUUUGAACUCUUAAAAGUUUUUGGUCCAAGGCUGCACUGCCAUGCUUGCGUCCAAGGCUGCACUGCCAUGCUUGCAUCAACAAAAUAUAUGUUUGGAAGCUCCAAAGUACCGUUUUGUAAAUUGAGUUCAUUGCAUUUAUCUCCCUAGAGGUUUAUCUAAAUCACAGCAAUAAAUCCAUAGUUUUUUUUAAGGGUAAAUAACCUUUUAUCUCUCUAUGAUUUGGUGCUUUACCACAUGACUCUCUUAUAGUUUAAAAAUCUAUAUAUACCACAUGACCUCCAUAUAGUUGAAAAACCUAUAUAUAAUCCUUUCGUGAUUUGGGUUAAAGUGAUACCAUUAGUUUUUCCAUUAAAACUAAUGGUCAAUAGUAAAAAGUCAAAAUCAAACUAAUAAAUUGACAAAUUCACUCUUUCACUACUUUUUUCGUUUUCUUUCUUUUUUUUUUUGUGGAAGCGAAGAGAUGAUUUGGAAACAUAUACUUUGGCCUAUAAAACCUUAAUUUUCUCCAAUUACAAAAGAGAUGAGAGGGAAAUAAAAAUAAAUGAAUAAGAAACAAAAAAGAUGGAAGGGAAAUAUAAAACAAAUAAAUAAGAAAGAAAAAAUACCAAAUCUUUUUUAUUACAAAUAUCAUUAUAGAUUUUUAAACCAAAUCUUUAAUGGUAUUUUCUAGUUCUUAUUUAUCUAUUUUGUAUUUCAAUUUCUUCCUUUUUAUGUUUGGAGGGGAAUAAAAAGAAGUAAUGAAAGGGUAAAUUUGUUAAGUUAUUAGUUUGAUUUUGACUUUUACUAUUAACCAUUUGUUUUAAUGGAAAAACAAACAAUUACAUAUUAACUCAAAUCAUGAGAGGGUUAUAUAUAGGUUUUUAAAUCAUAUGGGGGUUAUGUGGUAAAGUACAAAGGAUAAAAGUUAAUUUAUCCUUUUUCCAAAUCAGCCCAACAUUUUAAAUAGCCAAACAUUUGCCACUGCUCAAUUGCAUCAUUUGCAACAGAAGUUUUUGAAAUUAUCAAAAUACUGAUUUUCUAUCAUCCUUCUUCCAGCCAUUCUUUCAUCUUUCUAUAGAUUAAAGUUAGUGUAACCAAAACUCUAGUCAUAUGACAUCACUAAUAAUAGUAUAUUUCAUUGAGUGUAGUUUCUUGAACCUCCACUAUUAUAUUUUUUACAUUCCAAACUCUUUUCUAUUUCAACGUGCAAAUAAUCAAACUUCGUUUUCCAAAAAACAAAAGUAACUAUCAAUACUGAAUUCAAAUAUAAACAUAAAAUUUUAGGAUUUUUAUACAAAGACACACAUAUGAAAGUUAGAAGUAAAUAUCAAACAAAGACACUUUUCUUGGUUUAAGGAUAGGAAUUUAAUGUCAUGUUUUCUUAAAUUUAUUAUUACAUUUUUAAAAAUUUAAUGCUUUGUUAUGGAUAAAAAUCCGUAAAGUUUAGCUCAAUUUUAUUGUUCCUUACGAAAUUAGAUAUUUAAAUAAAAUAGAUAAUUUGUUGUAUGGAAACAAUGAAUUGGACCAGUGUGGUAGCGACUGAAAUAAGCCAUAUGCAGUUGAAAAAGAAAUUGUUUAUUUUCUUUUAAUCCAUAUUUAUUUUUUUGGAUAUAUUAAGGAGUUUUUUAAGAGUGGCUAUUCAAAGGGUUAAAACACAUUUUGGUCAAAUCUUAGACUCCUUUUUAUUUAGACAAACAUCAAGGGAGAUAAAUGCAGUUUCGCAGAGGGUAGUUUUGUCAUUUCACUACUUCUAAUUGGGUUUAGACACUGACUCAUAAGGGAUAAUUCGAAUUUAGUGAAACCGCAGAGUUUACUCAAUAAUACGGCCAAACCUUAGCGGAAGUACAUGCAUUAACCCUUUUUUAUUUAAAAAAAAAAGAGAUAGAGAGAAUUUUUAUUAAUCAGAUUGCUGAAAAUCGUUCAACAUUGGUUUCUUGACAAAAGCAAGAUGGCGGUAUAUUCUAUAAGGAAUCCACGAAAGCUGAAGAAUUUAGCUAUAGAAUUCAACAAAGCUACAGGAUUUUGGCAUAACAAGUCAAUUCAGGAGCUAUUGUUUUUGCCUCCAUUGUAUCCGAUUUACAUCCACAUCUGUAAUUCUAUAUAGUAUCAGACAAAACCUUAGGAAUAUCUUCUACUACUGGCCCCAUUGUAGAAAAAUCAUCAUCUUCACUAUUCAGCAAUUAAAUAACCGAUAAAGAGUCUCCUUCAAGUGUAAUAUUCGGAGUGAACAGAUUUUAUUGCUGAAUUAAUUGCCUCCUUUGUAGCAAUGGCUUCUUUCCUUCUUCGAUUCAACUGUCCCUUGGGAUAUCGUAGAGUUUAAUGCACCCUCAAAAUCAACAUUAAAUUGAUCCAUCGUACACUACCCCGCAAGAGGAACCUAGAGGUUCCACAUUGGCUUCUUUCAAAGCUACUAGGGAAUUAAUCACAAAGCGAACCAUUGAUAAAGGUUCUCCAUGCUUGCCAUCAAACAAAACCAAGUUCUGAUUGUUCCAAAUCUCAUCACAAAGAGUAGCAAACAGCUCCGAAUCCUCACUUGAAAAGAACUCACAAAAUUUCUGUAAUCCAAAGAUGAACACCAACUGAAUAGGUAUUUUCAUCAAUAUGACACCUUAAGUUUCAAACAAAUAGUGAUAUUAAAGGUUUUAGGAUUUAAAAAGCAAGGAAAUAGAAGGAUAAAAUGAGAUGUGAAUUAUAUAGACAAGUUACCUGUCAAACUAGGAAUUGUAAUUUUAAAAAAAAAACUACUUGAAAAAGCUAAUUAUUUAUUUUUCUUAUUCUUUUUCAUUUAAAAUGUGGGGUUUGUAUGAAAUUUUUGUGGCUCAAGUACUAUUACCACAUUUGAAUUGUAUUCAAUUGAUAAUAGUAAACAAAAUUAAUAUUCAAAUGUAAAGGACUAAAGUGAUAAAGUCACGAGUUAAAGGUCUAAAUAGAUAUUUUGAUAAAAGUUUGAGGACUUCUAAUAUACUGUAACUUAUCUGAAUGUAUAUCACUGGGAUUAGAGUUCUGUUUGCAUGUCAACAAAACAUUUUUUCAAAAUGAAAAUUAUGUGAGGCCUCUACAGUAGAAAAUCAAGCAAUUAAGAAUACUUACGUUACUACUUUGUAUCAUCUAUUUUUCGCCCCUUGAAUAAAGUUCUUUGCAUUCUUCUUGUUAUUGAAGAAGAUGAAACUAGUUAUCUAAAUCGAAAAAUAAAUUUUGGCUUCAAAUUUAAGGUACCAGUUAAACAUAGCAUAGAUUUUGUCAAAGAGUAACAUUAUACAAUAUCGUUAAAUUCAAACUGGAUAAAACUCGGUUAAACUACUAGGAUAGGGGUCAACUGAUCGGAUCAGUCAGAUGGUUCUGAAAAAAUCCACUGAAGUGAGUAUGAUAUUUUAAUUAUUUUAUAUUUUUAUAAGUUUCAAAAAUAUUAAAAUUAAGUUCUUAGUUAUAUUCGGCCAACCAUAAAAAUGUUACAAAAAAUUUAGGCUUGCAAUCAAAUAUACACCUAAAAAUUAUAUAUAAAAAUAUGAAUUCGUGUCUAAAUUAUGUACUUAAAAACUAAAUUAAAACAAAUCAUUCCCAAUUCGAGAUCUUUUUGCUAGGAAUAUGACUUUAUAAUGCAAGUUAGAAUCACUAAUGAUAAAUUGAUAAGAUGAUAUGGAUGAAAACCUCUUGAUUUAGAGAUCAUUGAGGGAAGCUAGUGAUUUUGAUGUUUACAUUAAAUGAGUGACAUUUUCUUAUUUCUAUUAAUAAAUGAAAGUUUUAUACUUUAGCUAACUCAAAUUAUGUUUCGGGAGAACAAGAAAGAAAAGUUUGAGAAUCGGGUCACUAAUUUGGCUUAUUUUUAAUGAUUUUGAUUGAUUUUUUAUCAAAGUAAUUUUAUGCUACAAACUACUUUCGAAAAAAGGUCGGUUCAUAUUCAGACAACAUUGACAUUAUAUGGAUAAAGCAUUUGUGAACAAACUUAUACCAAGACUAGUUGUUAGUUCAAGAGAGUUGGGACAGAUAAAUUUGUGCAAAAAUUAAUUAUCAAAGGGUAAUUACCAUUUCAACUUUUAUAAAAAAUGUCCAUGUUUAAGGAACAAUUGAAGGCACGUCAGUCAUCCAAUUAGUCUAAAGCUAAUAAUUAUAGAACAAACUACAUUGGCAUCAUAUUCUUGACGGGAAAGAACCUCAAGGGCUAUCUAAGCUGGGGUUUUGAUCGUAGAGCUGAGUCUUAAGUGCAACAUCAAAGAUUAUAUUUAACACUCAAUGAAAUAACCUCAUCGUAUUUUCCAAGUUUGAGAAAAAAGAAAUCAAUAAAUUUUGUUAGGGCAAGCAAUAGAAAUUAAAAAAUAGAUUUAAUUAGCUUUUCUAAGUUAUUUAUUAUUCAAUUCUCUAGCAUACAUAUAUUGUAAUUUCGAUAUAACUACUGUAUCUCAUUUCAUCUUGAAACUUUUAAUACCACUAUUUAAAUUUUAAGAAACCAUCUUAGUUGAAACUUCAACAUUAUGAUCAACAAUGCCAAGUCAAAACUUCGCCAUUAUGAUCGAGUCAUAAUUAAUGAUCAACAAUGCCAAGUUACAGCAAUUUGAUUUUGAACUUCGCCAUCCUGAUUUUUUGUCAAUUAUCCUAAAUUUGCACAAAAUCCGAAGCAUCGAGGACCACAUUUGCAAAAGUCAAAAGUUUAGGGACUACAUAAUUCAUAAAAUGGAUCGAUUAUAGCGUAAUUUCCAGCAACUUGGGGGUCUUUUGUUUUGCUGGCUGUAGUCCAUUGGGUGCACGUGAACUUCGUGGGAAAUUGGUGGCGUUCAAUUAUUUAACCUUUGCAAGUUGGUGAGUGGUCUGGCAGCUCUUUUGAUUUUUUUUUUUUUUUUGCUGUAGAUAGGAUUCGAAUAUCCAACCUGCAGUUCAAAAAAAGGGACUUUAGUCCCUAUUUGAUAGCCACUACCUUUCCAAGUUGGCAAGCUGUCUUGUUUACAUAAAGGUUGGGAUUUUACUGUGGAAUAUUUGAAUAUCGAACGAUAACAGUACAAUACUAAAAAAAAAUUUACUGCUAUUGUCUAUUGUGGAUAAUUCAAGCAACUAUUUUAGAAAAUGACUCUCAUAAUUAUGGUCAAGCCAAGCCAAUCCAACAGUGCUCCCAAGCUCGAAAAUACAGCAAAAGGUAAAAUGAUUUGAAACCGGAUCGACAAGUGAAUUGGACGAGCUUCCUAUUUCUGGCUCAAUCAAUUCAACCAGUUCAACUCCGAUUUAAUGAUUUUAUAAAUUUUUAAUUAUAUUAACAUUAAAUAACUUGAAUAAUAUUAAUAUAUGAAAAAUAAUGAAAAAUCGGUCCAAAGGCCGGCUGUUUACUGAUCCAAUAGUGCUCCCAAGCAUGAAAAUAUAGCAAAAGGCAAUAUUUUGAAAUUGGGACCUACAAGUGAACUGGAUGAAUUUUUUAUUCAAUUAAUUUUGCGGUUCAAUCUCUGUUUAGUGAUUUUAUUAUUAUUUUUGUUUAUUUUAAAAUUAAAUUUUUUGGAUAAAAUUAAUAUAUGAGCUAGAAAUAAAAUUUUUGUGUAAAACCAGUUCAAAGACCUUUUUUUUCUUAUCGAUUUUGAUUCAUCUGAUCGAUUUUUGAUCGAAUUUGAUUGAUUCAAUUGAGUUUCUGGGUUAAAUAUAGAAAAACAAAUUAUUCGGGAAAUCACUAAACCUUUUUAAUAGUCAAGAUUUAGCCACUCAAUUAUUAAUAGUUUGUUGUUUUCCAUUAAACUGUUAAUAAUAUAAAUUUUGUGCCAUUUCGUCUAAUUUCACUAUUGACUCUGUUAGAUCUAAGGGUCUAUACAAGAUAUAUUAGUAAUGGUUAAAUCUGGUAGAGUUAAUGACAAAUUAGAUGGAAUUGCCUAAAAUUUAAAUUUUUAAUAAUUUAGUAGGUAAAAAUUACUAUUUAUAGCUUAAUGACUAAAACUUGACUAUUCAAAAAAUUUAAUGGUCGCAGGGAUAAUUUGCUCUAAGAUCUAAGCCAUGGUUGGUUUGACGGUGGCAAAAGGUACACAUUCCACGUUUUUCGGUAAAACGCGGUAUGGUAAAUAUUCUUAGAACUAUUGCCGUAAAUCUGAAAUCACCUAUAAAAGGGUCCAUCUUUGGGCAACCAAUUUCACCCCCAAAUAAAUCCGCGAAACUAACUGAGAAAAAGAAAAAGAAAAUGGCUGCCAGUUUACGACCACUGUUCUUAGCAAUAAUAUCCCUGCUGAUGAUAUCUUCAUUGACCAGGUCCUCAGAAGGCGCUGGAAUCGCAGUCUACUGGGGCCAAAAUGGCAAUGAAGGAAGCCUGGAAGAGGCCUGCCGUAGUGGCAACUAUGACUAUGUAAAUAUUGCCUUUCUGGUAUCCUUUGGCAGUGGCCAAACACCGGAACUGAACUUAGCUGGCCACUGUAUCCCGAGCCCAUGCACCUUCCUGAGUUCUCAGAUAGAGGUUUGCCAGAGCCUGGGCAUCAAAGUGCUCCUUUCUCUUGGUGGAGGUGGUGCCGGGGCAGGGAGAGGGCCAAUCCUGGCUUCUCCCGAGGAUGCUCGCGAUGUUGCAGCCUACCUCUGGAACAAUUACUUGGGCGGUCAAUCAGACUCUCGCCCACUUGGUGCUGCUGUUUUAGAUGGUAUAGACUUUGACAUCGAAUAUGGAUCGAACCUGUACUGGGAUGAUCUCGCCCGGGCACUCUCGGGAUACAGCACAGCAGAGAGAAAGGUGUACUUAUCUGCAGCACCACAAUGCUUCUUUCCUGACUAUUAUCUUGAUGCUGCUAUCAGAACUGGCCUCUUUGAUUUCGUCUGGGUGCAGUUUUACAACAAUCCGCUUUGUCAGUAUGGUACAACCACAGGCAAUGCCGAUAACCUCUUGAACAGUUGGAGUAUUUGGUCUGCCUCUUCAGGCGUUAAUAAAUUAUUCCUGGGAUUACCUGCAGCCGAAGCGGCCGCACCUGGUGGCGGUUACAUCCCACCUGAAGUGCUAGUUGAACAGAUUCUUCCCGUUGUGCAGAGCUAUCCCAAGUAUGGAGGGGUCAUGCUUUGGAGCAGAUACUAUGACCAAAACUACAGUACAGCAAUCAGGCCUUAUGUUAACGGUGAUCCUCUGACUUAUACAACCAAGUCCGUGAAAAAAUCCCAUGCUGUAGCAUGAGUUCCUCUCAUUAUCUGCCGCGAGAUGAAAUGUAGUCCUGGCUGCUUAUGCCAGAGAUCAAUCUACUAAUGAAUAAUGGGCUAUGAGUUCCCAAAUCGAUUAAAAUGUUCAGUAAAUUUCUUCCCGUUUUAACCGCGCUCUCUCUCUCGAAUGAAGGGGUACAAGAUCUAGUUUGAAGAACCAGUUGCACCUUCUCUUUUUUUUAUUUUUUAUACAACAUCUUCUAGAUAAUAAUUUUUCGAUAAUAUUCAAACCACAUUGAAAUUGAAAAAGAAAAUGUUAAUUUGCAAUUGAAGUUUGAGGAACAGUAUCUAUUUCCCCUCAUAUUUCAAUGCAAGUCACUUUGAGACUUAUGACAAUUUCACUAACCUCCCAUCAAAUCUGAAAAACAACGAUUACCUCCCCUCUUCUUAGAUUUGGUCUGAUGAUUUCAGUGUAUUUGGUAUACAUUCCUACAACAAAGGGAUAACAAUCGAAGGGCUUUCGUUUUUAUUAAUUUUUUGGAGUACAAAUUAAUUUCUCAUUAGCAUGUUAUGAAACAUAUGAUAUUCUUGUUCUCAACAAUUUCUUUCUACUAAAAAAUGAAUAGAGAGAAGGGGGAAAAAAGUAAGCCUCAGCUGAUUAAAUUAUGUCCACGCAUAAAUUGUCACAAAGGUUUCUUAAGGGAAAAAGGGUUGGGGGUGGGGGCGGGGGUUCCCUGGGUUAAUUUAACCAAAAUUGAUUAAAGUAAUGAGGUUGGCUUGAUUAAAUUAUGUUUAUCACAAUUGGGUCAUUUCUUAAAAUAUUGACCUUAACAAAGAUGAUCCAUUUCUUGAAAAUGGGCUUUCCUAGAAAAUUUGCGUUCUAGAAAAGCCAUUCUUGGGCAGAUGAUGAAUAAGACUUCGUAUUUUGGGCUGAAUGAAAUGGAUGACACGCCAAAUUUGAUUAUUUAGCCACCGAAUAAAUAUGUUGGGUUUUAUAAAUCACUAUAAGUAAUGGUGUCUUAACUUUGGUUAAUUAGUUAAUUUAGAACACGCAUGGUGAAAUUGGGCUGACAAAGAAAAUAUUAAAGGAUGAUAACGUUUAUAGUGAGCCAAGUACAAUUAUUAUGAAACAAAAUGCCUCACAUUCACAAAUCCCUCAAAUGCUAUCUUUCAAUGCCAAUAAACUACUGGUAUCCAACUCCAAGAUCGCUCCAAAAUUCUAGCCCAAUCAGACACUGUUCCCUUGUUCACAAAAUAAACUUUUACCUCUCUAUGAUUUGUUGCUUUACCACGUGAUUUCCUUAUUAGUUUAAAAACUCAUAUAUACCACAUGACCCCUUAUUGUUUAAAAACCUAUAUAUAAUUCCUUCAUGGUUUGGGUUAAAGUGUUACCAUUGAUUUUUUUCAUUAAAACUAAUGGUCAAUAGUAAAGCGUUAAAAUUAAACUAAUAAAUUGACAAAUUCACUCUUUCACUAUUUUUUUUCCAUUUUCUUUCUUUUUUUUGGUGGAAGAGAAGAGAUGAUUUGGAAACAUAUACUUUGGCCUAUAAAACCUUAAUUUUCUCCAAUUACAAAAGAGAUGGGAGGGAAAUAAAAAAGUAAAUGAGUAAGAAACAAAAAAGAUGGAAGGGAAAUAUAAAACAAAUAAAUAAGAAACAAAAAAUAUCAAAUCUUUUUUUAUCACUAAUAUCAUUACAGAUUUUUAAACCAAAUCUUUGAUGGUAUUUUCUUAUUCUUAUUUAUCUAUUUUUUAUUUUAAUUUCUUCUUUUUUAUGUUUAGAGGGGUAUAAAAGGAAUUAAUGAAAGGGUAAAUUUCUUAAUUUAUUAGUUUAAUUUUGACUUUUACUAUUAACCAUUUGUUUUAAUGAAAAAACUAACAGUCACAUAUUAUCUAAAAUCAUGAGAGGGUUAUAUACAAGUUUUCAAAUCAUAUGGGGUUUACGUGGUAAAGUACCAAACUACAAGGGGUAAAAGGUAAUUUAUCCUUUUUCCAAAUCAGCCCAACAUUUUAAAUUGCCAAACAUUUGCCACUGCUCAAUUGCAUCACUUGCAACAGAAUUUUUUGAAAUUAUCAAAAUACUUGUUUUCUAUCAUCACCAAAUUCAUCCAAACUCACAAAAUUUAUAAAAUAAAAAUCCCAUACAUGUUUAAUCCUUGACAAAUAGCAAUCCAAACAAGGUAACAAGUUUAUGUUCAAUUCUUGAUAAAUAUCAAUCUAAAUAAAGUAACAUGUUCAAUUUCUAAACCAAAGUACUAUCUAAGCCAUUAUUCACCUUCAUCUUCAUUAUCCGUAUCUCCGAUUUCUUAACUUUCAAAAUCGAUAUCAUCAAGAUCAUCCUCAUCAUCAAGUUGCACAAUAUUUGUGUCGUUCUUACCUAAAAAUCAUUUAAAUACUCAUAAAUAAAAAUAUUCAAAAAUAGACAAGAACUAAAAAGAAACUUAGAUAAAGUUAGCAAAUGCAUUCCAAAAUUCAUCUAUGUAGCUAAUAAUGGUCCAUUGAUUACAUGCUUGGCAACCUGAAUCUUGAUUGGAGGCAUUCAAAGCUCAAGUAAUUGAUAUUAAAUACAUUUUAAAAGCAUAUAAUGCUUUCCUUGACUAUCAUUUUAAAAGAAUUGCCCAAACUCCAUUUAUUAGUCAUACGAGUUUUCCCAUCUUCUAAUCUACUAUUUUCACUUGUCAUCUGAUCAUAUUAUAGGUUAAGCCCAUCUUCCGGAUUUCCAUGAAUACAAUGGUCUAAAAUCAAAGCAUCCCAGGAAACUAAACUCUUCAUCGGCAUCCUUCCACAUCUAUUAUACAUAUCAAUUAAGGACGACGUGUUAACAAUCAAACUCAAAUUUCCAGAUUCUGUAAUAAGAGUUCCGUGAAUUGAUUUUCCUUGUUUCAAUCUGGCAGACCUACCACAAGCAGUAAGCACAUUCACCAUAAUUGUUUCAUUGCCUUAAAUCCGAGCUUCACCAUUUCCCUGAAUAACUUCAACCCAUUUCCAGGAUUCCCCAGAUCCAAAUAACCUGUCCUCAUUAUAUUCCAUGAAACAAUAUAUUCCACAAAACAACACCACAGUUUGUUUUCUCUAAAUCAACAGAUACCAUUUUUUUUCUAGUGUCAUUUUGAGUUUAUCAACAACUUGUCUCUUUAAAUAAAAAAAUUAAAAACACCACUACCAACUGAAAAACUUUAUUCACACCCGUAACAUCCAAAUCCCAAAUACCCAGCAUAAUGAAUCAAAAAAAAAAAAUACUGAAAUUUCAGUCUGAUUGUUCCAAAUCUCAUCACAAAGAGUAGCAAAAAGCUCCGAAUCCUCACUUGAAAAGACUUCACAAAAUUGAAAGAUGAUCACCAACUGAAUAAGUAUUUUCAUCAAUGUGAUACCUUAAGUUUCAAAUAGUGGUAUUAAAGGUUUUAGGAUUUAAGAAGCGUGGAGAGAGAAGGAUAAAAUGAGAUGUGAAUUAUAUAGACAAGUUACAUGUCAAACUAGGAAUUGUAAUUAAAAAAACAAAUUGAAAAAGCUUAUUAUUUAUUUUUCUUAUUCUUUUUGCUUUAAAAUGUGGGUUUUAUAUGAAAUUUUUGUCAGUCAAGUACUAUUACCACAUUUGAAUUGUAUUCAAUUGAUAAUAAUAAACUAAAUUAAUAUUCUAAUGUAAAGGACUAAAGUGAUAAAGUUAAAAGUUAAAGGUCUAAAUAGAUAUUUUGAUAAAAGUUUGAGGACUUCUAAUAUACUGUGACUUAUCUGAAUUUAUAUCAAUGGGAUUAGAGUUCUGUUUGCAUGUCAACAAAACAUUUUUCCAAAAUGAAAAUUAUGUGAGGCCUCUACAGUGGAAAGUCAAGCAAUUAAGAAUACUUUUGUUACUACUUUGUAUCAUCUAUUUUUCCCCCCUUGAAUAAGUUCUUUGCAUUCUUGUUGUUAUUGAAGAAGAUGAAACUAGUUAGCUAAAUUAAAAAAUAAAUUUUGGCUUCAAAUUUAAGGUACCAGUUAAAUAGAGCAUAGAUUUUGUCAAAGAGUAACAUUAUACAAUAUUGUUGAAUUCAGACACUUAUCGGAUCGGCCAGACCAUUCUAAAAAAUUCUCUGAAGUUAGCAUGAUGUCAUAAUUAUUUUAUAUUUUUAUAAGUUUUAGAAAUAUUGAAAUUAAAUUUUUUGUUAUACUUGGCCAACCAUAAAAAUGUUACAAAAAUAUUAGGCUUGUAAUCAAAUAUACAACUAAAAAUUAUAUAUAAAUAUAUGAAUUCGUGUCUAAAAUAUUUCCAUUCUCUAAAAUUACUUAAAAACUAAAUUAAAACAAAUCAUACCCAAUUCGAGAUCUUUUUGCUUGGAAUAUGACUUUAUAAUACAGGAAUCACUAAUGAUAAAUUGAUAAGAUGAUAAGGAUGAAAACUUCUUCAUUUAGAGAUCAUUGAGGGAAGCGAGUGAUUUUAAUGUUUAUACUAAGUUAGUGGCAUUUUCUUAUUUCUAUUAAUAAAUAAAAGUUUUACACUUUAAGUAACUCAAAUUAUGUUUCAGGGGAACAAGAGAGAAAAGUUUGAGAAUUGAGUCAAAUAGUUGAAUCGAAUCACUAGUUUGGCUGAUUUUGAUAGUUUUGAUUAAUUUUUGACUAAAAUGAUUUUGUGCUACUAACUACCUUCGGAAAAAAGUAGAUUCAUAUUCAGACUGAUCGGUUUGGUUUGGGACAACACUGACAUUAUAUGGAUAAAGCAUUUGUGAACAAACUUAUACCAAGACUAGUUGUUAGUUCAAGAGAGUUGGGACUGAUAAAUUUUCAACAAGUCUAUAAUUUGUGCAAAAAUUAAUUAUUCAAAGGGUAAUUACCAUUUCAACUUUUAUAAAAAAAAUGUCCAUGUUUAAGGAACAAUUGAAGGCACGUCAGUCAUCCAAUUAGUCUAAAGCUAAUAAUUAUAGAACAAACUACAUUGGCAUCGUAUUCUUGACGGGGAAAGAACCUCAGGGGCUGUCGAAGCUGGGGUUUCGAUCGUAGAGCUGGUUCUUAAGUGCGACAUCGACGACUAUAUUUAAUAGUCAAUGAAAUAACCGCAACCUAUUUUCCAAGUUUGAGAAAAAGAAAUCAAUAAAUUUUGUUAGGGCAAGCAAUAAAAAAAUAAAAAAAGAUUUAAUACGCUUUUCUAAGAUAUUUAUUAUUCAAUUCUUUAGCAUACAUAUAUUGUAAUUUUGAUAUAAUUGUAUCUCAUUUCAUCUUAAAGCUUUUAAAUUUUAAGAAACCAUCUUAACUGAAACUUCAACAUUAUGAUCAACAAGGCCAAGUCAAAACUUCACCAUUUUGAUCAAGUCAUAAUGAUCAACUAUGCCAAGUUGCAGCAAUUUGAUUUUGAACUUCGCCACCCUGAUUUUUUGUCAAUUAUCCUAAGGGUAUGUUUGGUUCCCUAUGUAAUUGGGAUUUAGAAUUAGAAUUGGGGCUCCAAUUCUAAUUCUGUUGUUUGGAUUCUGCUUCACUUGAAGAAUAAGAAUUCAAUCUGAAUUCUAUAGGGGUCCAAUUCCAUAAAUUGAAUUCUUUAUUGGACCAAAAGAAUCCUAAUUCCAAUUCCACAACUAAACCCUAAGAAACGGAUCUACACGCAGAUCUAAUAUGGGUAAAAAAUUAAAAGCGGGUCAAGUAUUCAAGCAUCUCUCUCUCCCAUUCUACUCACAAUGGAUCUUCUAUCCCACACCCUGUGUUGGAUCUUAAGGAAACAAAAAAGAACUAAAAUAUGAUAUUUAUGAAGGAGAAAUAGUAAUCUAUAUCUAUAUAAAUUUGAGAAGGGAUUUUUAGCAACAAGCCUCAUAUAUCUUCCCAUUACCAAUUCCAUUUUUCUAGCAUUUCACAUUUAAUUUAAUUUAUAAAAUAUAUUUCUCUCAACUUCCACAUCUACUCUUCACAUUUGAAAUUAUUGGUUAGUUUUUAAAAUCAUUUCAUUUCAAAUUGUUGAUUGAUGUGCAUGUUAUCUUAUUUGAACUUCAACCCAUCACGUUUUCGAUUGCCUUGCGUUAUUUAUGGUUCUAUAGCAAUUAAAACUUCUAUAAGAUCAUAAGAAGAGAUAACAAAUAUAACAUCCUUUCAUGCUUUCUUAUUAAUUUAAAUAAGUAAGAUUGUUUACACUCCAUUUUUGUUAUUCACACUUCAAUAAUCAUUUUGAUCAUAUCAUUUUCAGUAAUUAGACUAUAUGAUAAAACAAAUGGUGGAAUUGCAAAUAAUAAAAAAUUGAGUGCAAAUAACAUUUUCUUAAGUAAGAAGUGGCUUACAUGCCUUUCUAAUUAAAAAAGUAGUGGCUCCGCUUACAUAGGAAUUUGGUUUGAAGUUUAUUAGUAGGAGGGUAAAUAAAAAGAAAACAUUGCCAAACUUAGUAAAAGUAAAAAAGUAAAUGAUAAUAUUUUAUCUUUAAACUUAGUAAUCCUAAGUAAAAGGGCAAAAUUAAAUAGAAAACAAAAAGGAAAUAAUGUCGUGGAUUUAAAAAAUCAAGAAUGGUACCAUUCAUGAAAUCCAUAUUAUGAAAUCACUAAAUAAAAAAUAAAGUACUACUAGCCUUUUAACGUGGAAACUUUUUUUUUGAAAUAUUCAUUUUUGAUAAAAAAUAAUGAUAAUAACAACACCAAUUCAACCAAAAAUUUUUUAAAAAGUAAUAUUAUAGUUUAAGAGAAAGAUAUAGAACAUUCAACCCUAAAAUACUACUUAAUUUGUAUAUAUCUGGCCCAAAUUUGACAAUAAAUUUGAAUAAGAGUGCAAAACCCAAACAUUAAGGAUAACUUUUGCUAUCAUUAAUUAUUUUAUGUAUUCUUAUUGCUGUCUUCAUAUGUAAAUAUGUAUUUGGUAUGUUAAUAUAUAUAUAUAUAUAUAUAUAUAUAUUGAUUGUAGUACUUGAGGAUAUUAUAGAUAUUAUCAGUUUUUCAUUUCCAUUUUUAGAUACUAAUAAUUGCAACCAUUGUAAUUAAUUUUUAAUUUUAUAUUUUCAUUAUGAUAGGUAAAGUUAAAUAUAUUGGGUCGCAGGGAUAUGAAUUUAGAGCUUAGGUAUAGGGGGAGGAGCGAGGGAAAAAAAUGGUGAGAUGUUGAAAAGUAGCAGGAAAGGUUGAAGAAGAAAUAAGGGUUACAAGGAUAGGCGGAGAAGGGAGAGAAGAAGAAAGGGGAUUGUAGGGAUAUGACAGAGAUGACAAAAAUAAUAAUAAUAAUAAUAGAGAGGGUGGUAUCAUGAUAGAAGAUAUGAAAGUGGUAGGAGGCAUCUGAUGACUAGUUGGCGUAUAAGAGAAGAGGGAAAUGAUGGUGAUUUUUAAUAAUUUUGAGAACUUUAAAAACAUAUAUUACGGAGAAUUUUUUUAAAUUAUACAUUAAAGUUUAGGAAAAAUGCUAAUCUAAAUGUAGUCAACAAUUUUAGGGGUACAAGAUACAAGAAAGAUUUUUUUUUCUAAAAAUGGAAGAAAAUAAAUUGGUUAUAAUUUAUUUUUUUUAUAUUAUAAGUUUUGAUAUAUGGGUAUAACAUAAUAUGUUUUGUCGGAUAUUGAUAAAUUGAUUCUUUUUUAUAAAACUCUUUUCACCUUACCACCCAACCUAACCCUCUCCUUAAAUGCGUUAACAAUUCUUUUAUCAUUUAAAUCAUUAUAUAUUAAAUUUUUUUUCAAGAUAUUAAGCAUACACUUCUUUAAAAUUUUUAGUCUAUAUAUAUAUACUUAUUAUUUUGUACCACAAUAUAAAUAUAUAAAAUAUUAUUUUGAUUUAAAAUAUAACCCCGUGCAUAGCACGGGUCAAAAUACUAGUAUAAUAAAAAGUGGGAUAGAGAGUUGCACAGGGUGUGAGACAGAAGAUUUGUUGCGCAUUCUAAUUCACCAUUUUUUCUCAGCUGCAAGUGCUCCUGCUCUCCACCAUCGCUUCUACCUCCGCCCUAACAUUUUGCCGCUUUCGCCACCGUUUCCCCCAUCGCUCUUCGUUUCAGCCAUCCCUCUUCCCUUCGCCACUCCUGCCAUGCAUCCACCCAUCACCUUGCCAAUCGCAAGACUAAUCCGAGUGCUCUCUCCUUCCCCCUGCUUAAUUUUCUUGAACUGGGUUCUUCAGUCUUGAAGGUAAUAUCUCCUAAGAAUUUGCACUGAAAUUUGACGUUUUCUUACAAAGCACUGCCUAACUCUUGAGUGCCAGAUAUUAAUUCUAGUAAUGGUUCUUGACUUUGGUUUUACAGCCCAGCAAUGGCUCAGAACCUACAGUUGGAAAGACCCUUCUUGAGGACACAGGUCUAUUUUUUUACAGAAACCUGGUACUUGAUUGGUGUAUGAGCUCUUUUAGCAUUUUCUCUGCUGUUCAAUAUUCUUUUUGUUGAAGUAUUGACAUUUUUAAAGCGUAAGCCCCACGUACAACCUUGUUAUCAUGCAAUUUUGGUUUCUAAUAUACUAUAUAGUAAAGAAGUCCAUGUCUUAAUUCCGUGGUGUCAACUUAACGUCAGCUCUAGGAGAUAAUAAAGCUGUUAUUCUUGAGGAUGAUGAGCAAAACAUGGAUAGACGGCAAGUUGCAUCACAUCCUGGAGGUUUGUGGUCUAUUCAACUCCAGCUUUUUGCAUAUGCAACUCAAAGAUAAAUACUCUGUGUCCCUUGAUAAAAUGAGUUCAGACUUUCGACAAGGUUUGAAACGUGAUAUAUACAUUUUCCCAAAAUCCAAUAUAAAGUUUAGUACUCAAUUAGCACUUAAAUUUAAUGGAUUCUAAAAGCACAAAAGGAGGAAGAAAUAAAGAAUCUAAAAUGCACAAAAGGAGGGGGAAAAUGGAUGGAGAAAGAAUCUACCGACAGAAAGAAAAUGGAGUAAAGAAAAUUGAGGUUAUUGACAUUCAACAAGGGAACUUAUUUCAUCCUAAAGCUGCAUUCCGGUGAUUUAAUUACUACUACUGCUGAAGUCUUUAGUAGUGGAUCGAUGCAAUUUUAGUCAAGUAAAUGAACUUGUAUUUGUCACGGUUGAUGGAUUCAAAUAAGCUGUGGUGUGAUUGUUCUCAACAAGACCACAAUUUCUUCUUUGCAUACUCAACCACAUGCACAUGAUUACUUUUGGGCAUAACUUUUAACAACAAUCAACUAACAUAUAAAAGGGAAUUAGUCAAUUGCUUAUGGAAUCAAGUUGAUUGCUGACACAUUUUCCUUUUCUAUGAUAAAGCUUAAAAUCAUUACUCUCUAACUUAUGUUAACAAUAUGGUGGUUUAAUAUGAUGGCCACAGUCAAUUGCUUAAAAGUUUCAGGUUUUUAUUCUUGUUCACACAUAUCUAGUAUGGCUAAAUCUAAAUCUAAAUCCUCAUUUCUAAGUAAUUUAUGUGGUAAACAGAAAGGUUUAACAAUAUAGAUGGGCUAAAAUAUCUUUGACUCAAGUUGAUCGUUGACUCAACUAAGCAAAGAAUCAACUCUGUUCUAUGUAUCCUAGCUAUGAGAUCUACAGCUUCAACAAAUUGAACCUGGUCAACUUAAAGCACCUUAGCACUUUCUACCGUGAUUGUAGGACUAACAUGUUUUGUUUAAGAAUAGCCUCCAAAAGCUUGGCCGUUAGUCGAACCAGUUUACCUGCUGUUAAUGUAGUUUUUCAAGCAGGGAUCAACAAUUACAUGCUUUAGUUUUCUUUUAACAAAAAAGAAAGAUUUUAAUGUUUGAGCCAUAAGUGAUUUAAUCACAUGUUAGUGCAUUACUAAUCCAAUUAGUGACCUCUGGUUUUAGUUUUUUGAUGCCACAACAUAGUUAUUAUAUUAAAAAAGAGCCCUUAUGAUAAAUAUCACCUAACACAUAUAUUUUGACACAAUAUGUCUUGAUCGUAGGUGCACCACUAACUUUAUUAAGUAUGCUACAAGUGAGUAAUAUUAUAAACUAGAAAUUGAUGAUGAUCAGUCAAUAAGUCUGUCAUUAAGUCUAUAACAUGAAUCUUAUUGUUAGUCACCGUUUACUUACUAUCUAUGAUAACUAUCCUAUUUUGUUUAAAUUGAUCUAUAGCUAUAGCUAAGUUGUGCUGAAACUAGUUAGAAUGAUUAUGGACCUAUAAUAUAAUUUCAUGUGGACACAACAAUAACCCGCUUAUUUCUAUACUAUUAGUCUAUUCUUGUCUAGCUUGAAAAUCAUCUUAUACAUGUAAUUAUCACUAAUUACUAGUUUAUAAACCGAUCAACUUGUCAACAUAAACCCUGAUCUUGUUGGUAUCAAUUUGCAGGAACCAGUCAUGGACUAAAAGCCGCUUCAAAUUGCUUUAUGUUUUCUUGGUGAUUAAUAUGAUAUUCAUCCAUUUCUUUGAAAAAAAGAAAAGUUAUCCAUUUCGUACUAAUACUUGAUAUGGUGAUUCUGAAUUGCAGAAUUUGGAUAUUGACAUGGAUAAAGAAGGAGAUGAGUAAAAAGCAAAAAAGAGAGAAGUGAUAGUUGCAAAUUAUAUGAUAACAGUAACCGCAUUAGUAGUUUGGUGGCAUGAGAAACAUAUAGUAAAGAAGCCUUAUUUUGACUUUAAAGUAGCACCUGAAAUAUAUCAAAUGCGUCUUUACUAUGGAAACAGCAGAGUUUGUGUAGAACAACUUCGACUCAAUAAUUGUUUUACUGUUUUAUGUACAAAUUUAAGAGAGCAUUGUGGGUUGAGGGAUACUAGAAAUAUUAUUGUUGAAGAAGUAGUUGCAAUAUUUCUCUAUGUUCUUGCUCAUAACUUUAAGAAUCGCAUUGUCAAUUUUAAUUUCAUAAGAUCAGGUGAGACAGUUAGUCAAUACUUUAAUAUAGUUCUUAACUUUAAAAAAAGUAUCAAGGCUUUAACUUGAUAAAUAUUAACUACUUUUUAAGUUAGAAUAUAUAAUUAUUUUUUAUUUAAUAUAAUUUAAUUAAGAAAAAAGAAACAAGAAUAAUAUUUUUUUUUGCAGAAAAGGAACUAAUUUUUUUUUCUAAUUAUUUUUUAAAGCUUUAGUAACAAUUAGUUAAAUGCAAGAAAAAAUAAAUUAUUAAAGGCAUUAAUUGGUUUUUUCCUUAAAGCUUUAGUAACAAUUACCUAUAUGUUAAAAAAUUAUUAUAUAGUAAAAAAAAAAGAAAUUUUUUAUGAAAGGAAAUGUUAGUUGGAAACAAUUCUAAUUCUUAACGAAUUCUUCUCCCAUCCAAAUAAAGAAUUUGAAAUUCUGAAUGAAUUCUGUAUCAAUGUUAUGCAUUUCCCAAACAAAAGAAUUCCAAUAUUUUGGAAUUCCAAUUCUGUAGAACCAAACGUACCCUAAAUUUACACAAAAUUCGUAGCAUCGGGGACCACAUUUGCAAAAGUCAAAAGUUUGGGGACUACAUAAGUUAUAAAAUGGAUCGAUUAUAGCGUAAUUUCCAGCAACAUGGGGGUCUUUUGUUUUGUUGGGUGUAGUCCAUUGGGUUGCCCGUGAACCGCGUGGGAAAUUGUUCAAUUAUUUAACCUUUGCAAAUUGGUGGGUGCCCCGCCACCUCUUUCAAUUUUUUUUUUUUAAUAUAAGUAGGAUCCGAAUCUCUAAUUUACAGCUCAAAAGAGAGACUUUAAUCUUUUUUAAAUGGCCACUACCUUUGCAAGUUGGCAAGCUAUCCUGUUUACAUAAAGGUUGGGAUUUUACUGUGGAAUAUGUGUUGGCAGAUCCAGGCGUGAAUAAGUUAUUUAACAGCUGAAUAUUGGAAGAUAACAUUACAAUAGUCAAAAAAAAAUUUACUGCUAUUGUCUAUUGUGCAUCAUCCUGGAAAAUUCAAGCAACUAUUUUAGAAAAUGACUCUCAUAAUUAUGGUCAAGCCAAUCCAACAGUGCUACCAAGCUCGAAAAUACAGCAAAAGGUAAAAUGCUUUGAAACCGGAUCGACAAGUGAAUUGGAUGAGCUUCCUAUUUAUGGCUCAAUCAAUUCAACCUGUUAAACUCCGAUUUAAUGAUUUUAUAAAAUUUUAAUUAUAUUAACGUUAAAUAAUUUGAAUAACAUUAAUGUAUAAAAAAUAAUGAAAAAUCGGUCCAAAGGCCGGUUUUUUAACUGAUCCAAUAGUGCUCCCAAGCUUGAAAAUAUAGCAAAAGGCAAUAUUUUGAAAUUGGGGCCUACAAGUGAACUGGAUGAAUUUUUUAUUCAAUUAAUUUUGCGGUUCAAUCUCUGUUUAGUGAUUUUAUUAUUUUUUUGUUUAUUUUAAAAUUAAAUUUUUUGGAUAAAAUUAAUAUAUGAGCUAGAAAUAAAAUUUUUGUGUAAAACCAGUUCAAAGACCUUUUUUUUUCUUAUCGAUUUUGAUUCAUCUGAUCGAAUUUGAUUGAUUCAAUUGAGUUUCUGGGUUAAAUAUAGAAAAACAAAUUAUUCGGGAAAUCACUAAACCUUUUUAAUAGUCAAGAUUUAGCCACUCAAUUAUUAAUAGUAUGUUGUUUUCCAUUAAACUAUUAAUAAUAUCAAUUUUGUGCCAUUUCAUCUAAUUUCACUAUUGACUCUGUUAGAUCUAAGGGUCUACACAAGAUAUAUUAGUAAUGGUUAAAUCUGGUAGAGUUAAUGACAAAUUAGAUGGAAUGACCUAAAAUUUAAAUUUUUAAUAGUUUAGUGGGUAAAAACUUAGCUGGCCACUGUAUCCCGAGCCCAUGCACCUUCCUGAGUUCUGAGAUAGAGGUUUGGAGGGGGUGCCUAGGCAUCAAAGUGCUCCUUUCUCUUGGUGGAGGGGGUGCCGGGGCAGGGAGAGGACCAAUCCUGGCUUCUCCCGAGGAUGCUCGCGACGUUGCAGCCUACCUCUGGAACAAUUAUUUGGGCGGUCAAUCAAACUCUCGUCCAUUUGGUGAUGCUGUUUUAGAUGGUAUAGAUUUUGACAUCGAAUAUGGAUCGAACCUGUACUGGGAUGAUCUUGCCCGGGACCUCUCGGGAUACAGCAUAGCAGAGAGAAAGGUGUACUUAUCUGCAGCACGACAAUGCUUCUUUCCUGACUAUUAUCUUGAUGCUGCUAUCAGAACUGGCCUCUUUGAUUUCGUCUGGGUGCAGUUUUACAACAAUCCGCCUUGUCAGUAUAGUACAGCCACAGGCAAUGCCAUUUACCUCUUGAACAGUUGGAGUAGUGAUUGGGAUUGCCUGCAGCCCCUGAGGCCGCACGUAGUGGCGGUUACAUCCCACCUGAAGUGCUAAUUAAUCAGAUUCUUCCAUCUUUGCAGGGGUUUUCCAACUAUGGAGGGGUCAUGCUUUGGAGCAGAUACUAUGACCAAAACUACAGUUCAACAAUCAGGCCUUAUGUUAACAGUGAUCCUCUGACUUAUACAACCAAGUCCGUGAAAAAAUCCCAUGCUGUAGCAUGAGUUCCUCUCAUCAUCUGCCGCGAGAUGAAAUGUAGUCCUGGCUGCUUAUGCCAGAGGUCAAUCUACUAAUGAAUAAUGGGCUAUGAGUUCCCAUAUCGAUUAAAAUGUUCUGUAAAUUUCUUCCCGUUUUAAUCGCGCUCUCUCUCUCGAAUGAAGGGGUACAAGAUCUAGUUUGAAGAACCAGUUGCACCUUCUCUUUUUUUUUUUUUUAAUACAACUUCUUCUAGAUAAUGAUUUUUUGAUAAUAUUCAAACCACAUUUAAAUUGAAAAAGAAAAUGUUAAUUUGCAAUUGAAGUUUGAGGAACACUAUUUCCCCUCAUAUUUCAGUGCAUUACAUGGCCAACAACCUCAGAUGAUAUGCAAAUAAAAUCUUGCAUGCUCAUCAAAUUUCAUAUACAAUUUUGUAGCCUACAGAGAAGUUUACACAUGGAUGUUUAAGUAUCAGAUAAGCUUGGGCGAAGACCAAAUUUUGUGUACUAUUGAAACAUGGAACAAGAUUUCAAUCCCAUACAUAACCUCUAAAAUCACAUACAACUAUAAUUUUUGUUUCUUGUUUUUUUUUUUUCCUUGGAUGGUAUUAAAAGGUGUACAAUCUGUCUGCCUCAGAAUCUCUUCCGGUCAGUGCAAGUCACUUUGAGAGUUAUGACAAUUUCACUAACCUCCCAUCAAAUCUAGAAAACAGCAAUUACCUCCCCUCUUCUUAGAUUUGGUCUAAUGAUUUCAAGGUAUUUGGUAUACAUUGCCUUCUCAUGACCCACAACAAAGGGACAACAAUCCAAGGGCUUUCGUUUUUAUUAAUUUUUGUGGAGUACAAAUUAAUUUCUCAUUAGCAUGUUAUGAAGCAUAUGAUAUUCUUGUUCGCAACAAUUUCUUUCUACGAAAAAAAAAAGAACAGAGAGAAGGGGGGAAAAAAGACUCAACUGAUGAACAUAUAAAAUGGAAACUCAUGUCCAUCCAUAAAUUAUGACAAGCUUGGUAUCUUAAAGAGAGGCGUCCUUGGGUUUAUAUUAUUUAACCAAAAUUGGUUAAAGUAAUAAGGUUGGCUUGAUUAAAAUUAUGUUUAUCAUAAUUGGGUCAUUUCUUAAAAUAUUGGCCUUAACAAAGAUGAUCCAUUCUUGAAAUUUGCGUUCUAGUAAAGCCAUUCUUGGGCAGAUGAUGACUAAGUCUCUGUUUUUUGGGCUGAAUGAAACGGACGAUGCUUCAAUUUGAGGGAAAAAAAUAGGCCUUGCAUCAUGAAAUCAGUUUAUUAUUUAGCCACCAAAUAAGUAUAUUGAAUAGUUUGGAUUUUAUAACUAAUUAUAAGUAAUUGUGUCUUAAUUUUAGCUAUAAAAGUCUUUCACUUAGCUAGUUAACUUAGAACACAUAUGAUGACUUCUUACCUUGUCUCUAAAAUUUGUGAAAUUGGGCUCACAAAGAAGAUACUAAAGAAUAACAACGUUCAUUGGGAGCCAAACUGCGUGCAUAACAUUCACAUAUCUGCCAAACUUUAUCUUCCAAUGCCCAAUAAACUACUGGUAUCCAAGUCCAAGAUUGCUCCAAAAUUCUAACCCAAUCAAAGAUUGUUCCCUUUUUUCACAAAAUUCCUGCUUAGCCAAAAUGGAUUCUACACUAUGGUGCAACCACACAAUACAAAGGAAAGUUAGGGGCAAGCUUAUAAUCGAGUGCAUGGUACGGUCUUAAGACUUCAGCCCAGAUAUACUCUUAUGUUAUGUCAUAUGUAAAGGAAAAUAACUCAAAUUUUAGGCUCUGAAUCAUAUGUGAGUAGGCCUGCUUUUCUUUUAGUGCUUUAGUUUUUUUUUUUUUUUGGUUAAAUUAUGGAAAUUACCACCUACUCAAUAUGGUCUUUUCUAGAGCAAUUCAUGGUAAUUAUCGAGUCUGAAACUACAAAAAAUUACUGCUAAAGCUAUGCUUCAUAACCCUAAAAUACACCAAAGUCCAGACGUAUUACUAGGGAACUUUAUAUGUAAAAUUUAUAUAAACAAAAUAAGAUCUUAAAAUGAAGUACUUCAUAGGUAUUAUAAAGUCUUAACUUGUUUCAAUUGAGACAAUUAAGUUGCGAAGUCUUUCACAACAAAUCUCUAUGAGGAUCAGUUUCCCUCCCCUUACCUUAUCUCCUUACCUACUAACCUUCGCACGUUUUACCUUCUGUCCGGAAGAGGGGCAGGAACGGUUGCAGGAUUUGGCCAAGAUUUGGCUAAAAAAAAUUGUACGGUUUAGAUCUCAUAUUGUACCUCAUUUUUAAUAAUAUGUGUGGAAUCCACAAAAUUUUGUUCUAAAAUUACACGUUGUUGAAAGUAAGUUACAUCAUAUGUAAAUAAAGUUAUACCGUGUGCAAAAUGCAUACAACCUUCAAGAACGAUUACUCCUGCCCCUGAUCCCUUCUGUCCCAAGCCUGCCUCGCUCACACUCUCUUUUAGGAGAAUAAAAUUGUUUGAGAGGGAAAGCUCCCAUAUAUCUCGUGCUAAUCAAAAGCCAGUGCUGUUCAAAUGUGUUUACUCUCACCAUCUCCCACAAGAAGUGCGUAUUAAUGCCAAUCACAUGAAUGAUAUGAAUAUGAGAAUGAAGUCCUAAUAUCAUCACAAGUAUUGGGUUGGGGCAGGACAUAUGCAUAGUAGCUUUUGGUAGAUGAUAAAUGUAGCACCUUUACCAUUGUUAUUAUCAUAGUAUAUUUAUUCUUUUUCCUCUCUAUUCGAUAUUUGUUAAUUGUUAUACACUUAACAAACGUCGCAAGUGAGAAAGGGUCAGGCUAGUUUUAGAUAACGUGAAUAAUGUGGUUUACUUUCACUUAGGUUCCAUUUGAUAAAACUGAAUCUGGAUUCUGAAGUCUGAAUUCUGAAAUCUGAAUACUGAAACAAUUAAUUUGCUGAAUUUUAAGCACUAAAAAGAAAAAUAUGAAUGUCUGAAUUUUAAUGCUAAACCUAUUUAUACUAUUUGAUAAAUAUUUAUAACUGAAUGCUUAAUAAGUUAAAUUUGACAAUUUUACCCUUAUAGCUUUUCACCCAAAAAAGAAAUAGAACCUAUGAUUUAAUUAGCUAAAAAUUAGGUAUGAAAAUGACAAUAUUUAUUUUUAAAUCAAAUUAAUAUAAAAGAUGAAUUAUAUUAUAUGAGGAGUAUAGAAAAGAAGUGAAAGUCAUUCAAAAGGAAGAAAAGAUAAAUAGAAAAUCAUUAGAUAGAGAAUAUUAGAUUGUUUAGUUAUAUAAGAAUUUUGAAUAUAAUUAAUAAACAAGGGUAGAUUUGGUAGAUAAGAUAAGGUAAGUGAAGUAAGUCUAUUGAUUAUUAUUAGAAUUAAGCAUUCAGUUAGGAUUCUUAUGCUGAAAAAAAUACACACGAGUUCAGCACUACUUAACAAGUUCAGCAAAUGGAGUUUCAUUUAUCAAACACUCAAAACAUCUGAAUGUCUGAAAAAGUUCAGAUUCAGUAUUUUUUUAUGUUAUCAAACAGACCCUUAAUCACUCAUCUCACUGAUACAAUUAUUGAGACAAAUAAUAAGAGAAACAAAGGACAAGUGUUUUUUUUUUGUAGAACUGACAUUACUCAUAACAUGAAAUUACUCUAUUUAUAGAGUUUAAAUCAACUCCACUAACUCCACUAGCUACUCCACUAAUUUCACUAUUUAUUCCACUAACUCCACUAAUUAGAUAAAAUAAAUAAAUAUGAUUAAUUAACAACGGUAAAUAUUUCUAACACCCACAACUCCUACUUUACCUCCUAUUUUUGUGGUAAUGUUCCCCAAACGUUACUUAUUGAGUAAUAGAUAAAAUUUAAUCACGGCAAGAGCAUGCUAGUGCGAAUAAGUUAGAAAAAUAUUUCUCAACACCCACUAUCCUUAGUGGCUAGCGGUUGAGGCAAGGUCAACUUAGUAGUUCACCAAGAAUUUGAUAACUAACUACCAAGUUAAUAACUAAACAAUAUUACUUAUGAUAAAAUAUUCCAUCUUCACCAAAUUUUUUUUAGAAAGGGUUUUUCUUUGCCUUAGCAUUAGAAGAAACCAGUAUUGAGCCAACCCCUUCGUUUCACCUUUUUAUCUCACAUACAUCAUAUCAAAAAAGUGUUGCAGUAUUUUUUCACAAAAUUAUCUCAAAUAAUUUACUAUCCAAAUUGCUUAUGAUAAAAUAUUCCAUCUUGACCAAUUUUUUUUAGAAAGGGUUUUUCUUUGCCUUAUGACCAGAAGAAAAGAGCUCCAACCUCUUUCUUGCAGGAUCCUAUAAGUCUCAUACUAAUCCCUUAUAGCUGUAAGCUAUUAGCUCCCCUCUCCCUUUACUGGGCAGAUUAUCACUAGCCGCUGGGCGAGGGCCUCACUCUGCUAGUUUUCCACCUAGUAGGGUAUGGAGCUCUAUUCCUCAGAUUCAGUCUCCAAGGCCGCUACGAAGCUCUAGGAGGGCUUUCUAGUGUAUGCCUUGACUAUUUGAACCUCAUAAAACACAAGAAACAACAAGAAGCAAGCGAAAGAAGGAAUCCUUGGGUAAGAAUUCCGAUUGAAGCAAUAAGGAAAGUGCGGCUUUUGUUCACCUAUCAUUCUCCGAUGCAACCAAGCAACUCCCUUAGAAUAUCUUCCCUUCGAACAGCGCGACCCGCCUAUUCAACUAGAAUAUGAAUUACUCUUGCCGUUGUUGCUCUUCUUGCCCCUUUAGUGAGUGAUCCUUAGAUGAGGAGCACGAACGACCCUUAAGAGUGCAUUAGGACUUAGGAGGUCUUGUUGCCUGUGCUCAAGACAUCUUUUAACACACCUACAUUCGAACCAACCUGCUAUGUAUACACACACUAGUAAUUACUAUUUUUUCCUACAUUUAUACACUUUUCCUAAUUAAUCUAUUUGCAUUAAUAAUCUUUUCCUAAUUAAUCUUAUAUUUUUAAAAAUCUAACACGUGAAAUACAUCUUAACAAAUAUCUUAUAUAUACCCAUUAGAUAGACCAUUUUAGAAAAAUAUCUUUGUUAGAAAAUAUUGGCGGGUUUCAAACUAACUAUAUAAUGUAUCCUUAAUUUAUUCUAAUUGAUCCUUCAUGAUGAUAUAUAUAAACACCCACCCACCGCCCCCCCCCCUUCUCCCGGGUUCCUCCUCAAAGCCAAGGCAGUUGCGAAGAAACCAUUUUGAGUUUGUCAAGAAGAUCAUUGAAACGGUUGGGAGGAAGAGGUUUGGUGAAGAUAUCUGCAAGUUGAUCCAUAGAAGAUACAGAGUGGAUGAUCUCGCCGGGGCACUUUACGGGAUAUAGCACAGCAGAUCUAGAGAAAGGUUUACUCAUCUGCAGCACCACAAUGUUUUCUUCUUGACUAUUAUCUUGACGCUGCUAUCAGAACUGGCCUCUUUCAUUAUGUGUGGGU
rnacentral:lncRNA from 1 species